rnacentral:lncRNA from 1 species
CGGGGGGAACUAAUAGGCAACGGGGCGGGGGACGGGGGAGGGGUCCCCCGCCCCAACCCCACCCCGUUGCCAUCCCUACUACUAUCUUCUAGUCUCCGUCCCCGAAGCAUAGUGUCGGCGUCGACCGAUUGUUUUGUUGGUCUCCAAUUAAGUAAUGCUGCCACAUAACAUAUGUAUCCCAUAUUACUCGCAACGGAUCUUCUGUCUCACACUCUGUGCCACUCUCUGUGCCACUUUUUAUUAUAUUGCUAUUUCUUCAACAUAAACAUCACGUUUUAGUUCUUUUUUGUUUCCUUAAGAUCCAAUAACUAUUAAUUGAGUAAUACACAAAAUUUAACAAACUCAAAAAAUCAAAAUGCAUAAAAAAUGAGAUUUUUUAUGAAUUUUCUACUAUAUUUUUUAAUUUUCUAUUAUAUAUUGCUUUUUUUAAGCUGUUGUAUUUAUUUUUUACUCAAUUAAUAGUUAUUGGAUCUUAAGGAAACAAAAAAGAACUAAAACGUGAUGUUUAUGUUGAAAAAAUAGCAAUAUAAUAAAAGUGGCACAGAGAGUGGCACAGAGUGUGAGACAGAAGAUCCGUUGCGCAUAUUACUCCACUUGUCCAGUAGAAUACGUGGCUUGGGGGAAACGAAUAACUGCUCCGUCGACACUGCAUUUUGCAUCGAAAUGCUGAAUAAAUCCUAAAUGCGCAUGCACCUCUGUCCUCGCAGGACAUUCUCCCACUAGUCAUUAAUUUCGCAUACUUAUUUCUUACUGUUUCACUGAAAGUGUUACAUAUUUCAUUUUGAUAUGUUCUAAAAUAUUUAUUAUUUUAUUAAAAUCAAAGUUAUUCUUAAACUCUUUUUUCAAUAUUAUUCAUAACUUUAUAUAUAUAUAUAAAUAUGUAUGUAUAUAUUUAUUAAAUUUAAAUUCAAAAUUUUGAGGACAACUUUGCAAAUAAAUCUACUAAUAUUACCAUCAAACUAUUAUUUUUAAAAAGUUGAAAAUGCAAAAUGUGAUGAACAAUUUAGAACGGAGAGAGUAUUAUGCUGGGAGCUUUAAUUGUCAAACGGUCAUGUUGAAUUAUAUACUAAUUCUUCUGACAAGAUUACUGACAACCAGACUCUUAGCUUUGAAAAGCGUGAGAGCUUUAUUGCAAAAUGCAAUUUCAAUGGUAAAACCAAUUGAUUAUUGCUGUUUUUUACGGAUAAAAAAGAUUUGAUGACUUCUUUGUUUUUUUUUAAUGGGUAUGUUUCCACCUUAAAUUUUUGUACUUGUGUUAUUAUUUCUUCCGUCCCAAAUUUUUUUCUCACACUUUGGAGGUUGUGCUUUUUUUUUCAACAGUAGUAUGGAAAGCACUUAUUUUGUUUUAGUUUGCUUUUGGGAUAGUAUUGGAACCUCCCUUGAGAUUUCUUUUAAAAUAUUGGAAAGCACUUGUUUUAUCAUAUAGGACCUCUAAUUAGAUUUUAAAAUUAUCACUUACCUUCAUUACUUUUCUUAUUUGUAUAACAAAAUUUUGAAAACCCUAAACUACUCUUUUUCUUAUUUUGUUAAAUAAAAAUACUCCUAAAAUACUUUAUUUACUCCAAAAAUCACCACCUAAAAAGCAAUCUCUAAUAGUAUCACCACGUCACAAAGUCAUGCUUCAUAAAAAUAUAAAUUUGAAAAAUAAAAAGAUAUUUCUAAAUAAAUACACUAGCACUAAUUUAAUUUUAUAUCUUUAAGAUUGACUUCUUAUGAACCUUAUAUUUUUUCCCAACUUCUUAUCAACCUCUAGUCCAAGCCUUUAAGUUGUACUACUAACCAUUACAAAAAUCAACUCAAAAUGAACAAAUAAAUCACAUCCUACUCUAUCACAAUCACAAAUAGUAAAAAUAAAUAAACUUCAAUUAAAUAUAAUUUAUAAAUAAAAAAUUGUGUAGUCAUCCAAAAAAAUGAGUAAGAGAGAAUGUUGGAAAAAAGGAAAAGAGAAGAAAGCGAUUUUUGUUUCUUUUUCUUUUUUAAUUUUUUUGAACUUUAUUUAUUUAAUAUGUGAAUUAUGCAUUAAGUGAAAGUUAAUAUACUUUUUUUAUAAUUAUUAGAAGAAGUAAGUGAUAUUUUUAAAAUUUUAAAAGCGUUCGAUGAUAUUAACAGAGACCUCCACCGAGCUUUCUGAUACUAUCCCUCUCCUUUAGUAUCCGCGUUGGCUGUAGCUUCAUUGGUGGAAAUAAGAAAAGAAACAUGUUCUCAUUGGGCUGUGGGGUCAAAUCUUGUAGUGACUCUCAAAUUGUUCUCCUGGAUGCCAAUAAUGUCACGUCCACUUUCUUCAAAAUUCUUUGUAAAAAAGUUAAGCAUGGCACUAUGGGUCUCACAAGCUUUUCUCAACAUGUUGAAGGGCAAAUGUGAAAAGUAGACAAGAUAAUAUUUAUCAUUCAAGGUAAAUAACAAUAUAAUAAUUUUAGGAUAGAUCAAAAUAGAAAUAAAAAAUAUGACAGUUUCAAUAGAACAAAAAAUGUAUCAUAUAAAUAUUACAUCAUCGAGCCGUACCACUUUGAUUACCAUGACUACCAAAACAUUAAAAUAAACAUUAUACUAAGAAUCCCUCAAAAUAAAAAGCAUUAUACUAAGAAUAAAAACCAUAAAAAUUUGCAUUAACCAUGGCCGCCCAAAUGUUAUUCAUUCCUUAGUUGGUGUACCAAAGGGAAAAAGUAGUUCAGUAAAAGCCAUGGGACCAUGCAAUCAUGCACAUCAAACCAUAACCGUCAAUGGAGUCGGCCAGCUCGAGCUCUGCCUGUUAGGCGCAAAAAUGUUCAUUGAACCUCAACUUUAGUUGGAUCAAUAGAGUUUAGACUUAAAUAUUAGGUUGGAACUAAAUAUGAGUCAAGUUUAAAUCAUACUAAGAUCAAAUCCGAUUAAAGUGUAACACAUAUAUGAGUAUAUUGUUAUAUAUGUAAAACAUAUAUAAUAAUAUCUAUUCAUAAAGGGAGAGGAGGGGGUUUGUGGUAAAUAAAAAUGUUACUUUAUUAUAUACUCCCUAAAUUACCCUUGAUGAUGAAGGAACUUUUGGUAUAAAUAAAAAUAUAUCUAUCUUUGAUAACUACUUACUACCAAUAUGAUUUUUUUACCAAGUACUACGUAUAUUUUCAUGUUCUAUUUUUCAACUUAUUUAGUAAAUCUUAAUUUUAAUUAGCAACUAUCAAUUAUGGUUAUGAAUAACUACCAAAUAACUACUUUGUAUAACUUUUAUUUUAGUGAAAAUUUACAUAUGUAUUUUCAAAAUAUAAAACCAAUUGUUUUGAAAAUGAUUUCAAUAAAUAUACUAAAAAAUUUCACAAAUAUUUUUAUUAGUUGCACACAUAUUAGUGUAUGCCUUGAAUAUUAGUACAUGUUAUGAUAUAAAAUGUUAAUAAUUUAUAUGUAAAUUUAUAUUAAUUCAUAAUUAUAAAAUAUAUUAUAUAUAAUUAUGUAUUUAAUUAGGAUAAAAUACAAAAAACUCCCUGUGGUUUGUCAAAUGUUCAAUUUAACUCACUCUGGUUCGGAAACCUACACUAUAACUCCCUGUGGUUUCGACUAAAUUAAAAAUUAGACAGAAAACAUCCAAUUUAACGAUUGUAUGUGAAAUAUCAAUAUUGCCCUUGCUAUACAUGAAGUGCUUUCCGUUCAAUUUUCAACUUAGUCAAAAUCACAAGGAGUUAUAGUGCAGUUUUUUAAACUAAAGGAAGUUAAAUUGAGCAUUCAACAAACUGUAAGGAGUUCAUUUAUAUAAGGGCAAUAUUGACAUUUCACAUAAAACCGUUAGAUUAAAUGCUUUCUGUUCAAUUUUAAUUAAAUUGAAACCAUAGGAAAUUAUAGUGCGGUUUUCAAAUCAGAGGGAGUUAAAUUAUACAUUUGACAAAUUAUAGAGAGUUUUUUGAUAUUUUACCCAUUUAAUUAUGAGUUUGGGCCAAAGUCGAUUUAAAUCUAAAACUCAUAUAAUAAUGUGAGUUGAAUUUGAAUCAUUUUAAAAUGAGCCCAAAACCUAAAAAUUCAUAUAACUUGUAAGUCAAGUUUGACCUUAUUGAAACCCAACUCAAAAAACCCGCUUGACAUCCCUACAUCAAACAAAUGAUUCUGUUUUUUAACGGGAAGGAAAAUAGUGUACUUUUUUGAGGAGUUACUUGUUGCGUCACUCUUGAUUUGUGGUGACAAAAAUGAAACAUAAGAUUUGAACUGGGUAGAGUUGUUAUAUCGUUUAACGAAUUCUAUCAGUUAAAUUUUUAACUCACCUUGAAGUGGCAUAGAAACAUUGGUUCGAUUCCUUCUGAAGAUCAUAUGAGAUAGUAUUAGACUCUGCAGUCUUUUCAUUAGGAGUUAGAAAGUAAAGAAAAGAAAUGGUAAGAUAGGUUGUGGGGGGGGGGGGGGAAGAGGGGGUGGAGAAGUUGGUGAGACUUUUCUCCUCUCUUGUUUGGGAGUUUGGAUAUUAAAAAAGAAAUAUUGUGACUUACGUCUAUUAAAUUUUGUCCUUAGCCUUGAAUAAGUAUUUUGACAUCUUUUUCUAGUGUUAGUUGAUGUUUCUCUCCAUCUGCUCUCCAACUUUGGAGAGAAAUUUUAAGUUACAAUCAUCCCAAAUCAUCCACUUUUUUGUUUUGUUCCUUUCUUCAUUUAACAAAAAAAAGAAAAAAAAAACACACACACUUUCUCUACCAAACGCUUUCUUUUCUCUCAAUUUCUCUUUCGACAAACGAGCUAUAGUUGUUGUAGGAAGGGGCCCUUUUAUGCUUUCUUAUUUUCUUGUUUGGGCAUCCUUUUGCGGCAUCUCCGAGGAUUACCGGCGCCAUUCACUCUAGCCUAAAGAGCUGGAUCUGGGGGUCCGUGUACUUCAAACAUGGACCCUCAGAUACUCUGUCAACAUUUUCAAAUUUCAAAUGUCAAUUUUCUUAAUUUUCAAAAUGUGUUUAAGGUAGAACUGCAGAAGUAGGGCCGAUUUGUCGCAAAAUGCGUCUAGUAGAAUCUCAUGAGCGUCAAACCCGGAUAGUUUCUUGGAGCUAGUCUAGCCUCCCUUGUUUUCUUGGCAUUUUUUUUUUGGGUUCUAUGUCUCUCAUUUCUGUUUCCAGUUCCAAUUGUGAGACACAGAAUUCAAUGGAGAUUUCUAAAAUCCAUCCCCUGACCGUUAGGUUAACUAUCAUGAUAUAUGCUUUAAGAAAAGCAUUGUAAUGUUGUCUUAUCACAAGAUAAUGAUUUAAAAUAUGAGGCACAAAUGUGUCAUAAUCUUGUAAUCAUAAUAAUGCUAUUGUUUUCUUUCUCUUUUAUUUUUUUAAUAAUUUGUCUUCCACCUUCCUUACUUUCUCUUUCACCACUUUACUAAAUUAUAGGUGGCACAAGUAUUUUGUAAUUUUUUUCUAAUGCAUCUUCCAUUGUUACGGUGCCAUUCAUAUCCAUGUCUUCAUUGAAAACAUACAACCUUGUUUCUAUAGUUCCCAUCUUGAAGUAGGAGGGUGCAACCUUUCCACAGCAAUUGCAAACUUUUUACCUUGUUCAUCAGAAAUUAUACAUAGAAUUUUAUAAAAGAGAUCGAACAAUGAUUUAUCUUCCACGUAUCAGUGGCUUCAAUAGAACCUUAGACUUAAGGUUUGAGAGUCUGUUUAAAUUAGGAGUUUUUCACAUACAAUGCGCUGUUAUACAAUGUUAUAGUAGCACACUUCAAAAAGCACUUCAAAUAUAAUCUAAAAUAAUACCUAAAAAAACACUCAAAAAAUAAAAAUUCUACCACCUCUUUCUCUCUCCACCUACUACUACUAUUAUCUCUCCUCUCCUCCUUCCCCGCUACCAACUCUAUCAUCUAUCUUAAGCAGCGGCAUUGCUUGCUGGUGGUGGCUUGGGAGGGGGUGGAGAGAGGGCGAUAGAUGGUUGUGGUAGGGAAGAAAAAAAUCUCAAAAAUAUACCAAUCAAAUUUUAAGUUGUAAGAAUAUUUCCAAUAUAUAUCUUCUGUGAAAGUUUUUAAUAUAUACUUGUAAAAACACCUAAUCCAUGCAAAUCCUAAAUUUUUUGCCUUAGUGGGAAAACCAACUUAAUUAUGACAGCAGACCCCGCCCUUAGUUGCACGUGGAUAUCCCAUUUACUUAGGCUUCUCAUGUUGGGAUCCUCUUGAAUUAAGUAACUCGAAGAGUAUUUGUUCUUUUCUUGAGGCAACUCCAACUCAAGCUCUGGGAAUCUCAUAUUGGAAUGAGUUCAAGAGAUAUACAGUGACCUACAGAUCAAACAGUGGCCAAAGGUUGUGCGUGUACUAUAGAUGUUCGCCUCCUCGAUGUCCAUGUCCCUUAACUUCCCUUAUGUUAAAUUUGGAGACAUCUGGGACUUCCACCUUGUGAACUAGUCCACAUUAUCAAGCCAAGGUCUCAUCAGCAAUUUUACCGAACAAUUCACUGAUCUGCUUAUCUGAAAAUUUGCAGCUGUGGUGGGAGAUGGAUUCAUUGCCAGAGGGAUCACCGUUGAAAACUACGCUGGACCUAGCCAACACCAAGCAGUGGCCCUGAGGAGUGGCUCAGAUCUCUCAGCAUUCUACCAAUGCAGCUUCAUCGGCUACCAGGACACGCUCUACGUGCAUUCCCUUCGACAAUUUUAUAGGGAAUGCGAUGUGUAUGGUACAGUCGACUUCAUCUUCGGGAAUGCCGCUGUUGUGUUCCAACUUUGCAACCUUUAUGCCCGGAGACCAAACCCAAACCAGCAAAACUUAUUCACUGCCCAAGGAAGAGAGGAUCCUAACCAAAAUACUGGGAUUUCGAUCUUGAACUGCAAAGUUGCUGCAGCGGCAGAUUUGCUUCCCGUCCUAUCCUCAUUUAGAAGCUAUCUUGGUCGUCCGUGGAAAGAAUAUUCAAGAACUGUUUACCUUCUGUCAAACAUGGAAAGCUUGAUAGACCCUGCUGGAUGGUUGCCGUGGAACGGUAGUUUUGCAUUGUCAACCCUUUUCUAUGGGGAGUAUAAGAAUAGAGGACCCGGUUCAAACACCACUGCCAGAGUAAAAUGGCCUGGUUACAGGGUCAUCACCAAUACCACCGUUGCCAGUCAGUUUACGGUCGGAAAUUUCAUCCAGGGAACUGCAUGGCUGCUUAAUACUGGAAUCCCAUUUUAUCCCAAUUUGACACCCUCCUGAAUUGGUUGUCAUUGUAAUACUCUCCAGUUAGAUUCUUCAGCUAGCUAGGGUCCCCUCCACGCACCUCCCCUCCACCAACCCCCCCACCCCCCCCCCCCCCCCCCCCCAAAAAAAAAAUCCCACAAAACAACCCUUCACCAUUCUAGGCAUGCAGUUCUGGAGAAAUUGAUCCUAUUGUUUUAGUAAACUGGGGAAUCAAUAAGUGAGAACAUAUGCUCACAUAAUCGGUUUCGCUCUCUCUUGCAAAUUUUUAUUUAUGAUUGAAUUUUGGGAGUAACCUGAAACUGAAAUAUUUAUCUGCUAGCGAGCCUUGUAGCAGGUACCAGCAACGCUGGAAGAUCGCCCAAGGGUUGGCACAUCAAUUUAAGGUGAAAACCUCGAAAUGUCUGAAACAUUACUUACUCAAUCUUAAGGCAUCGUUUACACAAUUAAAUAAGACAACAGAACCACGCUGAACCCAAACAAACACCUUUUUUCCUUUUUAAACUUUUUUCCACUUCAUCUUUUGCUAUUGGGAUUGCUAUGGAAAGCAUUGGCCAGUUGCUACAUUUUCGAGUGCCCAAAACGUUCAAUUAUAUAUCAUCUAAAGGUUGAAAUUGUCAUACGCUGAGCAAAAGAGCCCUAUAGCUAGUUGAUUUUACGCGGCCUUUAACAGAAAGCAGUCAUCCACAACCGAGUUUCUAAAGCAAAAGCUACCGGGUUUAUUGGACUUUGUACAUCCAAGUGAUCGGGCACAUUGCAAGUUGCCACGCAUUUUGAGUUUUAAAUAUACUGCAUGGGACUUUAAUUAACGUACACAUUUGACAUGUAUAUAUAAUUAUUGUGUAUAUCCCUGAAUGAUUAGAUUUCAAAUAGUAAAACGAACACUCGGUGACUUUUGCUGUACAUUUUUAAUACAUUCCGAUAAAAAUGAAAUGCAAAUUGUUCACUGUUCCUUUCAAAUAGAGGUGGCAAAAUGAGUGGGAUGGGUGAGAUCUGCUUAGAUUUGAAAUGAGAUCGAAUAAUAUGGAUUUAGACCUAACCUUAUCUAUAUGUGUUUUGGGACUAAUUUGGGUAAGAUCACUUUGAAAUGGGUUUAGAUUGAUUCCACCCAAUAUCCAAAAUCUAUUUUUUAUUCUUUUUUUUAAAUUAUUUUUUAUUUUUAUAUAACUUUAAUACUUUUUAUUUAUUAAAUUUCUUUUGUUCCUACUAUGAAUUUAUAUUUUUCUGAAUUCCUUUUGUUACUCAAAUUUUCUUUUUUUUUUAAUUUUCUAUGUAUAUAUACUUUUUAAUCUUUGAUUUCCACUGUUGCUAAAUUUUAGUUAGGAAAAAAUAAGUCCUCUAAAAACUUUAAAAGAUUUAUAUUUAUGAUUAUAAAGAAAUGCCAUUGUAUGGACUUGUACUUAUACUACUAGAGCUUGUGGAAAAGCAUAACUAGUGAAAUUAGUUGUAGCACAACAAUAAGGUGCAAGGAUGAAAGUUUAGUCAUAUUAAAACUUUUCACAUAGCUAGUGAAAUUAGUUGUAGCCCAACAAUAAGGUGCAAAGAUGAAAGUCUCAUUGCAUUAAAACUUUUCAUAUAUAUAUAUAUAUAUAUAUAUAUAUAUCAGAGGCACAUCAACCUAUAUGCUUUAGUUUCAACAAGUAAAAGAUAACACAGUUUCCUAUAUUUUAUUUCACUUAACGGUCAACAAAUUUUAGAAUCAUUUUACCCAGAUAACUAGAUGGUCUAAUUUAAAAUUUAAUCUGGAAUUACUAUCUUAAUCUUUUCGUUGCAAUAUAGAAGAGAAAGGAGAACAGAAUUUGAUGACGAAAGAAUUUCUAACCACAUGACCUGCUUUAUUCUCCAUAUUGUUAGUAACAACAACAAAGUAUAUUUGUUUGGGAGAGAGGAGUUCUUGGGUGAAUUAAAUUUUUGGUGAGAUGUUUAGACCCCAAUGGGCACCCCAGUAUUUUCCAAGAAUUUGCAUCAAUUGACGGGCAUAAAUGGAAUUAAUCCCAUUUCAAACCCAAAAUCAAAAUUAGAAUAUGCAUCCCACCAAAAAUCUCUUUGGACAUGGGUAGCCUAUUGCAACUUGAGAUAGAUUCCUAUCCCUAAUUUUGAAGUCUUAUGCCAAAAAGAUGACAUGCAAGAGAUUAGCUAAGACGCUUGAAGUUCGCAAAUGACAUGCAAAAAUUUGUUGAGGAUAACGGAUACAAGAGAUUAGCUAAGACGCUUGAAGUUCACAAAUGACAUGCAAAAAUUUGUUGGGAAUAACAGAAAAGCUAUCUUUAGCAUUGCAUAGAAAAGAUCAGAUAUUUUGAAUGCAAUGAGUCUAGUUAAAAUUGCUAAAUAGCGAUUGCAAUUAAUGAAAGAUGUUGGAUGGGAUAUAUUGUUAGAUGAGGUUACUGCAUUUUGCAGCCAAUAUGAAGUUGAGGUUCCCAAUAUGGAUGCUAUAUAUGUUCUUAAAGGAAAGUCAAAGCGAAAAAUUCCAAAUAUUUCACACUUACACCACUGUAAAGUAGAUUUAUUUUAUAGUGUGGUUUCACGAGUUGAAUGAGGAUUUGACUAAGGCAAAUGCUGAAUUGCUUGUUUGUAUGUAAUAUCCUGCUCCAAAUAAUGAUUUUUCAUCUUUUGACAAGGAAAAGUUGAUUCACUUUGCAAAAUUCUAUCCAUUUGAGUAUUUUUUUUUUUUUGCAAUUGAUCUGAUGGUUCAUGACAAUCAGAUUGAUACUUAUAUCCUUGAUAUGCACCCUAUCAAUGAAUUUGCAGAAUUAAAAGGAAUUGCUAGCCUUACAGUUGAGUAAGUUAAGACUAAAAGGGAUAUUGUAUAUUCAUCAGUCUAUUUGCUUAUAAAAUUAGCAGUUACUUUACCUAUUACUACAGCAGCCGUGGAAAUGACCUUUUUAGCAGUGAAGAUUGUCAAAAAUCGAUUGCAUGUCUUAUGGUGAUUGAUGGAUGAAUGAUUGUUUCGUUACUUACAUUAAAAAAUAUAUAUUUAAUAAAAUUGACAAUGAGCUGAUUUUGCAGUAUUUUCAGAAGUUGAGUAUUCAUAGAGGACAAUUACAAUACAUAUCUAAUAUUAUAGUUUUGCUUUUUUUUUUGGAUUAAUAUUUCCUAUACUGAUAGUAUAUACAUCAUCAGCGUUGGAUGAAUGACAACUAUACAAAAUUUGAAUUUGAAAUUCAACUUUUACACAUAUGUCAUGAAUCUAACGAUGAUAUUGUAGGAAAUAUUUACUUUUUUUUUUCUUUUUAUAUUACAUUUUUUACUUUGUAGAAGUUUUAUUGCAUUAAACUUUGACCUUACCUACUCUCAGAUCUUGGCUCCACCACUAAUGCCAAUGCCAUCCUUUUGACAUUUGUCUAAAAUACUUAUUUUUUAGAUUAAUAUGCCUAAAUGUAACAUUAUACACAUAGUUCAAAACUUUAGACAUUGUAGUUACACUGCCACGGUAUAAAGACAUCGGAGGCAUAGGUUAUGGCCAUAACUAGGGCUGUGCAUCGAAAUCGAAUGCGGUAAUUCGGAAGUUUGAAAUCGGAAAUUUUCGAAAUUUUGACUUGAAGUUCUCCGACCGAAUUCAAUUUCGAAAUGGCCAAUUCCGAUUUCGAAUUCGACACCGAAUUGGCUUUUUUUUUUUUUUGCUUUCGUUUCAGUCUUCCAGACUUGGUUCUCACUUUUUAUCUUCUCAGCUAACGGUCGUUAAGGGAAGCAAUAAAAAGAAGAGAGUAAGCUGAGUCGAGCCAGAGGAAGAAAUAAAAAGAAGAAUAGCCCUGAUAAAACCAAAGUACUUGCUGCCGUUAUGCCUACUGCAGCAGCUCCAACUGUCUUCUUGGAUGUUGAUGGUGAGCUUGAUGGCGUUGCUGGUAGAGGCUGUGGAAGCAGCGGCGGCGGUGAUACCGGGCUGGUCCAGACUGGGUGGUAGCAAAACUGGCUGAUUUUGCGGGGGAUUGGAGGGGGAAGCUGGUGGUGUAAGAGGAGGUGGAAAGAAAGUCUCUAAGUUCUGAGGAGAAGCAGAUUGGGAUGAAGAUUGAGGGAUGGAAGAAAGGAUGAUGAGCAAGAAUGAAUAAAGAAGUUUUGAUGGACAAAGAUUUGCGGCCAUGAAUGUGAUGUCUUGAACCAAAUUGAACAGAGCUCGAAUGAGUUCGAAUGUAGAUUUUGGUUAUAUUUGUGGACCGUGUGGCUUUUUGGUUUAGAUGAGGAAGAGGCGGCGGAAGAGUGAGGUGAGUUAAGUUAACAGGUUAGGGUUUUUGCAAUAUCAUGUAUCAGGUAUUAAUUUAUUAUUUUAAUUUCAAUUUCAAUUAUUAACUUAUUAUGUUAUAUAAUAUAUAUUAUAUAUGUAUUGUUAAAAAGUAAAAACUAUUAUAUUAUAUAUAAAUAUUAUUAUUCGAAUUCGGUAUAAAAUUUCCGAUUUCAAAAAUUAUACUUUCGAAUUCCGAUUUCAAAAAUUAUACUUUCGAAUUCGACCCGAUUUCGACCAAUUCGAAAUCGGAAUUACCGAAUUCCAUUUUGAAUUACCGAAAUUCCGAAUUCGAAAUUCCGAAUUCAAUUCGAAAUCGGUCGGUAAAUCGGAAUUUUUCGAAUUUGCACACCCCUAGCCAUAACUUAUCAACAAAUAACAAAUCCUAAACUAAUUCACCUUUUUAUGCAGCCAGUAACCAAAGUUAUGACUUCAACUUGUAUGAUGAAAUGUGCGGUUACCGUUUGCUUCUUAGAAGUCGAUAUAAUUACACUACCAUCCAAAAUGAAUAUCCACCCACUUGUAGAAUUCCUUGCACUAGUGGACCAACUAGCAUAAGAGUAAACAAUUACUCUCCCAAUAGACCUCUAAUAGUCUAUACCGAGAUUUUGGUAGACCUUGCAAAUCUACAAACUAAGCAUGAAAUAUUUGGUCUUGUAGAGUGUGCAAUGCAUACAUCAAGUUUCCAAUGGCAUUUGUAUAUGUGAAUUGAGCAAUUGAACUACCAAAAUUUUAUGAAAUUUCAAGUUAGAACUAAAGAUAGUACUCACCUUUUUUAUCUUUAGAUGUUGAAACUAAUUUAAUGUCUUGUUAAUAUAUGAGAUUGACACAAAACAUAACCUCUACUAUUUUCCUGAUUUUGAUAUUUAAGAUAGUAUCAAUCUUUCCAGGAUCCUUUAUUUUGAAGAAUUAGUAUCUUCAACACCUUUCAUAGUAUCAACCAUUAGUAUCUUAUGUACAUAUAGAAAAAUGAUCAUACUAUUCACUGAAUUUAGAAUGAGUGGUAUUUUUUUUAUCCUAUUUUGCUCAUUUUUUGUUUCAAGUGUAGAUUUAUAGUGUAUGGAGUUGGUUCCAUUAGGAUUUUUUAAAAUUACAUUGACUUUAUUUUGUAAAAAUGAUAAUUUAAAUUGUUGAAAGGACAAAUUUGAAAACAAACCUAAAGAUAUUUGAUCAAGAUGGUCAUUUUUAACAAGGCACAUUCCAUAGAUGGAUUAAUGUUAGAGGUCCUAAAUUUUUUUUUUGGUAAAAAUAAAGAAAUAAAAUGGUCACAAUAAUAGAUAAAAGAUUAAAUUGGCCAAAAUUUCAAAUAUGAGGUACCAAAAUGACCAUUUUCCCCUUGAUCUCGCUAUGCAUGGUUUAAAUUAGCACAAAUCAACAUCCAUUUUAUGUGCUUGAGGCAUCAUAUGAAAGUCCAUUGACAAAGCAGGACUUUGUUUCCCAACUAGAGGUGAGCAUUCAAUGUAAAUUUGAUAAUUAGGUUAGUUGAAUUCAGUUAUUUCGGAAAUCUAAAUCGCUUUCAAUUUCGAAUUGGAGAUAUCCGAAUUAAUUGCAUUUCCAAAUUUGAAUUUGAAAAUGGUAAUGAAUUCAAGUUAAACAUUUUCAUUAAAGAAAAAAAGUAAAUUUGUUACUUAAGACUUCAUUUCAAAAUUUGCAAUAUCCAGCCUAAUUAAACUCCUAUAAUCAAGUCUAAUAGCCACUGUAAUUAGUCGAGUUAUAGGCUUAUAGCACGAAGUCAAAGGAAAUCAACACACACAUUAGAAGUGCCAGAAUUCAUCAAUUCAAAUACAAUACAAGUCAUAAAAGACUAAAGUCACAAGUCACAACUGAAGUCAGAAAUAAAAAACCGUUCAAAUUCAAUAGAAUCCAUAAUGCCAAAUUGUCUUGAAAGUUCAAAUAGUUAGGUAAGAGAAACUUAGUAAACAAGUAAAUAUGCUGCCUGCAACAAACUCAAAGCCCCGGUAUCUUCUGAUCUUCUCCAACUAAAAAGUGAUUGAAGUUUCAACACCUCCCUUGAUCAAACCUGCAACAAAACAUAAAAAUGAGAAACAUUAGUUACUUUAAAACAAUAGAGAAAUGGAAUUUUACAAGAAUCAGCAUAUGCAUUAGAUAAGAAAUAUCUUACGAGAUUCUAAAGUUUCAAGAUCCUCCAAUUCUUCUUCCACAUUUAGUUUAGAGUCUGAUGGCUGAAGUCAAUCUUGAGUGCAAAUCAAAGUUUGCACUAUUUUAGGUGUUAAAGAACUCCUAAAUGGAUCAAGGACUCUUCCACCUAUGUUAAAAGUAGCUUCAGAAGUAACCAUAGAUAUAGGCACAACCAACACAUCAUGAGCUAAUUAAAAAAGAACAGGGAAUCUAGGACUAACUUUAGUUAUAAUAAUAACUAACAGAAUUGGCAACCAUUCUGUUAGGUUUUGUGCAUUCCAUAAAAAAUUGGACUAAGGUGGGACGAAUUUUGUAAUUUAAGGAUUUAAGUGUCCCAUUUUGAAAUUUAGGGAUUGAAGUGGAAUUUCGAAUAUAGUUUGAAGGGACAAAGUGGAAUUAAUCCUUAAAAUAAUACUAAGCUGCACAAGCUAUACUCUGACCAUGUUUGACCAUCUCUUGCAGGAUUUGAAAAGACACUUGUUAAAUAUGAACGUCAAAUUUUAUAAGGGGAAGGGAAUUAGGAACAUCAUUCUCGCUUGACUAAUGUUUUUAUGAGCUAAACUAAAAUUCAAAUGUCCUGCCUCUUUAUUUUAUUUUUGUUAGUGGUAAGAGAAUAUUGCUAGAUCGCUAAGAUGAGGUAGGUUUAAAUAUUUUGAGCUUGCUUGCUACUAUCUUACGGUAGUCUUUUAGUAGUUAUAUUUAAAUCAAAGGAGUGAUGAGGUGUAAGGAAUUGUAAAUAAGAGAUUUUAAAUUCAAAUUAUUUUACUUAAAAAAAAAGUUGUUUUAAUACCCAACUCCUAAACCAAGGGUGCAUACAAGUAAUGCAGAUGCGUUCACCUUAAAUUCUUCAAAAGGAAUAACAAGGAUCAAAUGGUUUAGUAGUGGGCAAUCUAUUAGUACUAAUCUUUCUCAUCCAAGUUUGCAGUAGGCAUGCAGUCCUAUUUUACUUCAUUAAAUUCUCCACCUUUGGAUUUGGUUGGAUACAACUAGGCAUGUGGGUUUUUUGGGCUUUGAAAUUAGCCAUGGAUGCUUAGAAUCUCGUUUGGGCACAUAGGCCCCAAAAUAGCCUACUGGGGAGCUGGGUCCAUAGAUGGUUGUGGAAAGCCCAACUGGCUGGCAUGAAUUUAACAAACAACAACCGAUGAUGAUGUGGCUAACUUUUUUUUUUUUGGCCUUCUGUUUUCUUUCUUUCGAUAAUAUUGGUGGCAUAACCCAAAUUUUUAUUUAACAAUAAAUAUAGGUAGUCAAUCCUAAGAGCACUAUUUUUUUUGGAGUGAAGAUAAUAAUAUUUGUAUUGAAUAAGAUAUAUUGCAAAGUAGAAUUCAAGGUGACUACAAUGUGUAGAUACCAAAUUUUUCUAUAUCCCAACUCUAUUCUUAUUUUCAAAAGAAAAUUAAAAAUUACGUAACCAUUUUAUUUCUUUUUUUUUGUUUUAUAGACUUGUGCAAGAAAGUCAAAAAGAGAAGGAAAAGAAAAAUGGAAAUUAAAAAAAUGAAAAAUAACCCAUUUUCCUUCAAACCACAAAAUCCAAUUCUUAAACACAAUAGAAAUAAGAACAAACCCAGCAAUCUCGUAAGAAAGCCUGAAGAAAGAGGCCCAUUUCUUUUCCUUCCGAAAAAAAGGAAGCACAAGUGUUUUUCUUCAUCUUCAUCUUUACAACAAAAGAACUAGUAUGAAACUUGUACCAAAAAAAUUUUUUUGGGGCACGCUGUCUUUUUUUUUUCUUUCUUCUUUGUUUUUUCCCAAGCCUUGUUCAUACAAAGAAAACUCACCCCAUUGAAAUCUUAUUCUUUUACACCAAACAAAUUUCAUCAAAGGACAAGAAAAGAACACAUUAUACUAGUUCAAAAAACUUUCAUCGCUACCCUUCUUUUAGGGUUUACUUUGUGUCUAAUCCAUAUAUGUAUAUAUAUAUAUAUAUAUAUUCAAUUUUUAGAAAGCUUUAGGGUUGAGAGAUGUUGGGAAAGGGGUACCGGUAUAAACACACAAUAUCAAAGUUAGCCCAGGACAAAUUUCUCUUUUCUCAAGUACCAGAUAAAAUAAGAAUAAACCAAAUCAUCAAACAAAAAUGCCAACACUAAUAAUAGUAUGCAAGAAAAAUAAAAAGCACAGGACACUAAGAUUUUUACGUAAAAAACCCAAAUUGAAAAAAACCAUGAGACCUAGUCCAAUCAACAAUCUCCACUAUCACAAUAUGAGAAUACACAGGUCUACCCGAAAUAUUCGGAUGACAAUAAUAUCGUCAAUACCAACCAAGCGAAAUUACUACAAAAUUAUCCCCAAAAACUACAACUGUCAAAGAAGUAGGUUUGGAAAGGUAUUAUCAAACAAAGAGAAAAUCCGAAAUCUGAGCCAGUAGAUGAGUAGAGCUUGGUAAGAAAAUUGCAUAUGUAAAAUUUUGUCUCAAUCGAAAUUCAAAUCACCCUCCAAUCAAGUUCUUGGAAUUAUUUCUCUCUCUUCGUUCUUUACCGAGCCAAAGAAAGAUGACGGCUGGAAAAAAUUUUCUCGCUUAAGGUCAUAAUUCUACAUAUGGCUGCACCAUUUUCUUUGUAAGUCAAAUUUUGACUUAAACCUAAAAGGGUUUGGUUUUGUGGUUUUGGCCCACAAAUGAGUUGGCCCACACUCAACAAUCUCCCCCUCCAGCUUAUUUGGGAGGUAUAGUCAAACCUGCUUCCUGCCUGCAAAACAAAAGUUUUUCUUUAAGUAAUGCCUUAGUCAACAUGUCAGCACCAUUAUUAUUUGUAUACACCUUCUCCAGUGUCAACAACUUGGAAUCUAGUAUUUCCUGAAUCAAAUGAUAUCUCACAUCAAUGUGUUUGGAUCGAGAACGAAAUGUAGAGUUGUUACACAAAUAAAUAGUACUCUGACUGUCACAGUAAAAACUAUACUUCUCUUGUUUCAAACCCAACUUCUGAAGAAAUUUCUACAACCAAAAAGUCUCCUUGCAUGCUUUAGUAGUUGCGAUAUAAAGGGUGAUACACUUCUGUAACUUACUUUGGCAUGACACUGCUCUCCCUGAAAAAAUCAUCAAGCACCCAAAUGUGGACUUCCUAUUAUCAAGAUCACCUGUCAUAUCUGCAUCGAUAUACCCAUCUAGCAUAGUUUUACCAUUACCGAAACACAAACACAAUUUAGAAAUUCUCUUGAGAUACUUGAGAAUCCAUGAUAGCAUUCCAAUGCUCCUUACCAGGAUUAGAAAGAUACUGACUGACUACUCCAACAGCAUGAGGAAUAUCUGGUCUGGUGCAAACCAUGGCAUAUAUCAAACUACCAACAGCCAAGGCAUAAGGAACCUUCUUCAUGUUUUCUUUAUCUUUCUCACUUGUAGGACACUGCUGCUGUUUAGUUUAAAGUGACUCGCAAGUGGAAUUGAGACUUCCUUAGCCUUGCUCAUGUUAAACCUGUUAAGCACUUUUUCAAUGUAUUUUUCUUGAGAUAACUAAAGUUUUCCAUUUUGUCUGUCUCGUGAGAUUUUUAUCCCCAAUAUCUGUCUAGUUGGACCCAAAUCAUUCAUUGCAAAGGAUUUACUUAACUCCUUUUUCAACCUGUCAAGUUUUAUAGUAUCACGACCAACAAUCAAUAUGUCAUCAAUAUACAGCAAGAGAAUAACAAAAUCACUAUCUGAAAAUUUUUUCACAUAAAUACAAUGAUCUAAUGUAGUCCUGUGGUACUCGUGGUGUGUCAUGAAAGAGUCAAACUUCUUGUAUUACUGUCUCAGUGCCUGUUUCAACUCAUAUAAACUCUUCUUAAGACGGCAUACAAGAUUUUCCUUGCCACUUUCUUUGAACCCCUCCAAUUGCUUCAUGUAGAUCUCUUCUUUCAGGUCACCAUGCAAGACGGCUAUUUUCACAUCAAGUUGUUCUAUCUUCAAAUUUAAACUGGCUACAAUACCCAGAAUAACUCAGUUUGACGACAUCUUUACAAUGGGAGAGAAAAUUUCUUCAAAUUUGACACCCUUUUUUGACUAAAUCCCUUCACAACCAAUCUCGAUUUGUAUUUUGGUUGUGAGUUGUGCUCCUGAAUUUUUAACUUGUAAACCCAUUUAUUUUGCAGAACUCUCUCGCCUUUAGACAGUUUCACUAAGUUAUAAGUGUGAUUCUCAUGCAGGGACACCAUUUUCUCUUGCAUAGUUCGCAACCAAUCUUCUUUAUUCUUGUGCUCUAGAGUCUCACUGUAGGACUCUGGCUCUCCUCCAUCUGUAAACAACACAUAUUCAUGAGGAUUAUAUCUACUAGAAGGUCUCUUCUCUUUGGUAGAUCUCUUAAUCUCAUUUUGUGGUAGUGGUGGUGGAGUAGGUGGUGCCUUAUGCUCAAGUUCAUCAGCAGUAGGAUUGUUACCAUCAUCAACAUCUUCUCUCUGCUCUGUCUCAGCUUUCCCUUGAUUAAAAUCAACAUGUAUUAGAAUUGAAUCUGAAUCUAAAUUUGAACUAGUAGAAAUGUCAUCUGAAGAUUUUGGGUUGUCGUCUUUAACAAUGUCUUCAAUGGUCUAAUCUUCAAAGAAGACAACAUCUCUGCUCUUGAUCACCUUCUUAUCAAUAGCGUCAUGCAACCUAUAGUUAAAAUUUUCAUAUCCAUAAUCCAAGAAAAUACACUGCUUUGAUUUUACAUCAAAUUUUGACUUCUCAUAUUUGGAAAUAUGAACAAAUGCCCGAUAACCAAAAACUCUCAACUGUUUAAAAGAUAUAUCUUUUUCCAUCCAUACUUUCUCUGGGAUAUCACCAUCUAGAGGAACUAACGGAGAAAGAUUAAUCAAAUCGACUGCAGUCCUCAUUGCCUCACUCCAAAAGAAUUUUGGCAACUUAGCAUUAGAGAACAUACAUCUAACCCACUUAGUGAUAGAUCUAUUCAUUCUCUCUGCUACUCCAUUCUCUUGAGGAGUUUUUAGUAUAGUUUUCUCCAAUUUGAUCCGACGGGACUUGCAAUAGAUUUCAAAUGGUCCUCUGUACUCACCACCAUUAUCAGCACAUAUACACUUUAACUGCUUACCAGUUUCUCUUUCAAUUUUGUUAUGAAAAUCUUUAAAUACAUCCAAAACCUAAUCUUUGGAUUUCAAAAUAAAAGACCAAACCUUUCUAACAAAGUCAUCAAUAAAAGUUACAAAAUAAACAACACCACUAAGAGACUUAUCUUUCAUAUAGCAAACAUCAGUGUGCACCAAUUUUAACGGAUUCAAUUUUCUAGACAGAGGAGAAUUUUGAAAUGCAACUCUAUGUUGUUUCCCAUAAAUGCAGUUAACACAAGGUUUAAGUGCAUUACCUCUAACUUCAGAUAAGAGUUGUUUGUGAACAAGUGUCUAAAUCCCCUUUUCACCCAUGUAUCCAAGUCGCCUAUACCAAAGGUCAAUUGAUGAAUCACGAACUACAUUCACUUUUCUCUUCCCCAACUUGGCUUGCAUCAACUAGAUGGUACUUUGCUUCUUUCCUCUAGCAAUAACGAGAUUUCCUUUGCUGAGUUUCCAUUUGUCUCCACCUUGCAAGUUAUGGUAACUUUCAUCGUCAAAUUUUCCUAUAGAAAGAAGAUUAAGGUAAAUAUCAGGGACAUGUCGAGCAUUUCUUAAUAUCAACUGGUACCCGGUAUCUGUAUCUAAAUAUAUGUCUCCCAUACCAACAACUUUGCAUGAGGUCUUAUUUCUCAUUCUAACGUAUCCAAAAUCUCUUUUGGUGUAGAUUGGGAAGAAAUUUCUGUGAGGAGUAACAUGGUAGGAUGCACCCGAAUCAACUACCUAAUCAUUGUUAUAAUUAAUAAUAUUCACCUGACCAUUAUCACAGAACACAAACAUAUCAUCAUGAACUGCCACAACUGUUGUAGUCUCUUUAUCAUCUUUUUCCUUUGCCUUACCCUUUUUCUCAGCUUGUUCUUGUUUUAAAGUUUUGCAUUCCUUCAUAUAAUGCCUAUUCUUUUUACAAUAAUAGAAUGUAUUAUUUUUUCACGACUCAGACCUGCCUCUGGAUUUGUCAUUUCUGUUGUAAGGUCCUCUACUUUUGCUUAUCCCUUUUGUUUCUUUCUUUUCUGUCACCAAGGCCUGGGACUCAUAGAUAAUUCCUUAUUUUUUCUUCCUAAAUUCUUCAUUCAUCAUGGCCUCUUUUGCAAUAGCCAUGAUUAACACACCAUUUAGAGUUGAAUUGCUGACAGAGACCACCAUGGUUUCCCAACUAUCCGGUAGUGAACUAAAUAAUAAUAGAGCUUGUAUUUCAUCAUCUAAAUUCAAAUUUAACGUAGUUGCCUGGUUUAUCAAUUCCUGAAAAUUAUUCAAAUGUUCAGUUAUAUUUUUCCCAUCUUUAUAUCUCAUACGAGUAAUCUGGUUCAGAUAACUAGUCUUGUUUAAAUCGGUCUUCCAUUCAUACAUAUUCUCAAGUUUUUUUUUAUAAUACAUCAGCUCUGGUGUCAAUGUUGAAAAAUAUUUUGACCAAUCCAUUUUCUAAUAUUACCAACAGUUUUUCUGUGCAUAAUAGCCCAUUUUUCAUUACUCAUAUCACUUGGUCUACUCUUAUCCCCUAAAAUAGGUUCAAAUAAAUUUCUACAAUACAGGUAGACUUCCAUUCUAGGCUUCCAAAUCAAAUAAUUAUUAGCAUUCAAUUUUAUCAUACAAUCACUAUCCGAAUCAUCCAUUUUUUAACCAGUACAAAUGAGCAGCCUAACUUGACUGCUCUGAUACCACUUGUUGGGAAAGGGUACCGGUAUAGACACACAAUAUCAAAGUUAGCCCAGGACAAAUUUCUCUUUCCUCAGGUAUCAGUUAAAAUAGGAAUAAACCAAAUCAUCAAACAACGAUGCCAACAGUAAUAAUAAAAUGCAACACUUGUUGGGAAAGGGUACCGGUAUAGACACACAAUAUCAAAGUUAGCCUAGGACAAAUUUCUCUUUCCUCAGGUAUCAGUUAAAAUAGGAAUAAACCAAAUCAUCAAACAACGAUGCCAACAGUAAUAAUAAAAUGCAAGAAAAAUAAAAGGCACAAGACCUUAAGAUUUUUACGUGAAAAAUCUAAAUUGGGAAAAACCAUGGGAUCUAUUCUAGUAAAAAAUCUCCACUAUUACAAUAAUGGGAAUCCACAGGUCUACCCAAAAUAUUCGGAUGACAAUAAUAUCACCAAUACCAACCAAGCAAAAUUACUACAAAAUCACCCUCAAAAACUACAACUGUCAAAGAAGUGGGUUUGAAAAGGUGUUACCAAAUGAAAAGGAAAUCCGAAAUCUGAACCAGUAGAUGAGUAGAGCUUGGUGAGAAGAUCGCAUAUGUAAAAUUUUGUCUCAAUCGGGAUUCAAAUCACCAUCCAAUCAAAUUCUUGAAGUUAUUUCUCUCUCUUUGUUCUUCAUCGAGCCAAAGAAAGAUGACGGCUGGAAAAAUUUUUCUCGUGUAAGGACAGAAUUCUGCAUGCAGCUACACCCUUUUUCUUUUUAAGUCAAAUUUUGACUUAAAUUUAAAAGCCUUUGGGUUGGUAGCCACCUCCUAAGUGGUUUGUUUCUAAAAAAUCCAGGUGGGUGUGCUGUGCACCCGUCUGGUCCGGUGGUGGUUCAGUCCCCUCCGGGUUACCCCUGAAUCUCCUUAAGUCCGCCCCCUCUCCCAUAGUGUAGGAUAGAAUAGGUUUAUCAUCUCCGAAAAAAAAUUAAAAGGGUUUGGUUUUGUGGUUUGGCCACAAAUGGGCUGGCCCACACCCAACAAGAGAGAGAGAGAGAGGAUACUUUCUGGUUAUCAGCCGCAAGGGAGAGAUCUAGGGAGAGAAAAGAACAAAAGAAAUUUCUAGCAACUAGAAAAAUAGGGCUGCCCAACCAGCCCUGUUCGGACAUGCUUUUCUCUUUCAUUUUAGCUCCGUUUUGAUUGAUUCUUUUUCCUGCAUACUAUACAGUUGUAGUAGAAGAAAUGUGUCACUAAUAUUUUAUGAGAUAGCCGCUUUGAAGUCACCAAAUUUGACACCAAAUUUGGGAAGAAAUCAGCCCUGGUGCCUGAAGUUCUGGGAGCUUGGAGUUGAAUCUACAUGUUCAAAAUCCAUUUGUUUUGGACCAUUUUUCAUCAAUACAUCCAGGCAGAUGCUCUUAAACUUUGGUUUUUCUAUUCUUUUCUAUUUGGAUGCACCUUGGGGGAUUUUCUUUUCAUGUUUUGCUACUUCAAGGGUCAAGAAUGGUGAAAACUCUUUUGGAUGAUUGAGACCUUAAUUUUUUCUUGAUGUUUUGGCCUUUGAGCAUAAGUAGAAGCUGUAGAUAUUUUGUUUAUAUGCUUGCUUAGAAUUCUAAGAAUGAAACACGGGUUGUAUGAAGGUUUUGUCUUAAAACUUGAUGUGAGUAUAAGUGAAGUUUGGGGUUUUGUUCUUAGAUUUGAAAUUUAGAUUUGAUUGGUUUUGCAUUGAUUGGGACCUUGUUUGAUGCCUUAAAUAUAGUCUUAAUGUUGUGGAGAUCAUUUUUAUGUAAAAAAAUAUAUAUAUGUCAAGAGUCAUUGGAAAAUUUUGCUGAUGGAGUUUUGGUUGUUUUUGCCCAAAUAUUUCCAGAACUUGGUGCUUUGCCCAUCAAGGUUGCUAGACAAAGCUCUGUUUCUUUUUCUUUCUUCUACUUGAGUUGAUUGAUCUAUUUUUUUUUAUUUGGGAUUUGUUUUGCUUUGAAUCAGACCCGUUUGUGCUCUUUUAAAAGGUGGAUUGUUCAAUCAUGAUUAGAUAGAUGAAAUACACUAGUAUAUUAUUUGCCUCACAAUAAAUGAGAAUUUGUGUCAUAUAUGUUUCAUUGUUAAUCAGCUCUUGUUUUAAUGAUACAUUUGAUAGGUUGCAUUUUUAUUAUUAAAUUUAUGAUCGUUUUUCCCUAGAUUUUUAUUAAAUAUUGUGUUAAUUGGUAGAUUCUACUCAUAUUUGGUAAUUAGUGUUAGUUGUAGGGACUCAAAGCGAAAAGGAAUUAAAGACAUACUUUUUUACUGGACUUUUAUAUUGUUUAGUGUGGCCGCAUCAAAAUAUUAUUUUGCAUGUUUGGAAAGUUAGGUAUUUGGCGAGUGAUCUCCAGUCUUGAAUUGAAGUCGUGCAAAUCAGAUUAUUCACCGAACGGUUAGUCUCCUACUUUUGGUAGGAUAUUAGUCUAUGUAUCUAUUAGGAUUUCUCUUUUUUCGGAUAAGAGUUGUUGACUUAGUAAGAGUAGUUUAUUAGGUGUAGGAAACAAAGAAAGAAAUGUUGAUGUCUAUCUUUUCUUUCUCACAGGGGAUAGGAAACAAAACGGAAAGAAACAUCAUAUUAGUUAUCUUUUUCUUUUUCGCAAGGAGGAGGGACGAAAUUUUCCUUUCCCUUUUCCUUUUGACUUCAUCUAAUAAUCGGAGAAUGGUUUUGGCAAUGACUUCUACUAUUUUCCGUGGGAUUUCUACAAUAGAGAUAAACUAAGCUCUUUAUUCUAGUCAAAAAACAACAGAGGAUUUGGUUCAACUAAAAUUAUGAGAUCGAAUUGAUUAUAUUUAUUUCUUUUAUUUAUUGGUAUUUGUAUGUUCCCUGAUUUAAUUUCUUAUGAUUACUAUAUUAUUUGAAUAUCCAGGGCUCGAUAUUUAAAUUGAAUUAAUAACUUAGAAUUAGUUAGAGCAGUUUAAUCCAUAAAUGUUUAAUUGCUUUAAAAUAGUGAUAACUGACAUGAUUGGAUUUGUGUCGAGGAGACAUACGGGCUAAUUUAAAAUAACCUUCAUAACUUGUUAUUUUAUUCGAAUAGGACUUCUCUAAUUCUUAAGGCAAUUAAAAAAUUGAACUCUAAGGUUGUACCUAGGAUUAUAUCUUGAUUAGGACAAUGAUUAAUGUUCGUACCAUAAUCACCAAUAGAGUAAGCAGAAGUUGUUGUCAUUGCUUAUUUGGCAAUUAUAACUUGUUUAUCAAUGAGUAAGGGAAAUUAUUUUUGUAUCAAUGAUCAAUUGAGUAAACCAUUUUCGAAGUUAUUUCUUGGCUAGAGAUUAUUUAUUCUUAAUUCAAUUUUAAUAAGUUGUCAUUUAGUAUUUUAUUUAUUUAUUUGAGUUGUUUAAUUAUUCCCAUUUUUAUAAAAACCCACCUUACUCUGGGCUCUAAAAAAAUGAAUUUUUUUCUAAUCCCUGUGGAUUCAACUCUACUCACUACUAUAUAUAAAAUUUAUAUUUUAUUUGAGUAGGUAUUUAUCAUUGCACAAAUUCAAUACCUAUCAACUUUUAUGAACUCCUUGGUAUUUAUUCAUACAUGUCGCAAAAAAAAAAACUAUAGAAAGAAUUAGCUAUCUUUUACAUGAAUUCCCUCAUAUCUACUUUAGUAAAUGUCUUUGAAGGGACGAAAAUUAUAAACUUGAUUUAUCUCUUUGUACUUACUUGACCUACAUGUAUAUUUUAAGGGAUAUAUAUUUGAUGAGAAAUAAUUUUGAUUUUGCCUUAAUUACAAGGGGGAGUUCAAUGCUUUAUCAGACAAGAAAUUAUUUUGUUAUGGCACUAGAAUAAACAAUAUGCUUAAUCUUGGAAGAAGUUACUUAUAAUUCUUUCUUCACGAUCAAUUUCUCUUCAUUCUUACAUACUUUAUUUUUGUUGAUAUCAAAAGGGGGAGAAAAUUAUAUGAUAUUACUUUGAAUGCUAAGUUUGUACUUAGGGCGAGUUUACUUGAAUUCUAUUUGCUGAUCUUUGAAAUACCAUAGAGUAAGAAAGAGUCUAUUUGAGUUUAUUUGAUCAAAGAAAUUAUCAGUUUAGUUAUCAUUAUCAAAAAGAGGAAAAUUGAAGAUUUAGAUCGAUCAAUCCUUAAUUUUGAUGAUUAACGAAUCAAAAUAAUGAUUUGAACUAAUGUUUUUAGUGGGAAUUUUGCUAGAGCAGAUGCUCAAACAUUUUCAAAAAAGGACAAAAUUUAAGAAGGAAUGAAAAUUGUUGCUCAGUAUCGGACGCGCAAUUACUUGAUCAAAUGUUCGAAGUACAGAUAUCCCUUAACAUCGGACACAACAUCAGACGCAUAAUGAAGGGUCAUUGUCCCGAACAUUAAAGCGAAUAACAUUGGGCAAAGUGUCAUCUGCUUACUCACUCUUUCAGUUGUUUGAAAAUUAAAUGUAAAACUUAGGAAGCUAUUGACCUCUUUUGAAUGCGUCGGUUGGACGGUAAAUAUUUGGAUCGGUUGUUCGAUCAAAUAUCGGGCGCAUGGUUCGGAUGCAGAGCAUUUGGUUCGAAAGUCCAAUAGUUCGAAUGGUUAGUUUUUAAUAGUUAUUUUUUUGACUGUUGGAGAGCUUCUUGGACUUUCAUCUUUCAUAAAUACCCCAAGACCUGAGCUAUUAUAGUAACUUUUGCCUAUAUUGAAUAUAAGUUCGUAAGACUGAUUUUAUCUUGAAAAACUCUCAUUUAUUCUCUUGUACUCUUUGUGAAGUUGUAAAGAAGAGUAGGUCUUAGUUGGUUGGCAAACAUUCAAUUAUUGUACGGUGAGCAUUGACUAGAGAGAAGAUGCAAAAUUCUUUGCCUCAACUAAAUAGUGCUUAGAAUAAGUAAACAGCGAACCUCAGCAAAUUCCCCCAAUAGUUCUUCAACUAAUUCAUUAAUCCACAUUUGAUCCUCCAUCUUAAAAAUGGGGCAAAAUUGUCCUCCAAUAAAUUUUUUGAACCACAUUGAUCCCUAUGUGGCGGAGCCAUCAAGAAAUAGUUGGACAAAAAUGGUGGUGAAAUUUGAAUUCUCUAACUGCUCAACCACAUAGGGUCCAAUUUGGCCCAAAAAUUUUUGUUGGAGGACUAUUUUAUCCCAUUUUUAAGAUGAAGGACCAAACGUGGAAUAGUAAAAUACUUGAAGAACUAUUUGGGGGAUUUGUUCAAUAACCUUUUUAUGUAUAAAGUGGUUUGCUUCACAAUUAAUUGAAGAAACUAAAAAUGGAAUUAACUUCAAAUUUAGAAGAAAUUUGGGAGUUUAUUUGGUUUGCAAUCCUCGUUACUUUUGUUGGUCUUUUUAACUACUUGAUUGUGUGGAUUAAAUUGUCUUAUCUUUUCUAUCUUCACUACUACUUUUGUUUGCUUAAAUGUGUGAUCAGUUAAAUAAUUUUGGCUAGUUAAAAUUGUAAUUUGUUUGUUUCUGUAUAACAUAAUGCACCCCUUUUAGAUUACACUCUCUUACAUUGACAAUAAAAUUCAAACAAAUAAUCUUUUAUGAAAAAAUUUUUACCAAUGGAAUGAAUUUGUGUUUGCAUUUCCUAGCAUAUCCUUGAAUAUAUGUAUUUGUCUCGUUGUGAAUCACCUAAGAUACUGUUCCCAGUAAACUAUUCCAGCAGCCCUCCGUAAAGGAAGGGAAGGGGGGACUCCACUCCUGGUACCGGUAACGGGGACUGCACAGCACCGAUAGUUGUAGAGGUACAAUGUGUUGUCCUUUAAUUCUCAACUCAGCAAACAAAACCACCAAAACACAAGAAAUCUGCGACUGCUAUUUGACUUUUAGUAGUACGAUAAGUAUGUCAUGUCUUUGCUUAUUCUGAUAGUGGGGACUAGAGCCAGAGGUUUCUAAAGCCCCUUUCUCUCUGUCUUUUUUCAUCGUGUCCUCUGUCCUACGGCAGAUUUUUUUUUAUUGAAGGAGUCCUACUGCAGAUCUAUUUCAUCAAUGUGAUAUUAAAAUCUAAUUCUUUAUUGCUAUCAUAUGUGUUGUGGGAUUGUCCCUUUUUAUCAUAAACUGUUUAUUUUUGAAGGACCCUAUCAUGUACUGCAGCAAUUAUUGCAAUAUUAAUCUAGUGUACUGGUCUUGUGAAAAAGCAUGAUUGACAGUCUGGAUUUGAUUUGAUCAGUCGGUAUCCUUGCACGAAUGCUACCUCUGGCAUGAAUUUAAUUAACAAUGACCGAUGAUCAAUGCAGCUAUCCUUUUUUCUUCGGCCUUCUAUUUGCUUUCUUUCAAUUCAUUUGGUGGCCCUGAUCAAUCGAUCCUAUCGAUAAUCACAAAAAUACCAAGAAAUUAGACAAAGAAAGGAUCAGCAUUGCAAUAUGGAAAUCAAGGGGAAAAAAAAUUGCAAUAAUAUUUCGCUUGCAUCACAAAUACAUUUCUCAACCUAUCUUUUUAUAUUUCCAAUCAUCUUUUUAUCUCACAUACAUCAUAUCACAAAAAGUACUGCAGUAAUUAUUCCAAAUAAUACACUAUCCAAACAAACCCAUUUGUUAGUUGAAUCAAAACCUUAAGGGGCUAAUGUGCAGGUUUCAUUUAUGUCAAAAAUUGAAUAAAUUCAAUUUUUAAAAAUUCAAUAAUUCAACUUGUGACACACUACUUAAUGACAUGAUGUGAUACAAUUUGAGUCAUUUAGAUCUUUUGAAAAGGGGUUUACUCAAGUGUAAGCCUUCCAUCUACAAGCACUUGCAAGCAAAUGUUAGCUUCUACACUUGCUCAAUUACAAGGAGUUACUUGGUAUUUCGCCCAUAUGAUAUUGUCCAUUGCUGGUCCAGUAUCCAGACGCGGCAACUGUACUUGUGUCGUUUGUGGCAGGAUAACCUCAACUUUUCAGCAUGCAUUUGGGACCUGUUAUAAUUGUUUUCAGCAUGCAUUUGGGACUUUACAUGUGCAUUCCUGGAAUGAAAUGGAUUGAUUUGGCAGUGCACUAUAGACCAAAUCGGUUCUAAGAAAUAUUGUCGGUGGCUAGCUAUAUGGUUUCAGGUUAGCAUAAUCCGUAGUGGUUAUAUGGUCAGGCAAUUGAAAUUAUGAGUAUGUAAUGGUGGAAAACAUACAUUUUGUUAUAUUAGCAAAAUUUUCAUCAUAGAAUAAAUACCAAGAUCGACACUAUAUAUUCCCGAAUUUGAGUGAGUAUCAAACGAAUCAUAUGUUAUACCUUCCGAUACCUUUUGUAAUGGAUCCUAAAGGAUACAAAUAACUCUAAACUUUCUUCCAAAGGUGUUGGUCAAGUUCGAAUCCUGCCAACAUCAAUUCCGUCAAAGAGUAGCAGCAGUAGACAGACACAUCACAAAAACAGUAGCAGGAGUCGUCUUCCCCUAUCAUUCUCUUCUUCAAGACUCCUACUUAUAAUAGAAUAGAAUAUCAAAAACAAAAAUUGAAAGUUGCCUUUGUUUUUUUUUUUUUUUUUCUUUUGUAUAGACACCGGCUUCUUGUAUAACAUUAACCAACGAACUGAUGCAAAACCUGGUUCCACCAACUCCAAUUAAUACAAGCGUGAAGCAUGUAUAAAUUGUAGCUGCUUUGCAUCUUUUGUGAAUCUGUUAUUCAAUUGGAUAAUUUCAAAAACCUCUCUUCAAGUUUCUACAACUUUUCUGUCAUUCCCUAAGAUUUUGAAAAUAUGAAUAAUUCGUUGAAACCUACAUCUUUUUAAUAAUUUAUUCCAAUUAAAAAAAGCAAUAAUAAAAAUAAUUUUAGGUGUGAGAAGUUCAUUUAAUUCCAAAAGUUUCCCUCACAUAUAAUAAUCGUUCAUUUAACGAUUCACUCUAGCUUUUUAUUUCAAUUAUGGGGCCAUUAUUACACAUGAUUAACAAAAAAGUUUCAUCAUCUACAAGCAAAAAAUAACAACUUUUAAAUUUUAACAAAAUAAAUAUCUUUUUUCUUACCCUAAGAUUCUUAUUAGCACUAUGUUAAUAAGAAGAAACAACAGAAUCGAAGUUUCCUCAUACCCAAUUCCUUUUAAUCAUCAAGUACAUAAAAAAGUUAGUCUACUAUUGGAGCCCUUUUUAACAUAAUCAAAUUAUGAUUAAUUUAGUUUUUAAAUAACUUAAUUAUUUUUCAUGUCUAAAUCCUUCUAUUUAUCACGUACAUCAUAUAUGACUCCUUUUAUCUAUCAAAUACAUUAAUAGAAAAAGUGAACCUAGUAUCGAUUCCCUUUUUAUAUAGCAAGUUAGUUGUUUUUUAAUUCUAAAUUAUGGUUAAUUUAUUUAGCAAACGUUUUAAUUGUUUCUCUCCACAAGUAUGUACCUUAAGUUGUAAGGAUAUAAUUUAUUCUAAAUAUGUACCUUGAGUGUCAAAUUGAUGAUAGGAAAUUAUCAAAACUCAAGAAGAGUACAAUACAUUUCCCAGACAGUCAAGAGGAAAACAAGAUACGGGGCCUCACAAGUUACAGCUUCCUCUAUUUGAGGGAUUUAAAAUUAGUCAUUUUAAAUUUUUUUCCAUCGCACCUCAACAUAUUUAUACCUUAUCUACCAAGGUUUUAAAACCAAGAUCGUUCAUUGAAUCGGAAAAGUCAUUGGGCCACAAGUCACUAGUUCAAAUAUUGGACUGACUGUUUUUGGCUAGUGUCGUCAUAUUUAAAUAAAAAUAAAUUAUAUAUUGCUAAUUUUAUCAUAUCUGCAAUUUACAUCCCACUAUAAAGGUUUAGACACAUGAUCAUAAGUAUAGUCCUUUUGCUAAUAAGUUUAUAAUAAAAUAAACUAAAAGACAAGCAAAGAGACAAAGCAAAAUAAAAGAAAAGCAAGAAAAAUAGAGCUAUAAUUAUAUCAAUAUGACAAGCUUGACACCAAAACAAUAAGAAUCUUACUUUAGAAAAUUAGUAAAUUACAAAGUAAAACAAAAAAAAAAAUCAUAGAUUAGGAAAUCAAACCUACACAUACAGUUUAGGCACAAAAUUGAACUUUAUUGAAGGAAUUUGAGAGAUUAAUGAUGAGAUGAUGAAGAGAGGGAUAAUUAGGAAGAGAAGAAAUUGAAGAAAAUUAGGUGAAAAAUAAGAAAUAAAAGAAAGGAAGAUGAUUGGAGUCUUGAUUUUGACUUGAAUCGACUAUAAGUUGCGGCUAUUUAAUUAGUUUCUAGGAUUUUUUUUACUUUUGCUUUUUUAUAAAAUUUUGACCAAUUGAAUUAACCGGACUGAUUUAAAAAAAAUUGUUCCGAUUUGACGGUUCACUAGUUGGACCCUCCCAAUCAACUGGGCUUCACUAAAUGAAGCGAUUUGUUAGCCCUACUGGAUUUGAAGCAUAACUGGACUCGGACAAUCACCCGAUCAACUGUUCAAUUGGUUCGACCGGACGGUCCGAGCUGAGUUUUAAAAUACAAAACAACAGCAUCUAAUAUUCUAAUCUAUAUAUCCUCCCAACGGAUUGGGGGAACCUCCUCACAGUCACAGAUUCUCAAACACCGCCGACACUCAAAACUCUAACCUGCUAACCAGCUUAGCUGCGGAAUGCCACCACUCAAAAUGGGCGGCAUCAAAAACAAGACAAAGCUACUCCAGCUCACUUUCGCCGCUCUGCUGGCACUUCUUGUUCUGCUGGCCCUCUUCUCCCUUGUCACAAAUACCAACGCAGUGCUACAACAUCCAUCACCAUCACAUAAUACUACUACUACUACUACUAGCACCACCACCACCAGUAAAAGUAGUAUUCACGUCCACCAACACCUUCAAAUUGCUCACUCAACAUGCCAGGACACCUUCUACCCAGACCUCUGCGUCUCCACUCUGGCCACAUUCCCGGAUCUUCGCCAGAGGACGCUCCCGGAGAUCAUUUCAGGCAUGGUUAACUCCACCGUGUUCGAGGUCAGGGACUCCAAACAAAAUUGCACCCGCAUUCGCAGAAAGUUACAGAAUCUGGACCCGCUGGACCGUCGAGCUCUGGAAGACUGCCUGCAGCUCCUGGACGACACCGUGGCUCAGCUGAAGGCCGCCAUCUCCGAUCUUUCCUCCAACAAAUCUGCUCUCCAGCACUACAUGGACCUGCAGACGCUCUUCAGCGCCGCAAUGACCAAUCAGGACACAUGUCUAGAUGGUUUCGCUUUCUCGAGGAGGAAGUACAUCAGGGAGUUCAUCGAGGGAAGGCUUCGCAAGAUUUCCCACCACGUCAGCAAUUCGCUAGCCAUGCUUAAGAGAGUCAAGAAGCAGCAAGCAGCGGCAGGUGCAGUGUUCCAGGAGGAGGAGGGAGAGUUUGGGACGCCGGUGAAGAGUGGAGCUGGGUUCCCGACUUGGUUGAAGAAGAAGGACAGGGCAUUGCUACAGGCGCCCCUGAACCAAACUAAAGUCAAUCUGACAGUGGCCAAGGACGGCAGCGGCAACUUCACCACUAUCAAUGACGCGUUACAGGCGGCUCCAAACUCUAGCACCACCAGAUUCGUGAUUUACAUAAAGGCCGGGGCCUACUACGAGUACAUUGAGGUGGAAAGCAGGAAGAAAAUGAUCAUGUUUUUGGGAGACGGCAUCGGAAAGACAGUGAUAAAGGGCAACCGGAGCGUGGGGGCAGGAUGGACUACGUUCCGCUCUUCCACAGUCGGUAAUUACAACUCCCAUCUUCUCCGUCUCUUUUUAUUUAUUUCUUUUUCUUUAUGUGUGUUGUAGGAGUAGAAAGAUGGUUAAUUCUUUAAUAUGCUUUCGGAUUGGAAAAGAGAUUAUUUGGGAUAAUUUUUUGAGUAAAAGAAUACUAUUAUUUUUUUUUAAUGUAAUGUAUGUGAAAUGUUAAAAAUAAUAAAAAAAUAUAUUUAAGACGUAAAUAGAUAAAUUUUUAUAAAGUAAUUUUUUAUCCAAGCACACCGUACGUGAAAAAUACUAUACACUCUUCUAAUACUGUCCAUGCUCACUAAUUCCUACCCCAUAUGGCAUUUUCAUUUUUAUAGGAGCAUGUUUGGAUACUAAAUUUUGUUGAUAUUUUCAUAUGGCAUUUUUUGUCUAAAUAUUAUUUUUCUUGCGUUAUAAAUAAUUAUUUUUAAAUAAAUAAAUUUUUUUAUAUUUUAAAUUAUUUUUAUUUUAUAUAUAUUAUAUUAAAAAAUAAUUAUUUUAAAUAAUACUCCGUACAGAACACACACAAAGUCUCAUCAUAUGUUUUGUGUAAUAAUACUACUAUCUACUAGUCUCCGUUCCCCAAGCAUAGUGUCGGCGUCGACCGAUUGUUGGUCUCCAACUAAGUAAUGCUGCCACAUAACAUAUUACUCCACUGGUCCGGUCCAGUACAGUAGGUGGCUUGGAGGAAAGGAAUAAUUGCUCCGUCAACACAGACGGUUGACUGGAUAGGGCGGGAGGUUAUUUAAAAUAUUUAUUUAAAAUAAUUAUUAUAAUAAUUUUUUUAUAUAAUAUAUGUGAGAUAAAAAAGUGAUUGAAAAUUGUGUGUAUGAUUUAAGUAAAAUAAAAUUUAAAAUUUUUAUUUGAAACUCUUGCAAUCCAAACAAACCACAUUCGCAUCGAAUGCUGAUUGAAUCCUAAAUGCACAUGCACCUCUGCUCUCGCAGGACCUUGGCUCUAUUUGGAUCCUUCAGUUUUUUAAAAAUUAGUUUUUCAAAUAUUAUAAAAAUUUUUAAAAAAUACUCGGAAAUGUACUCUAAAAAGUAGUCUAAAUUUUUUUUAUAUUUAAAAAGUAUUUAUUCGCAUACUUAUUUCUUCCUGUUUCACUGAAAGUGUUACAUAUUUCAUUUUGAUAUGUUUUAAAAUAUUUAUUAUUUUAUUAAAAUCAAUGUUGCUCUUGAACUCUUUUUUCAAUAUUAUUCAUAAUUUUUUAUAUAUUUUUAAUAAAUUUAAAUUUAAAAUUCAAAAUUUUGAGGACAACUUUGCAAAUAAAUCUACUAAUAUUACCGUCAAACUAUUAUUUUUAGAAAGUUGAAAGUGAGAAAUGUGACAGACAAUUUGGAACGCAGAGAGUAUGUUAUGCUGGGAGCUUUAAUUGUCAAACGGUCUGGUUGAAUUAUGUACUAACUAGUAUAAAUACCCGUGCUACGCACAGUAGUUUAUAUUUUUGAAAAAAAUUACAAUUUAUGGAGAAAUUUAAAAAAAAAAUAAAAUAUUAUAAUCACGGGCACAUGAAAGUAUAUUUAAAAAAAUGAAACUUUGUAACAAUAGUUCAAUAUAUGACAAAAAUAUCUCCAUUAUUUAUAAACUAUCACUUUGAUGAAUGUUGGAUCCUGAAAAAAAAAAUAGAAAUCUAUAUCAUAAAUUGAGAGACAUAAGGGUCCAAUUAAAUAUAAUUGAAUAUUUAAUUUGAUAAGUAAAUGAAAUACUUACAAACAUUUUGCCUUUGAUUUGAUAAUCUUCUACGAAGGUGUGAACAUUCUUCACACCAAUUAACUCUGAGUACGAACGCCAGUGUUGGGGGUUUAAUUAAUUCAAUUGAUUUUUGUGGAGUUCGCACUAUAAAUGAGAAUGCACGAUUUUUGCAUGAACUAAUGUGUUGGUCGAACAAUGUACAUCCAUUUUCCUGACAAUUAAAAGCAUACAUAAUUCAAAAUUAUAUUUUGUUUUAGACAGUUUGCAAAUAAUAUUAUAUAAAACUAUAUACAUAUAAAUAAUGUAUACCUUUGUUUUUAAAUCUUUAAGAUAAGAAUCAUCAUAACGAAACAUGAAUCGUGCAUGCCUGUCUUGAAAAGUGAGGUAUAGGUUACCACUGGAAUCUCUAACUUCUAUGUUAACAUUGUAUCUGUUAAGAAGAAAUUGUAAUGUAUCAUGCAAAAAAUUAUAUUAAAAUUCAAAAUAUAUGAAAAUAAUUACCUGACAAUAGUGUCGACUACGUCAUUACAAUGGAUAUACACCAUUUUUGUAAAAUGAGAUUGACAUGAUUAUCCACAAUUUUUGCAUAAUUCAUGGAACAUAUUGUUUAUGUUGAUACUUUGAAUGUAAGCAAGUAUCCAAAAAUAUUUAACCUAAAACCAUCCAAAGAAUGUAUAAAUUACAAUUAUUAAUUCGAAACUACAUGUAGAUACUUGUUCAUUACUUAAUUAAUUGAGAGGAAUUGUAUCGUAGGUAGAACUGCAUAUUUGGAUAUCCAUAUUCUCUUAGCAUUUGAUAUCAACAAUGCUUGAGACAUUGUAAAAUUGUAUGACCGCAACUACGUCACUAGUUUCUGAGCACAUUUAUCAUUCUCAAACCUGCAAAAUUUUCAAAUAUAUAUUCGUGAGGGUAUGAAAUAUUAUUAAUAAUUUAAUAUUUUGGUAUUUGUAAAACUUACCAAUUGUGUAGGUAUUGAUCAAAAUCCAAGUAGUAAUUGACAUACAAUUUGUUUGCUUGAAUAGUAUAAAGUGAUGGUCCUGCACAAUGUGCUAUAUUUAUUGAUAAACUACAAAAAUAAAAGAAAAUAAAGUGAAAAUAAAUUUAAUUACCUUUAUAAUUUCUCACACAAAUACCACAGGCUAGCAAAACAUUAUUUUUUGUAACAGUUUGACGCAAGUGUUCACCAUCAUCAGUUGCAAAUUUAUCACAUAAAGUCAACCGAACUACUGUCAAACUUCAUUUAGAGAAUUUUGGUAAGUAUAAAUCAAAAUUUGCAGAAUAUAAAAUAUUUUAAAGAUAUUGAAUCUAUUAACUAACCUAAUGUCAAGUAAAAGUAUGUCACACUUAAUUUUAUCAUUGAUAGAUGUUUGACAGUGUGAACCAAUAGAUACAACUAAACCAAUUGCAUCUACAAAAGAUCAAAAAGUAUAAGUAAUAGCAGUUCAAAUAUACAACUUAAUAGAAGUAUGGUUAAUUAAGAACGAAAUACCUAUCAAUUGCAAAUAAUUGUCCAUGUGUUGUUUGACCAGAUUAAACUUGAAACGGGGUAUGGUUCCACAAUCAUCUAAAAUAUUCACUAUUUUCGUAUUGUUUCCAAAUGAUAAUUGGUACUGAUGUGAAAAUAAAAUAAAAUAAAGUGAAAAUAAAUUGAAUUACCUUUAUAAUUUCUCACUCGAAUACCACAGGCUAGCAAAACAUUAUUUUUUUGUAACAGUUUGACGCAAGUGUUCACCAUCAUCAGUUGCAAAUUUAUCACAUAAAAUCAACCGAACUACUGUCAAACUUCAUUUAGAGAAUUUUGGUAAGUAUAAAUCAAAAUUUGCAGAAUAUAAAAUAUUUUAAAGAUAUUGAAUCUAUUAACUAACCUAAUGUCAAGUAAAAGUAUGUCACACUUAGUUUUAUCAUUGAUAGAUGUUUGACAGUGUGAACCAAUAGAUACAACUAAACCAAUUACAUCUACAAAAGAUCAAAAAGUAUAAGUAAUAGCAGUUCAAAUAUACAACUUAAUAGAAGUAUGGUUAAUUAAGAAUGAAAUACCUAUCAAUUGCAAAUAAUUGUCCAUGUGUUGUUUGACCAGAUUAAACUUGAAACGGGGUAUGGUUCCACAAUCAUCUAAAAUAUUCACUAUUUUCGUAUUGUUUCCAAAUGAUAAUUGGUACUGAUGUGGUGCAAGUCGAUAUUUAAGAUCUGCCGGAAUUACAUAUAUAUUUUGAAACCAGUGUACCUUGCCUUCAUGGAGAUGAUCUGCGAAAAUGUUUAUUGUAGUGGGAAGAUGGGUGAGAAGUGUUAGUUGGAGUAAGGUGUGUAAGGGGUGUUAGUGGGAGUUAAUUUCUUGUUUGAGGGAAACGUGGGAGUGUUAGUUGGAGUUAACUUCUUGUUUGAAGGAAACGUGGGGGAGGGGGGUGUAAUGUGCCCAUGAUAUUUUUUACGAAAUAAAUUAAAUGUAAAAUGUUAGAAAAAUAGAGUUGAGAGAGGGAAAGUUUGUGAAGGUUUGUUACUAAAAAUCCCUUCUCAAAUUUAUAUAGAUAUAUAUUCCUCUAACACGACUACUGACAACCAGACUCUUAGCUUUGAAAAGCGUGAUAGCUUUAUUGCAAAAUGCAAUUUCAAUGGUAAAACCAAUUGAUUGUUGCUGUUUUUUAUGGAUAAAAAAGAUUUGAUGACUUUUUUUUUUUCUUCUAAUGGAUAUGUUUCCACCUCAAAUUUUUGUAGCUUGUGUUGUUAUUUCUUCUGUCCCAAAUUUUUUAUCACACUUUAGAGGUUGUGCUUUUUAUUUUUCAAUAGUAGUAUGGAAAACACUAGUUUUGUUUUAGUUUCCUUUUGGGAUAAUAUUGGAACAUUGUCCUCAUGAGGGUGGUCCAACGGUAAGCGGACUCUUGUGGUUCUGAGUUCGAAUCUUACCCUGAAUUUGAACCUCAGUGACUCGCCUGGGAUCGCUGCGUGGGACCAUGGAGCACUCCUCUGGUUUGCUGUGCCAACAGGGUCCUAAGAGUUCGAGUCCGGGAAUGUUCUGGAUUACCAAAAAAUAUAUAUAUAUAUAUUGGAACCUUCCUUGAGAUUUCUUUUAAAAUAUUGGAAAGCACUUGUUUUAUCAUCUAGGACUUCUAAGAUUUUAAAAUUAUCACUUACCUUCCUUACUUUUCUUAUUUGUAUAACAAAAUUUUGAAAACCCUAAACUACUCUUUUUCUUGUUUUGUUAAAUAAAAAUACUCCUAAAAUACUUUAUUUACUCCAAAAAUCACCACCUAAAAAGCAAUCUCUAGUAGUAUCACCACGUCACAAAGUCAUGCUUCAUAACAAUAUCCAUGUGAAAAAUAAAAAAGAUAUUUGUAAAUAAAUACACUAGCACCAAUUUAAUUUUAUAUCUUUAAAAUUGACUUCUUAUCUCAUCAACCUCUAGUCCAAGCCUUUAAGUUGUACUACUAAUUAUUACAAAAAUCAACUCAAAAUGAACAAAGAAAUCACAUCCUACUCUAUCACAAUCACAAAUAGUAAAAAUAAAUAAAAUUCAAUUAACUAUAAUUUAUAAAUAAAAAAUUGUAUAGUCAUCCAAAGAGAUGAGUAAGAGAGAACGUUGGAAAAAAGGGAAAGAGAAGAAAGCGAUUUUUGUUUCUUUUUCUCUUUUUUAAUUUUUUUGAACUCUAUUUAUUUGAUAUGUGAAUUAUGUAUCAAGUGAAGAUUAAUAUAAUUUUUUUAUAAUUCUACUUAUUAUAUAAGAAGAAAGUGGAGUUACUAUAGCAACUUCAAUGAUUGCCAAGUAGAUCCCUCUCAUUUUGACACGUGGCCCAUUCCUUUUCUUUUCUUCAUUUUUUUUUUAUUUUGUUCAUUUUAUUUCCUUUCUCCUUUUUGAUUAAAGAUAAUUAAACAAAUCCUCAUGUACACUGCAAGUUUGUUAUUUAGUUUCCACUUUGUACUCCGUUUUUUUCCCCUAUAAUCCUAAUCAUUUAUUCUAUUUUUUCUCUAUUGGAUUAGUUGAUGCAUUUUCUUUCAUUUUUGUCCAUAAUUAACUAAAUGAAUGAUUUCAUUAUCGGAGAUCAAGAAUGGGUUUGAUAUUUCCUUUCUUCCAUAGUCCAAUAAUUAUGAUUCAUGAUCUUCUACUUUUAAUGUCUCUUUUUGGUAUAUACUAUUUGAUUUUUUUUUUGUCAUUUUUUGCGUCUUGAUCAGCAACCUUUGCUUAUUGCUUUUCUCACCUGUUUCUUCUUCAUCUGACUUUCUUUUUUGUCCAAAAGAGGUAUGUGAUGCUGUGAAUAUUUUCCCCAAAUCUAAAGAAACAAUUUUUUUAGUUUUUUAUAUUUUAUUUAUUCUAAAACUACUUUUUGAUCUUUUUAUUUUUGGAAAAAAAUUCCCUAAGGCUGACAACAAGACGGUUGGUGAUUACAUGAAGAAUUUUUAGGCCAACAAUGAAAGAAUUGUAACUACUUUUCCCUCAUAAAAUAAAUAACACCAUUAUGCAGAUUCAUUCUAAUUUUAAUUUUUUAUUUAUUAAAAUUGUUAUUUGAUAAUAGGGUGAUAGUACUACAGUAGAGGAGAAAAAAAUCUAAUAAAUGAAAAUCCAAGGUAAAUGAUGAUCAGGAAGAAAAAAAAUGAUGCCUAUUAAAUUAAAAAUUAAUCAGAAUCUCUUAAUUUAUGGAUAGGUAAUUAUAUUUUAAUUUAUAUAAAGUUUAUUAAUUGUGAAAAGUGCUUAUAAAUUGGAUAAGGUGGAUGACGUGUAAAAUAAUUGUUGGGGCUAGCAAUUUAGAAUGUGAAGAUAAUAUUUUAUAUCUCUUCAUUCAACAUUUUGAAUGACUAGCUUGUAUCCAUGAUAGAUAGUUUAUUUUCAUGGUUUUAAUUUUAGCAAAUGAUAGCUUGGAAAUAAAAGAAGUGCAAAAUUAGAUUUCAGAAUCUUUAUUUAAGCUGGUUCUAUAUGACUUUGUACUCUUAUCCUCUUUUAUUGCCCAUAAUGAUAGAUAAUGUAAUUAGAGUUUGAGAUGAUUGUUAGGCAUAGAACUGGACAUAUCAUUACUAUUUGGCUAAAGAAGUUAAUAAUAUUUUGUCGAUUUGACUAGCUAAAACAAUUGCAGUUUUCAAGGGAAUGCAUUUGGUGGUGGAAGUUAGUAUUGAGGCUUUUAGCUUAGAGUAGCUUAGAGUGUCACUCUACAAAAUAUUAUUAGAAAAUUCUAUUUUGAUUAAGAAGACAUAUUUGCAAUCAAACAAAUUGUUGGAUUUGAAUUUGCAUAUGUAUAUUUAGAAAUAUGGCAAUUUAUGUUUUUAUUUCAACUUGCUAUACGUAUUCUAUAACUAUUUGGUUAGAUAAUGUUUUCAUCUAUUUGUAAUGCUAUUAGAAAUGAUUUAAAUGGAUAGAUUAACUCGCUCUUUCUCUCAAAAAAGAAAGAAAAAUAUGCAAGUUUGUAUUUUUUUUUUAUUGAUGUUGAAGAUAGUGACAGGUUUUUGUGGCUUUCUAUAUUUUUUCUAAUUAUUAAAAUGUUAGAAACAUUAUGACUACUCUUUAUUUAAUUACAACUAAAACUAUGCUGCUAUUAAACCGAUAAUACACUCAUAAUGGAUUUGCUUUUUUUUUUUCUUUUUUGGUAUCAUUACGUACACAUAAUAUUGGUUAAAAAUUCUUUUUCCAAAUCACAAUAAAUUAGGGUUAACUUUAUAUAUGAAAUUUCUUUUCAUAGCAAAUUUUAAUUAUUUUUAUAUUUAAUUUUUUUCCUAUAUUUCUAUUCAUUAUGUACUAAAACAUUUGUUAUUAUGUAUUUAACUAAUGUUCUAGAGGGCCCUGGCUGUGCGUUGCACAGCCGAGGUACCUCUAGUAUUAGAAGAAGUAACUAAUACUUUCAAAACUUUAAAAGUAUUAGGUGAUAUUAAAAGAAAUCUCCACCGAGCUUUCUGAUAUUAUCCCUCUCCUUUUCUAUCCGCGUAGGCUGUAGCUUCAUUGGUGGAAAUAAGAAAAGAAACAUGUGGGCUGUGGGGUCAAGUCUUGCAGUGACUCUCUAAUUGUUCUCGUCCACUUUCUUCAAAAUUCUUUGUAAAAAAGUUAAAGCAUGACACUGGGUCUCACAAGCUUUUCUCAACAUGUUGAAGGGUAAAUGUGAAAAGUAGACAAGCUAAGUCUUAGUGGGAAAACCAACUUAAUUAUGAUAGCAGUCCCAUUUACUUAGACUUCUCAUGUUGGGAUCCUCUUGAAUUAAGUAACACGAAGAGUGUUUGUUCUUUUCUUGAGGCAACUCCAACUCAAGCUCUGGGAAUCUCAUAUUGGAAUGAGUUCAAGAGAUAUACAGUGACCUACAGAUCAAACAGUGGUCAAAGGUUGUGCGUGUACUAUAGAUGUUCGCCUCCUCGAUGUCCAUGCCCCUUAACUUCCCUUGUGUACACCUUUAAAUUUGGAGACAUCUGGGACUUCCACCUUGGGAACUAGUCCACAUUAUCAAGCCACGGUCUCAUCAGCAAUUUUACCGCACAAUUCACUGAUCUGCUUAUCUGAAAAUUUGCAGCUGUGGUGGGAGAUGGAUUCAUUGCCAGAGGGAUCACCGUUGAAAACUACGCUGGACCUAGCCAACACCAAGCAGUGGCCCUGAGGAGUGGCUCAGAUCUCUCAGCAUUCUACCAAUGCAGCUUCAUCGGCUACCAGGACACGCUCUACGUGCAUUCCCUUCGACAAUUUUAUAGGGAAUGCGAUGUGUAUGGUACAGUCGACUUCAUCUUCGGGAAUGCCGCUGUUGUAUUCCAACUUUGCAACCUUUAUGCCCGGAGACCAAACCCAAACCAGCAAAACUUAUUCACUGCCCAAGGAAGAGAGGAUCCUAACCAAAAUACUGGGAUUUCGAUCUUGAACUGCAAAGUUGCUGCAGCAGCAGAUUUGCUUCCCGUCCUAUCCUCAUUUAGAAGCUAUCUUGGUCGUCCGUGGAGAGAAUAUUCAAGAACUGUUUACCUUCUGUCAAACAUGGAAAGCUUGAUAGACCCUGCUGGAUGGUUGCCGUGGAACGGUAGUUUUGCAUUGUCAACCCUUUUCUAUGGGGAGUAUAAGAAUAGAGGACCCGGUUCAAACACCACUGCCAGAGUAAAAUGGCCUGGUUACAGGGUCAUCACCAAUACCACCGUUGCCAGUCAGUUUACGGUCGGAAAUUUCAUCCAGGGAACUGCAUGGCUGCCUAAUACUGGAAUCCCAUUUUAUCCCAAUUUGACACCCUCCUGAAUUGGUUGUCAUUGUAAUACUCUCCAGUUAGAUUCUUCAGCUAGCUAGGGUCCCCUAGGGUCCCCUCCACACCUCCCCCCCCCCCCCCCCCCACAAAACAACCCUUCACCAUUCUAGGCAUGCAGUUCUGGAGAAAUUGAUCCUAUUGUUUUAGUAAACUGGGGAAUCAAUAAGUGAGAACGUAUGCUCACAUAAUCGGUUUGGCUCUCUCUUGCAAAUUUUUAUUUAUGAUUGAAUUUUGGGAGUAACCUGAAACUGAAAUUUUUAUCUGCUAGCGAGCCUUUUAGCAGGUACCAGCAACGCUGGAAGAUCGCCCAAGGGUUGGCACAUCAAUUUAAGGUGAAAACCUCGAAAUGUCUGAAACAUUACUUAAUCUUAAGGCAUCGUUUACACAAUUAAGUAAGACAACAGAACCACGCUGAACCCAAACAAACACCUUUUCUUCUUUUUAAACUUUUUUCCACUUUCUCUUUUGCUAUUGGGAUUGCUAUGGAAAGCAUUGGCCAGUUGCUACAUUUCGAGUGCCCAAAACGUUCAAUUAUAUAUCAUCUAAAGGUUGAAAUAGUCAUACGCUGUGCAAAAGAGCCCUAUCGCUAGUUGAUUUUACACGGCCUUUAACAGAAAGCAGUCAUCCACAACCGAGUUUAUUGGUCUUUGUAGUUUCUAAAGCAAAAACUACCGGGUUUAUUGGUCUUUGUACAUCCUACUGAUCGGGCACAUUGCAAGUUGCCACGCAUUUUGAGUUUUAAAUAUACUGCAUGGGACUUUAUUAACGUACACAUUUGACAUGUAUAUAUAAGUAUUGUGUGUAUCCCUGAAUGAUUCAAUUUCAAAUAAUACAAUCCGAUAAAAAUGAAAUGCAAAUUGUUGACUGUUCCUUUUAAAUAGAGGUGGCAAAAUGAGUGGGAUGAGUGGGAUCUACUUGGAUUUUAAAUGAGAUCGAAGAAUAUGGAUUUAGAUCUAACCUUACCUAUAUGUGUUUUGGGACUAAUUUGGGUAAGAUCACUUUGAAAUGGGUUUAGAUUGAUUCCGCCUAAUAUCCAAAAUCUAUUUUUGUAUUCUUUUUUUCUUCAAUUAUUUUUUAUUUUUAUAUAACUUUAAUAUUUUUAAUUUAUUAAAUUUCUUUUGUUCCUACUAUGAAUUUAUAUUUUUUUGAAUUCCUUUUGUUACUCAAAUUUUCUUUUAUUUAUUUUCUACGUAUAUAUAUUUUUUAAUCUUUGAUUUCCACUGUUGCUAAAUUUUAGUUGAGAAAAAAAUAAGUCCUAUAAAAACUUUAAAAGAUUUAUAUUUAUGAUUAUAAAGAAAUGCCAUUGUAUGGACUUGUAUUUAUGCUACUGGAGCUUGUGGAAAAGUAUGGCUAGUGAAUUAGUUGUAGUACAACAAUAGGUGCAAGGAUGAAAGUUUAGUCGUAUUAAAACUUUUCACAUAGCUAGUGAAAUUAGUUGUAGCCCAACAAUAAGGUACAAAGAUGAAAGUUUCAUUGCAUUAGAACUUUUCACAUAUAUACCAGAGGCACAUCAACCUAAAUGCUUUAGUUUGAUCAAGUAAAAAAUAACACAGUUUCCUAUAUUUUAUUUCACUUAACGGCCAACAAAUUUUAGAAUCAUUUUACCUAGAUAACUAGAUGGUCUAAUUUAAAAUUUAAUCUAGAAUUACUAUCUUAAUCUUAUCGUUGCAAUAUAGAAGAGAAAGGAGAACAAAAUUUGAGGACGAAAGAAUUUCUAACCACAUGACCUGCUUUAUUCUCCAUAUUUUUAGUAACAACAACAAAGUAUAUUUGUUUGGGAGAGAGGAGUUCAUGGGUGAAUUAAAUUUUUGGUGAGAUGUUUAGACCCCAAUGGGCACCCCAGUAUUUUCCAAGAAUUUGCAUCAAUUGACGGGCAUAAAUGGAAUUAAUCCCAUUUCAAACCCAAAAUCAAAAUUAGAAUAUGCAUCCCACCAAAAAUCUCUUUGGACAUGGGUAGCCUAUUGCAACUUGAGAUAGAUUCCUAUCCCUAAUUUUGAAGUCUUAUGCCAAAGAGAUGACAUGCAAGAGAUUAGCUAAGACGCUUGAAGUUCGCAAAUGACAUGCAAAAAUUUGUUGAGGAUAACAGAUACAAGAGAUUAGCUAAGACGCUUGAAGUUCACAAAUGACAUGCAAAAAUUUGUUGGGAAUAACAGAUAAGCUAUCUUUAGCAUUGCAUAGAAAAGAUCAGAUAUUUUGAAUGCAACGAGUCUAGUUAAAAUUGCUAAAUAGCGAUUGCAAUUAAUGAAAGAUGUUGGAUGGGAUAUAUUGUUCGAUGAGGUUACUGCAUUUUGCAGCCAAUGUGAAGUUGAGGUUCCCAAUAUGGAUGCUAUAUAUGUUCUUAAAGGAAAGUCAAAGCGAAAAAUUCCAAAUAUUUCACACUUACACCACUGUAAAGUAGAUUUAUUUUAUAGUGUGGUUUCACGAGUUGAAUGAGGAUUUGACUAAGGCAAAUGCUGAAUUGCUUGUUUGUAUGUAAUAUCCUGCUCCAAAUAAUGAUUUUUCAUCUUUUGACAAGGAAAAGUUGAUUCACUUUGCAAAAUUCUAUCCAUUUGAGUAUUUUUUCAAUUGAUCUGAGGGCUCAUGACAAUCAGAUUGAUACUUAUAUCCUUGAUAUGCACUCUAUAAGAAUUUGCAGAAUUAAAAGGAAUUGCUAGCCUUGCAGUAGAGUAAGUUAAGACUAAAAGGGAUAUUGUAUAUCCAUUAGUCUAUUUGCUUAUAAAAUUAGCACUUACUUUACCUAUUACUAUAGCGGCUGUAGAAACGACCUUUUUAGCAGUGGAGAUUGUCAAAAAUCGAUUGCAUGUCUUAUGGUAAUUGAUGGAUGAAUGAUUGUUUCAUUACUUACAUUAAAAAAUAUAUAUUUAAUAAAAUUGACAAUGAGCUGAUUUUGCAAUAUUUUCAGAAGAUGAGUACUCAUAGAGGACAAUUAUAAUACAUAUCUAAUAUUAUAGUUUUGCUUUUUUUUUUUUUGUUCUUUUUAUAUUACACUUUUUACUUUGUAGAAGUUUUAUUGCAUUAAACUUUGACCUUACCUACUCUCGGAUCUUGGUUCCAUCACUGAUGCCAAUGCCAUCCUUUUGACAAUUGUCUUAAAUACUUAUUUUUUAGAUUAAUAUGUCUAAAUUUAACAUUAUACACAUUGUUCAAAACUUUAGACAUUGUAGUUACACUGCCACAGUAUAAAGACGUUGGAGGCAUAGGUUAUAACCAUAGCUGGUCAAUAAAUAACAAAUCCUAAACUAUUUCACCUUUUUAUGCAGCCAGUAACCAAAGUUAUGACUUCAACUUGUAUGAUGAAAUGAGCGGUUACGGUUUGCUUCUUAGAAGUCGAUAUAAUUACACUACCAUCCAAAAUGAAUAUCCACUCACUUGUAGAAUUCCUCGCACUAGUGGACCAACUAGCAUAAGAGUAAACAAUUACUCUCCCAAUAGACCUCUAAUGGUCUAUACCGGGAUUUUGGUAAACCUUGCAAAUCUACAAACUAAGCAUGAAAUAUUUGGUCUUGUAGAGUGUGCAAUGCAUACAUCAAGUUUCCAAUGGCAUUUGUAUAUGUAAAUUGAGCAAUUGAACUACCAAAAUUUUAUGAAAUUUCAAGUUAGAACUAAAGAUAGUACUCACCUUUUUUAUCUUUAGAUGUUGAAACUAAUUUAAUGUCUUGUUAAUAUAUGAGAUUGACACAAAACAUAACCUCUACUAUUUUCCUGAUUUUGAUAUUUAAGAUAGUAUCAAUCUUUCCAGGAUCCUUUUUUUUGAAGAAUUAGUAUCUUCAACACCUUUCAUAGUAUCAACCAUUAGUAUCUUAUGUACAUAUAGAAAAAUGAUCAUACUAUUCACUGAAUUUAGAAUGAGUGGUAUUUUUUUUAUCCUAUUUUGCUCAUUUUUUGUUUCAAGUGUAGAUUUAUAGUGUAUGCAGUCGGUUCCAUUAGGAUUUUUUAAAAUUACAUUGACUUUAUUUUGUAAAAAUGAUAAUUUAAAUUGUUGAAAGGACAAAUUUGAAAACAAACCUAAAGAUAUUUGAUCAAGAUGGUCAUUUUUAACAAGGCACAUUCCAUAGAUGGAUUAAUGCUAGAGGUCCUAAAUUGUUUUUUUUUUUGUAAAAAUAAAGAAAUAAAAUGGUCACAAUAAUAGAUAAAAGAUUAAAUUGGCCAAAACUUCAAAUAUGAGGUACCAAAAUGACCAUUUUCCCCUUGAUCUCGCUAUGCAUGGUUUAAAUUAGCACGAAUCAACAUCCAUUUUAUGUGCUUGAGGCAUCAUAUGAAAGUCCAUUGACAAAGCAGGACUUUGUUUCCCAACUAGGGGUGAGCAUUCAAUGUAAAUUUGAUAAUUAGGUUAGUUGAAUUCAUUUAUUUCGGAAAUCUAAACCGCUUUCAAUUUCGAAUUGGAGAUAUCCGAAUUAAUUGCAUUUCCAAAUUUGAAUUUGAAAAUGGUAAUGAAUUCAAGUUAAACAUUUUCAUUAAAGAAAAAAAGUAAAUUUGUUACUUAAGACUUCAUUUCAAAAUUUGCAAUAUCCAGCCUAAUUAAACUCCUAUAAUCAAGUCUAAUAGCCACUGUAAUUAGUCGAGUUAUAGGCUUAUAGCACGAAGUCAAAGGAAAUCAACAUCCAAAUCAACACACACAUUAGAAGUGCCAGAAUUCAUCAAUUCAAAUACAAUACAAGUCAUAAAAGACUAAAGUCACAAGUCCACAUUCCACAAGUCACAACUGAAGUCAGAAAUCAAAAACCGUUCAAAUUCAAUAGAAUCCAUAAUGCCAAAUUGUCUUGAAAGUUCAAAUAGUUAGGUAAGAGAAACUUAGUAAACAAGUAAAUAUGCUGCCUGCAACAAACUCAAAGCCCCGGUAUCUUCUGAUCUUCUCCAACUAAAAAGUGAUUGAAGUUUCAACACCUCCCUUGAUCAAACCUGCAACAAAACAUAAAAAUGAGAAACAUUAGUUACUUUAAAACAAUAGAGAAAUGGAAUUUUACAAGAAUCAGCAUAUGCAUUAGAUAAGAAAUAUCUUACGAGAUUCUAAAGUUUCAAGAUCCUCCAAUUCUUCUUCCACAUUUAGUUUAGAGUCUGAUGGCUGAAGUCAAUCUUGAGUGCAAAUCAAAGUUUGCACUAUUUUAGGUGUUAAAGAACUCCUAAAUGGAUCAAGGACUCUUCCACCUAUGUUAAAAGUAGCUUCAGAAGUAACCAUAGAUGCAGGCACAACCAACACAUCAUGGGCUAAUUUAGAAAGAACAGGGAAUCUAGGACUAUUCACCUUCCACCAUGUCAAAAUAUUAAAGUCAUCUUCUUCAUCUUCACAAUCCUUACCAAAAUAUUUAUCCAAUUCAGUUUUUGAACCAUUGAAACCAGUUUCUAUCUUUCUUUUUUUAAACCCCUCUUUAGACAUGUCUUGAAUGCGUUUCCCAGCAUGCAUAUCACUAGACAUUGUACCUUUAUCAAUUACUCCAAAUUUACUUGAAAAAGCUGGGGAGUUCACUUCAAAAGGGAAGAUGAGUUUUAUGUACUUAGAAAAUAGUUGCACCAAAGCUUCUUUUGCAAGUGAACCUAUGUUUGCACCAUCAUGCAGACGAUACAUUUUUAUAAGCACAAACUCUGCAUACUCAAAUUUAAUACGUGGAUCAAGAAUGGAGGCAACAAAAAUAAGCAUGUUCAUUUUUUCUAUUUUUCCCCAAUGCUUAUCACAUUUUUCUUCCAUUGUGAAUGCCAUGACAGCCUCUUCUUGGUUAUCACGUUCUAUCAUAUUGUUCAAGACUACAUUCAUGCUACUAAUGUCUCGAAAAAAAGUAUUGCAAGUGACAUACUUAGACCUAGAAACCUUCAAAGUUAAUUCAUAUAAGUUUUACAAAAAUUGAUUUAGAUAUCUAGCUUUUUUCCAAUUAGUUGCUGUUGGUAUAGAAUCAAGUUCUUGAAUCAUGUAAGGGUCUUCUAGUUCGAACCUAUCAAAAACUUGCUCAUAUAUUUGGGCUACAUCCAACAUCAAGUAGGUGGAAUUCCACCUAGUGGGACAAUCCAAACACACUCUCUAAACUUUUUCAACUUAGUGGGUGACUCUCUUACAUACCUUACAGCUGCACUAAUAGAAUCAAUAGAAUUGCCAAACUUUUUCAAACCAUCAUUAACUACCAAAUUUAUUAUAAGAGCAACAUACCUAACAUGAAACCACCUUUCCUCCAAAACAGAUUUUCCCCAAUUAAUAAAUUUUCCUCUCAAAUAAGAAACUAUAGUGUCAUUCGAGCUAGCAAUAUCUACAGUAAUGGUAAAAAUAUCAUCAAUUCUGCAUUCAAGCAGAUAUUUCUCUACAGCUUGUCCAACAUCAACACCCUUAUAACUAGAAAUUGGAACAAAACUUAUAACCUUUUUGUUUAAAUUCUAGUCAUUGUCAAUAAAAUGAGUUGUAAGACACAUAUAAUGCCAAAAAGUAUAUCUUUCGUAUGAUUGAACGGGUAUGUGCUAAUUUCUUGAGGGGGACAACUGAAGAGUCUAAAAGUUUUCAUUGGGUUCGGUGGAAAGACUUAUGCUUCCCCAUAGAGAAGGGUGGUGUUGGGUUUUGAUCGAUUGAUGACACUUGUAUGGAUUUCUCUUGCAAGUUGUGGUGGACCUAGGCAGAAUCUCUCACUAUGGGCUGUGUUCAUGCGAGCCAAAUAUUGUCACGAUACUCACCCUUGUCAGGUUGCCAUGAGAUCUCCUAGUUCAGCAACAUGGCGCCGUAUGUUAAACAUUAGGUGGUUUGCGGAGUUAUUUAUACUUUGGAGACCUUAUAGUGGCAUUUGCCACUUCUGAUAUGAUAACUAGACGGGUUCAAGUGCAUUAUAUCUUCGAGCGGAGGUGCAAGAACAUUUGUCCUUCCACAACUUUAUUGUGGGCGGGGCGUGGGAUAGCCGCUUGUUGUCUCAUGUCCUUCUGCCUAAUUUAGACCAGGCUAUGAUGGGCAUGCCGAUCCCCUGUACUCUUUUGGUGCACAGGAUGGUGUGGACGGCGUCAUCUUUUGGGAGUUUCUCAUUAUCCUCGGCCUUCCUUAAGGUGCGGGAGGCUAAACCCUCGUCCUUCAUAUUUAGACAGGUUUAGCAUCCGCACAUCCCUCUAAAGAUUUCCUUCUUUAUGAUGCGAUUGUUGCAGGGACGGUUGCCUUUGGAUGAUAUUUUAACCCGAUUUUGGGUGCACUUACCGUCUAAAUGCGUUUGCUGUGUGGAGCCUACUGUUGAAAUGCUACAGCACGUAUUCAUGUUAGGUGAUGUCGCAAAGGCGGUUUGGAAGUAUUUCGGGUCUCUCUCUGGUCUUAAUUGGGCUCAAGAGCAUUUAAGCAUACAGUUAGUGAAUUGCUAGUACAAGCCUGCUAAGUCCACGAGGCUCAAAUUUGUCUUUCGACUUCUUCCCGUUUUUGUGUGUUGGAAUUUGUGGAAGGUGAGGAAUUCAAUAGUGUUUGAAGGGGUUAUCAAGGAUGUCCGAUCCGUGUGUCGAGCUAUUUUUCAAAACUUGAAGGCCGCUUACUGGAUGAAGUUUGGUGAAUUACAACAGGUCACAUCUUGGCCCCGAUCUUGGGAUUGGUGGAGCAGCGCCCUGAUGUGUUUAAGAUUCGUCUGGUUCAUUGGCAGUCGCCAGUGAUGGCAAUGUUUAAACUUAACAUAGAUGAGUACUCUAAGGGAAAUCCGGGGUUGAGUGGUGGCAGGGGGAUUGUUAGGGAUGGCUCAAGGAAGUUCAUCUUCGCUUUUGCUGGUUGCUUUGAUAUUGGUACUAGCUUGUAGGCCGAGGCUGAAGCAUUAGUGAUAUGAACGGCACCAACCUUGUGAUGCAACCCGUAUAGACAGGAAAGGAUCUAGAAGGUAGGACUCACGUUGAUGAACACAAAUGCAGUGGAAUCACAUAAACCCGUUGAUCACGUGGUCAACGAACCUCGGUAUUAGUAGAAGACGCCACAAUCUAGCGCGGUCCUAGAUUGAUAAGUCGAAUUGAAUACCUAAGAACGAUGCUAAGAUAUUCAAUGGUGCUUCAAUGAUGCUUUGAGAGAACUCUCAAAAUGUAUUUUAUUAAUCAUCAAAAACUGUCUAAUACAACCAACAAUGCUUCCUUAAAUACUAAACUAGUAAUAAAGACUAAUGGGCCAAGCUACUUACUAAGGUGGCCCACAUGGUCUAAACCAUUGACCCAAGGACUGAACGACUACUAAGGUCCAAACCACAAGUUAGUUGGACCUCUAUAUUACACUCUACUAAAGCUAAUAAUGGGCCAUGGCCCUUGGUCGAAUUUGACACCUCUAAACCUCAUGGAUGGCCGAAAGUAGGAUAAUAUCUCUAGCUUCGUUGAGGCCCUCAAUGGCCUUUGGCUCUCCACUUGACUCUCGGGCCGCACGAACCAAUAUUUGUAAUGUUUCAUUCAACCUCUUCGCACGAGCUCGUGUCAUAGGCCCCAAUGGCACCUUCACUUGCUCCACUUGGAUAAUACUCUCGACCUUCUCAUCAUAUCGGCUGAUACGAAUGGCACCAAUCUUGUGUACAACCCGUACAGACAAGAAAAUAUCUAGAAGGUAGAACUCACGUUAAUGAACACAAACGCAGCGGAAUCACCUAAACCCGUUGAUCACGUGAUCAAUGAACCUCGGUAUUGGUAGAAAACGUCACAAUCUAGUGCGGUGCUAAAUUGAUAAGUCGAAUUGAAUACCUAAGAACGAUUCUAAGAUAUUCAAUGGCGCUUCAAUGAUGCUUUGAGAGAACUCUCAAAAUGUAUUUUAUUAAUUAUCAAAAACUGUCUAAUAAAACCAACAAUGCUUCCUUAAAUACUAAACUAAUAAUAAAGACUAAUGGGCCAAACUACUUACUAAGGUGGCCCACAUGGCCUAGACCAUUGACCCAAGGACUGAACGACUACUAAGGUCCAAACUACAAGUUAGUUGGACCUCUUUAUUACACUCCACUAAAGCUAGUGAUGGGCCAUGACCCUUGGUCGAAUUUGACACUUCUAAACCUCAUGGAUGGUCGAAAGUAGGAUAAUAUCUCUAGCUUUGUUGAGGCCAUUGUCUUCGUUGAGGCCCUCAAUGGCCUUUGGCUCUCCACUUUGACUCUUGGGCCGCACGAAUCAAUGUCUGUAAUAUUUCAUUCAACCUUUUUGUUCGAGCUCAUGUCAUAGGCCCCAAUAGCACCUUCACUUGCUCCACUUGGAUAGUAUUCUCGACCUCCUCAUCAUUCCUCUCAUUUUGUGAAAGAUUUGUCCUCAAAUCGACCUCAUCAUCUGCAAAAAAGGGACUUAGGUCAGCAACAUUAAAGGUAGCCGAGACAUUAUACUCAUCUGGUAGAUCGAGCUUGUAGGCGUUGUCAUUGAUGCGUGCCACAACUUGGAAUGGUCCAUCUCCACGUGGUAGCAGUUUGUUAGGACGCUGGACGGGGAAACGCUCUUUGCGCAAGUAUAACCAAACCCAGUUAUCUGGUUCAAAUACCACGCGACGCCGACCCUUGUUGGCAUGCUUGAGGUACUGUUGGGUGCGAGCUUCAAUGUUGGCCCUCACCUGUUGGUGUAAAGCCUGGACAAACUCGGCUUUCUUCUUGCCAUCAAGGUUAGUACGCUCAGACAAAGGCAAAGGCAUCAAAUUCAAGGGAGUCAAAGGAUUAAAACCGUAAACAAUUUCAAAUGGAGAAAACUGUGUAGCACUGUGAACUAUACGGUUAUAAGUAAACUCGACAUGUGAUAAACACUCCUCCCAAGUCUUGAGAUUCUUUUUAAUGAUGGCCCUGAAUAGGGUAGACAAGGUGCGGUUAACAACCUCAGUUUGACCAUCAGUCUGGGGGUGACUGGAUGUAGAGAAUAACAACUUAGUCCCCAACUUCCCCCACAAAGUCUUCCAGAAAUAAGAGAGAAACUUUACAUCUCUAUCAGACACAAUAGUUCUAGGCACGCCAUACAAAUGGACAACUUCCUUAAAGAAGAGAUCAGCUAUAUGAGUAGCAUCGUCCGUCGUAUGAUAUGGAAUGAAAUGAGUCAUUUUUUAAAAUCUAUCAACGAUGACAAAGAUGCUAUCAUAACCUUUUUUACUCCUAGGCAAACCAAGCACAAAAUUCAUGGAAAUGUCAACCUAUGGUUCCGAAGAAAUAGGUACGGGUGUAUACAAACAAAAGGGCUAGAGUUUGGACUUGGCACGGUGACAGGUGAUGUAGCGUGACACUUCUCGCUCCACAUCUUGUCUCAUGCGUGGCUAAUAGAAAUGUUCCUAUAAAGCACUCAAAGUCUUGGUGACACCAAAGUGUCAUAUUAAAUCACCUCCGUGAGUCUCACUGGUUAGUAACUCACGAACAUAGCAUGAUGGAAUGCAUAAUUUAUCAUUAUAAUAUAGAAAUCCAUCAUGUAUGAAGAACUUACCCUGAUCCGGCUUAGCACAAGACUUGUAGAUAUCAGAAAAAUCAGAAUCAGUAUCAUAAAAUUCUUUAAUAAGGUCAAAUCCAAGGAGUUUAGUAUCAAGUAAAGCAAUCAAGGCAUACCUCCUGGACAGUGCAUCAGUAACGACGUUGGUCUUGCCAACUUUGUACUUGAUCACAUAGGGAAAGAACUCCACAAAAUUGACCCACCGUACGUGUCUCUUACUUAACUUAUGUUGAGACUUGAGAUGCUUGAGUGCUUUGUGGUCAGUAUGGAUGACGAACUCCUUAGGUCGCAGGUAAUAUUGCCAUGUCUCCAGUGUGCGAAUCAAAGCAUAGUGCUCCUUAUCGUAGGUGGAGUAGGUCAAGGCUGCACCAUUCAAUUUCUCACUAAAGUAUGCGAGCGGCCUACCCUCUUGGAUCAAUACGGCUCCAAUUCCUACACCAAAAGCAUCACACUCAAUCUCAAAUGUUUUAUCAAAGUUAGGUAAGGACAAUAAGGGUGCGUGUGUGAGCUUGUGUUUAAGGAGUUGGAACGCCUUCUCCUGAACUUCCCCUCACUCGAAUUUCACAUCCUUCUUGAUAAUGGCGGUCAGAGGAUUAGUUAUAGUGCUGAAAUCCAUCAUGAACCGGCGAUAGAAACUCGCAAGGCCGUGGAAACUCCGAACUUCACUCAUGGUCUUGGGCGCGGGCCACUCAUUGAUAGCCUGGACCUUGCUCCCGUCCACUUUAAUGCCCUGUGCACCAACCUUAUAACCAAGGAAAACAAACUCAUUAGUGCAGAAAGUACAUUUGCUAAGAUUAGCGAAUAAUCUCUCCCUGCGCAAUACAUCAAGAACAGCUCGUACAUGUGUUACAUGUUCCUCAGGACUCUUGCUGUAUAUCAGAAUGUCGUCAAAAUAAACAACAACAAAUUUACCUAAGAACGGGUGAAGCACAUGAUUCAUAAGGCGCAUAAAUGUACUAGGAACGUUAGUCAAACCAAAGGGCAUAACUAACCACUCAUACAGACCAUGCUUAGUCUUGAAGGCCGUCUUCCCCUCGUCUCCUUCCUUCAUUCGAAUUUGAUGGUAGCCACUCUUAAGAUCAAUCUUGGUGAAAAUGACUGUACCAUACAAUUCGUCAAGCAUGUCAUCUAAACGAGGUAUAGGGUGACGAUACUUAACUGUGAUAGUGUUGAUGGCGCGGCAGUCUACACACAUCCUCCAAGUGCCUUUUUUCUUUGGGACGAGGAUGACUGGAACUGCACAUGAGCUCAUGCUCUCUCGAGCCCAACCCCUCUCUAAGAGCUCAUCGAUUUGCCGUUGGAUCUCUUUAGUCUACUCAGGGCCCAUCUUGUAGGCCGAUCUGUUUGGCAAGGAUGCUCCAGGGACGAAGUUGAUCUGGUGUUCGAUCCCUCGGAGUGGUGGUAAGCCGCUUUGGAUCUCAUCUAGGAAAACGUUCUCAAAUUUCUGUAACAAAGAAGAGAUUUCAGGAGGUAAGUCAUCGAGUGCCUCAUGAGAGAGUAAAAUCACUUCUUUGCACUAUAAGACAUAAACAAUUUGUUUGGAUAAAAGUAAUUUAUGAAUUUCCCUGUUCUUUGCAAGCAAGUUAGGGUGUUUGUCUAAUCGAACUAGAUGUACCAGGGGUAGAUGUCCUCUCGACUGGUGCUUUAAUGAUUGCCUUAGAAUCGGGCGACUUUUUAGCCACCUCUCAUUCAUGCUCCUGGUGCAAUCGCAGUUGGUCUUCAUGCACCUGUUGAGGUGUGAGAGGAACAAGUGUCAUCUUCUUGUUAUGGUGCAAGAAGGAGUACUUGUUGGUAAAGCCAUCAUGAGUGGUCUUCUUGUCAUAUUGUCAUGGCCGUCCCAACAAAAUAUGAGAAGCUUGCAUGGGAAUGAUGUCGCAAAGGAUCUCAUCUUCAUACUUCCCAAUCCGAAAAGGCACCACCACUUGCUUGGUGACUUUGAUAUUGCCACUCUCAUUGAUCCAUUGCAAGCGGUAUGGGCUAGGAUGUCUCAACAUGGGCAAAGAAAGAUGAUUCAUCAUAAAAGUACUUGUCACGUUGGUACAACUACUCACGUCGAUGAUGAGGCUACACACCCUCCCUUUGACGUGACAUCGUGUGUAGAAAAUGUUGUCACGUUGGGUCUCAUCCACUCUCUUGACAUGGGUCGCAAGAGCCCGACGAGUGACUAGAGCAACGCUUACUUGCUCACUAGUAGUCUCGACCUUAACCUCAAAAUCUUCACAUUCAUCAAUCAAUGGAGGCAUCUCAGCGGAUUCGUCCUCGUCGUUAGAUAUGACAUCUCCACUCGGUAGGACAACCAUGGUACGCCUAUUGGGACAUUGAGAAGCAAUGUACCCAAAUUCUUAGCAUUUGAAACACUUGUCACGGCUUUGUGGCUUGGAGGAGUCGAAUGGAGGCUUGAUGGUUGCCUUGGUGUCUGCUUUGGUGGCUUAUAUUUGGGCAUGAAUGGUCACCCCUGUACUAGAUCGCUCCCACUCAAUGUCGCGCCCCACUUUUUGAAAUGGUGUGAAAGUAGUGUGUAAGAUAUGUACGUGAACGUGUGUGUAAGAUAUGUACGUGAACGUAUGUGAAAGUGAAAAUAAAAGGCCGUGGGAUUGUGAAAUGAGACGGUUUGGCCAAACAAAGGGUUUUAUAUAAAAUGGAGUCGCCACUUAAUAUAGAAUUAGGGUGUACCAAGUCACCCAAAAAGUGAUUUUUGGAAAGAAAAGUAAACAAACCCUUUGUAAAGAAAUUUUAGGUCUACGUAACCAAAGAAAGGGAUCGGGGGUCACAUUUGAUAAGGGAGAAGGCAAAGGCAAAGCCUAAGGCACUCCCUUACCCUAGCCAAAGCUAGUUGCAUGACUUAGCCCCACUUUUCCUAAUUCUUCUACCCAAAAUAUGCAUUGCAUGUUGGAUGUAACUAAUGAAUAUGAAAAAGAUGCAAUCCUAAAUCUAAAAUGUCUCUUAUGAGGCUUUUUAGUCCCAACCACAUGAAUUGUGAUGGCCAGUAAGGAAAGCCCUCAUAGAGAUCAUGAAUAAUGCAAAUGAGGACUCAAGUAUGAGUGUAAGUAUGCAAAUGUAAGAAAAGUGCAUGUGUGCCAAUUGAGAAAAUAAAGGUAUUUGUGUGCAAGUGGAUGAAAAUAUGGUAUAAUGAUAGUAAAUACAUAUGUGUAAUGGGGUGCAAUUUGUGAGGCAUGGCAUGUGGAUUGAGAAAAAAUAUAAGUAGUGAGAAAAUGUGAAUAAAGAAAGUGAAGAAGUGAUAUGAUAAAAUGAGAGUGUAUGAAUCUAGAGGAAUGCAUCAAGUCGGGUACGGGAAUGACUCCUAACUUCACGACUUUAAUUUUCCCUUUGAUUAGAAGGAAGAACUAGCGUGCUAAGGCUAUUUUGUAGCCACACUCGCUCGUUUCCCUUACCAAAAGGGGACUCUCAAGCAAAUGUACCUUAUAACUAGCAUGAGCAUGCAAAAACCUAAAAUGAAGGGGAAAGGAUUGGAGGAGCAUGCCAAAUACUAGAAAACUAAGAAAAAUGCAUGAAAUGUAGUGAGACAUGCAAGUAUGUACUAGCGAGAGGGGGCCCUAUUGGGUCUAGCAUUGGACUAGCCCACAUCUACACUCUCUCACAAGCAUUGGACUUGUAAGAGCUCGAGAGGACAACCAUGACUAGCAUUGGACUAGCCACGGUUACGUGCAUUUGCAUCCAUCAUACACAUAUAUAAGUAAUGUACAUAAUUAAAGCAAGUAGACAUGUGAGCACGUAAUUCACUUAACACAUAAGCAUGCAUAUCUAGAGGCCAAAACCUAAGAAAGCGAUUAAACACAUAGCACCUAAGCAUGCAAAACACAUAAGGCGAUUAAGAAAGCGAAUAAAAUCCUAGCUAUUACACUUGAGGGGGGCCUACUACAAUCUAAAGGGGGAAAAGCUUGGAAAAGAAAAUGCCAAAGACUAACUAUUACAAUUUGGGGCUCGAAUACCCUCAAAUGUCUUGCUUAAUUAAAGAAAGCGAAACCAGCAAUUAAACUAUAAAAUUGAAAAGCGAAUUAAAGCAUGCAUAUUCACACAAAACAUAUAGGAGCACGUAGGAAAAAUAAAAUCAAGGAGAUAGAGAUUACCCCUUUUUUGCAAUGGUAGUCGAGUGAAGCGAAAUUACUUUAAAUCUCCAAAAACAAAGAAAUGUCAAGGCAUCUCAAAUAAUCACAUAAGUACGAAAUGGAAUCAUAAAAAACAUUUAAAUGACUAGAACUGUCCAUAUUCACUAGAUAAUGGCCCAAUUGGAAGGAAAAAGAAAGUUUGAGGGAUCAAUCUUGAUUAGUCGUUCCAAUUAUUCGAGCCAUAGUGAGAUAAAGGAAUACUUAGGGGGUCAAAGUGCAAUUUUUAGAAAACCAUUUCAUGCAUGCAACGGAACUUUCUUUGUUUCUGCUGAUUUCUUCUUUCUGCAAUUUCGCAGCUCAUUGACAAUCAAAGAAACUCAACCAAGGCUUCAACAUCCCAGCUUUAAAGUAAGCAAUACAACCCAUAACUUCGACACCCCAACUGACAAGAAAACUUAGAGAGAAAUCAUGCAAAUUCAAUGCAAACAACUUUCGCAACUUCAAAACCAUUCUUAUGCAAUUUCUCUAUCCAUUUCAGAUGCACUCACGCGAACAGACCAAGAAGAGCUAACUGAGUUGCUAACUAAAACAGAAAAUACUGGAGCUUAGCCGAAAAGGAAAAAGAAAAAAAAACAGAUAGAACAAGACUAUCGAACGCAGCAUGCAUCCUAACAAAGACUUUCGGCAGGCUGAUAUCCAUUUUCCAACAACCAUUUCUGCUGCAACUUUCCAUGUUCAGUUCUUUACCAUGGCUAUGUCUAGUUCCAUGUAAAUUUCCAUCCCAACACAACUAACAUUCUACCAAACAUCAAACUUCGAUCAAGCAAAGAAACACAACAUUCAACACUCCAACUUGCAAAUUUCAAUUCCAGAAACUCCAUUCCUUCUCGGCAGCUUUAUUGUCAAAACAGCCAUGAAAGAAUAGAAUACCAGACAAAAUGUGCAUGAUCAAAUAACACCCAAACAAAUCUAAUUUCUCCGAAAACCCACCUCUAAAAUUUCAGUUCAAACUUCCAAAAAGCAAAACCCAGAGCAUCAAAACAAGAUAAGCACAUCGUAUCAAAAACAUGUCAAACCUGCUGCAACUUUCUACUGUGGGCUUGCGGUUCAUCUCAUGCAUAUAUUUUCGUACAAAAACUCUGAUAAAACCUUCUUUUCAUUAGCCCCAAACCCAUAUAACCCCCAAGUCAUCAGUUUUAACAUAACCCAAACACAACGGCUUAUCUUUAGCAGAUACACUCGAGGAGAAUCCGGACAAAUGAUAACAACAAAGAACAAAUUAAAGAUCAUGCAAGUCUGAUGAAAAAAGAAGAAAUAUACAAUCUGCUGGGCUUGCUUGAAGCUAUGAGGCCAAAGGGAUUACCUUUAGUACCUUAUGGAGUCCAGUGAACAGAGAAGAAUUGAAGAGAUUGCGUCUAAACGCCGACUUCAAAGAUGCAAACUUUUUGGUGAAGAGAUUUCUAGAGCACCGUAUGAAUGCAGAAACAAAAGUUUCUUCUUGUUCAGCCGCUGCCCCUUUUCUUUUCUUCCCCUUUCUGGUUUUUUCCUUUUUCCGUCACCUCCCCCAGCUCUCUUUCCGUUGCUCUCUCCCUCGGUUUUCUGGUUCCUUCCUCUCACUCGAUCUCUCCCUCAGCCUUUUUUUUCACUCAGCCGUCAACAGGUUCCUCCCAGCUCUCCAUUUUUCCUCAGCUUUUACCUCUCUCAAAACCCUAACCUUUUUCCCACAGCCGACCUUCCCUCUGUUUUCUCUUCCAGCCGUCAAAAACCUACCCCUUCUCUCAGCCCUCAAGACCUUUUUACUUCUAGCCGUCAACUAUCCUCAGACUUCCGCUCUUAGCCCCCCCUUCUUGGCUGCGGCUGUUUUUGCUUUUAUAUAGCUACCCAGAUUCCUAAACCUAACAUCUAAUGGUGCCGCUGAAUUGAACCUCGAUGGUGAAUUGUAUACCAUCGGAUGAGCCUUUGUACUAUCCUCCUCUUGAGGACCCGAGGAAAAAAAAGAAAACCACCCAAAAAAUGAGUUGAAAAUGGAGGUCAAAAAUGGCCUCUGCAAUUUUUCUGUGUUGUCCGAAACUUGUAAAAUGAAGAAAUAGCGCGCGUUCCUUAGUUAGUUUUUUUUCUUUUUUUUCUUUUCACUUGGAACAAGCCCGAUUUGAUUUUUGUUGUUUUUCUUUUCCCUUUUUCUUUUUAUUUCCAGAUGAACCAGUUAAUUAAUAAACACAAUGACGAAAAAUAACAAAUUAAGUAAAAUUGAAUGAAAUAGACAAAUACUAAAAAAUAAAACAAAAUUGCUAACUUUUGUUCGAUUGAUGAUCUUCUUUGUUUUUUUUUUCAGUGGAUUAAUUAACAAAAAUAAUUUUCUUAACAAAAAUGAGAAUGAGAUAAAUUAAACAAAGAAAUAAUAGUAAAAUAAAUAAAUAAACAAACAAAAAUCACCUAGAAUAAAUAAAUAAAUAAAUAAAAAGAAAGGCUAAAAAUUUGGUGUCUACAGUUUGCCCCUCUUUGUCUGAGUUUUGGAAAAACUUGAGACAAAGAAAUAGACACCAAAUACUUACCUGUGUUGUUUGGCCGCAAAAUGAUUCCAACGAACAGGAAUUUUAAAAGAAACGGGACUGACCCGAACAGAAAUUUAAAACGGGACUGACCCGAACAAGGAAUUUAAAACGGGACUGACUCGAACAGAAAUUUAAAAUGGGACUGACCCGAACAAGAAAUUUAAAACGGGACUGACCCGAACAGGAAUUUAAAACGGGACUGACCAGAAUAGAAAUUUAAAACGGGACGCACACUAGUGGGACUGACCCACGGCUAUUGACAGUGCUAAUGAAAUGCCUUGACAAUCGGUCAGUGGGAUCAAACUCGAGCCUGCCGUGACAAAAUUUGAUUGAUUUUUUUUUUAGAAACUUUCCAAAGAUAAUUUGCCCCAGUAUGAUGAAUUGGUCAGUGGGAUUAAACCUGAACCUGCCUCAGUUGCACAGAAUCCAAGCCCAAUCGGGAUGUUGGCGGCAUAAAAUCCAGGCCCAACGGGAUCUUUGAGAUGUUGGCGGCACGAAAUCCAGGCCCAACGUGAUGUUGUGGUGUUUGGGAUGUAGGCGGCACGAAAUUCAGGCCCAACGUGAUUUUUGGAAUGUUGGCGGCACAAAGGCCAGACCCAACGUGAUUUUUUGAAUGUUGGCGGCACAACGUCCAGGCCCAACGUGAUCUUUGUGAUGUUGGCGGCACGAAAUCCAGGCCCAACGUGAUGCUGUGAUGUUUGGGAUGUUGGCGGCACAAAGUCCAGGCCCAACGGGAUCUUUGGGAUGUUGUCGGCACAAAAUUCAGACCCAACGUGAUGUUGGAAUGUUUGGGAUGUUGGCGGCACAAAGUCCAGGCCCAACGGGAUCUUUGCGGUUAGCGGGAUAGAACCCAGUUCUGCCGAGGUUGGUGAGAUAAAAUCCAGUUCCAACGUGAUAUAAGCGGUCAGCGGGACAGAACCCAGUUCUGCCGAGGUUGGCGGGAUAAAACCCAGCUCCAACGUGAUAUAUGCGGUCAGCGGGAUAGAAUCCAGUUCUGCCGAGGUUGGCGGGAUGAAAUCCAGUUCCAACGUGAUAUAAGCGGUCAGCGGGAUAGAACUCGGUUCUGUCGAGAUUGGCGGGAUGAAACCCAGUUCCAACGUGAUAUAAGCGGUCAGCGGGACAGAACCCGGUUCUGCCGAGGUUGGCGGGAUAAAACCCAGUUCCAACGUGAUAUAUGCGGUCAGCGGGAUAGAAUCCAGUUCUGCCGAGGUUGGCGGGAUAAAACCCAAUUCCAACGUGAUAUAAGCGGUCAGCGGGAUAGAACCCUGUUCUGCCGAGGUUGGCGGGAUGAAAUCCAGUUCCAACGUGAUAUAAGCGGUCAGCGGGAUAGAACCCGGUUCUGUCGAGAUUGGCGGGAUGAAACCCAGUUCCAACGUGAUAUAAGCGGUUAGCGGGAUAGAACCCGGUUCUGCCGAGGUUGGCGGGAUAAAACCCAGUUCCAACGUGAUAUAAGCGGUCAGCGGGAUAGAACCCAGUUCUGCCAUCCAAUUGGUCAAGAAAUUGAAUUUGAUUUGUCAAAAAAACCAGAAAUUAAAUUUGAUUUUCCAAGAAAUAAGAAUUUGAACUUGAUUUUUGAUUUUUGACUUUUGAAUUUUUCUGAUUUUUCGAGAGAAUCUUUUCAAAAUAAUUUGCCCCAUUUCCACCAAUUAUUGUGCAACCGAUCAAUUGAUUUGCAUUACGGCGUGGUUGCUCCUCCUUGAGGCCUUGAUUCGUAAGAUUUUGACUUACGCUCCUUCGUCGAUUUCAGCCAUGGAUACCUGCACAGGGGCUUGCCAAAGUAUAACAUGCCCUUAAAUUAUUUUAAAAAUUAAUGCAACUACUACUCGUGGAAAGAGUAGCAUGAUUGAUUUGAAAGUCUUGCUUGAAUCUUUGACGAAAUUCUCAAAUGGACUAUAAAAAAUUUGCCCUAGUAUGGGCUCAUUUGAUUGCAAAAAUUGGCUUGGAUGUCUCUCCAUCUAUUUGAACAUUAUGCUUUCUAACAGAAAAUUUCAUGAUGAAUUUCUCAAAAUAAUGUCAAAUUACAAAUGAUUCUUCCUCACUUUAGCAUCGAUGCAUUGAGUAAUGGGUCACCAUUUCUUGUUGGCUCAUCUUUCAGGACCAAUCAAAUGUGCAUUAUUUCUGAUUUGGAAAUGGCUAAAGAAAAUGAGAAAUCGAGAUUUGUCUUGUUCUUGUGCCCAAAAUUGUAUGUAAUCGAUUCAAUAUCACAUCUUAGUGAAAGCAAAGAGUUGGUCACCCUUAUUUCUCAAGAAAACUUAGUCAACAAACAAGCUUUAAACUUGCAACAUAUGGGUAGAAACGACAGCCAAACAUGUGAAGCAGGUUAUACCCUUAUAAUCACAAAUGAUUGAUGGAUUUCUUAUGAGCAUAAUCCUCACUUUGGGUUGUCAUGAAGGAUAAGUCAGCGAUGGACUUUAUGACCUUGUAAUGUGGCUUGAAAAUAAUAGUUAAAGAAUAAGACUUUCAAGGACAUUGCACCGAAGAUCGCAUUUCCUCUCAAACAUUGCCCCAAUUUUGAACUCAAAGAUCUUGGAUUUUGUUUGACCACUCAACAGGGACUUCACCAUCGAAUCUUUUGUAUUUCACUUAUUUUCUUGCUUUGCUUUUGCUUUUUUUCCCUUUUCCUCGACCUGGUGGGUUUUCACAUGGUAAGUAGCGUCAAUCCCCAUACCCAAACAAUUCAGAAAUACAGCUAAAAUUUACCGGCAUCAGAAAUUUUCUUGACAGGGCCAUUGCAAAAAACAGAAGUCAGGACUUCCGGCUUUCGUAAUGGGGUCAGGUGGGGUGUUUAGAAAAGUUAAGGCUUGAAAGUAGAUUUCAAAAGCGGUUUGAAGAAUCCGAGAUCGCAUUGUUGCGCCAACCCUAUUUUAGGGCUAAAUCAAAAUUUGCCCCAGUUUAUGCUCAAUUGAGGUUUUUUCUCUUUCAUUUUCUUUCUUUCUUUUGAUUUUUCGGCCUUCUGCCCUUCUUUUGAACUUUUCACAAAAUUUGCCCCAAUUUAUUUUUUGAACUGAGGUUCUCUUUUCUUUUGUCUUUUGAUUUUUGUUGCAUUAUCACUUUUCACUUCUUGAGACUUUUCUUUCCUUUUCAACUCAAACUUGCCCCAGUGUGAGGGUUUGCGAUUCUCAGGGGUUGCCAAAUGAAGUAUUUUAUUCUGAAAGUUCAAAAGGGAGAACUAGGGAUAGAAUGUUUGAUUGGAAAAGAAGAGAGCCUGACUUUUAUUCCGUUCCUUACAAUAAUUCUGAAAGGAAACUUUCAUUAAUGCGAAAUUUCUUGCAUGUAUCUGAAUUAAUUGACUGAGGAAGACUCUUGCUCAUUCAUAUCUAUGAAACAUAAGUGAUCCACUGGACAGAACUUGUCCUUUUUCCUCUUUUCUUUUCUUUUCAAAAUUGAAACCUAGGUAGAAUCAAAUUUUUCCAAUUCGCGGUUCCCUCCUUAUUCUAGCAUUUUUGCUUUUUCCCUUUUUGGAAAAUCCUCCAAUCCCCCUCCCCAAUGCGGGGUACGAUCGUAAGUGUUUUGAAAAAAACCACCAAUUUUAGCUCAAAUGAGGAUGCAAGGGAUGAUCAGUGUUUAGGUUGUAGAAACGACGGCCAAAGCAUCAUUCUUACACCUCAUGACAACCAAAGUAACGAAAUGGUUAUUGAAAAUCCAUUCCCCUUUUUGAUAUUUGAAAAUUUUCCAAUAAAGGGUAGUGAUCAUCAAAGCGUUUAUUUGGAACGAAAUUAUUCUUUUAUAGGCUCAAAUGGGAGAGCAAAUGAUAAAAUCUGUAUGGAUAGAGAAACGAACGCUUGGAGUAUCAUUCCAAAUUUUCAAAACAAAUAAGAAUAAUGCACAUUUUUUUUUGCUUUCACUGAGAUGUGAGUUGAAUCUAUUUAGACACAGCGGCCAUUUUCUAGCAAAGAUUGUCCCAAUUUGCAAUUUAUCAAUCAAUGUGACUGAUUUUAUUUUGGGGUUAAGUGAAGGAGAAAAGAUAUUUCAUUGGGUCUUUUGAAUGACAGCUCACCCUUUUUCUUUUCUUUUUUUUUCUUUCUUUUAAACUCUGAGCACUCUUAUUGUAUAGCUCGGAUCACCAAUUGAGUGUACGUAAGGAUUUUAGAAAGCAUACACUCGUAAAAUUUCAGGCUGGAGGUUGAGAAAAUCUCGAUUUAGCUUUAUUUCCCAAAAAUUCAUCAUGAAAUCUCCGAUGAGCAAAAGAAUGAAAUGUACAUGAAUACAAUAUUUAUCCAAAAACUUUAUUGCUGAAAAAGUUUGAAACAAAAUUUCUUGUUCAAUUACAAUACAAAUAAGAAGAGAAAAACUUCUAAAGAGCUACACAUAUACACUCUCUGCCUCCUUUUUUUUUGGAACAAAAAUGCAUUAACCAGUCAAAUAUACAGAAUUUUCUUUGAAAAAUAAUUAUGAAAUCUCUUAAAAAGCUUUAGCCUAACGCUUCCAGAUGGGCCCUUCAUGUUUUCAUUGCAAGACCUGCCCAAGAGUCAAAUAAUACCCGUAAUUUUUUACCCUUUAUUAGAUCAGAAUUGUUAUCAGAUAUAGAAAAAUAUUUUCGCCUUAUUGAAACAUUUUUAUGAAUGUAGGGGAGGGAAAAAAAUAAAAGAAAAAUACCCUGAGUUAGUAAGCAAAUUGUAAAAUCGGUAUGCAUGUCCUAUGGGGGAGCCCUUUUAUGCCAAGGGUAGGUCUAGCAUGAAAAUGCAAUCCUCUAGGGUAGGCACUAUACCAUACCUGAUGAAUCCGAUCAAUUGAUUGAAUGAAAAAUGAUUUGAAAAAUUUGGCCAAUUUGGAGUGAGAAGAAACAUUCGUCCUAAAAAAUGAGGACAAAGUCCGAAUGAAUUGCUUAUUUUGAUCGACACAUGAUGUGUCAAAAUGGGUAAAAUGGUCAAAUUCAUUGAAUGAAAUUUGAUUAUUUAUUGAAAAUUGAAUGGAUAACCCUAAAAAUGAAUUAAACUAAUCAAAUGAAUUGAAUGAAAUCAAUUGAUUAAGCGAAAUGAUUAUUUAUCCAAAAUCGACCGAAUUGCCCUAAAAUAGGUAAACUGGUCAAAUGUAUCGGAUGAUUUAUUCAAAAUUUACAAGAUCACCCUAAAAAGGGUAAACUGGUCAAAUGAAAUUUGAACGAAACUGAUGAUUUAUUCAAAAUUGAUUGAAUUGACCUAAGAAUGGGUAAACUAAUCAAAUGAAUUAAAUGAAAUUGGUGGUCUAUUUAAAAUCGACUAGAUUGCCCUAAAAAUGGACAAAUUGAUAAAAUGGACUAUAUGAAGAAUAAAAUGGUCCAAUGGACCGCUUAUUUGAAAAUCAAUCUAUCCACUGGUAGCAUCAAAAAUUUAUUGCGAUGCAUUAGUCUAUGAGCCUUCUAAAAUCAAAUUUUGGCCUCAAUUUAUUUAUCGUCUCAAUAGUGAGGAAUUACUUGUGAAUUUCUUCAAAUUAAAGUCCUUUAAGCAAGAAAUUUUUACUAAUUUUGAUAAAAUGGCCAAAAGGUGAUUAUUAGACGCUCAUAUUCCAAAGAUCACUCUAUGAAAAUGACCGGAUCCUACCUUACCUUGUGUACUACCCCUUUGGAUGGUACAAAAUGUAAACGUGCAAGUCUCAUUGGAUUAUAUAUCCGAGACACAGGACGGUUUAUUCCUAGUACGGGAUCCCCUAAAUGGCAUUCCCUUCUAAGGCGGAUGCAUGAUGCCAGUUUAUUAAAGCAAUAAAACAUGCGAUUUAAAGAAAAACGUGCCCUAAGGAGCCCUUUAUACGCCAGGGUAGGCCUAAAAAUGACAUGCCAUUAUUAAUUUACGAAUGAAAUAUAUCGAAAUUUCUAAACGUGCAAUAACCUAUCUAUAAGGGUAGGUCCUAAAAGAGGAUCGUGCCAGACCUCUUAUUUCCUAACGUUUGUAAAUGCAAAAGACAAGAGACAAGGAAAGUUAGUUCAACACAUAAUCACAUAACACGUUGGACAAUAAUAUAAAAAGCAACAAAGAUAUAUAAGGAAAGGGGGCGGGAUCCCUCCCCUCGUGAAUGGUGUCCCUAAUAGGGUAACGUCGACUCUACCCUAGGCAAUUCUAAUAUGGAUGCAUGAGGCUGGGGUUUGCUAAUGCGUCUAGACUCGAUAAGCUCAGGUCCCCGAACCUUCAGACUUGGAAACCAAAGGUCAUCACUCCCAAGGUUUCUUGUCGGUGGCUCGAGCGAUUCCCCAGACAUUGCUACGCACACGUCGUGUCACGGCUACAUGUCUGGGUGAAUGUAAAAACAGUCCUCAACUUUCGACUAAAAGCUAAAAGUUAUUAACCCAAAACUUUAAGCGGAAGAUUGAGUGACCCCUCGGAUCGUGCUACGCACACGUCGUGUCGCGAUCACACGUCCAAGUGGGUCACCUAAUCCUAAUAGGGUGGAGUGGCGUGACAAGCCACUAAAGAAAAAUAAACGAGGGAUGAAUAACUAAAGCGUAUGCACGUAUGCUAGUGCUCGUUUGGAGGGGAGGGAUUGAGAACCAACGCGAGGCUCUAAGGAAAUAUCCCCCCACCCAAAUGCAAUGCAAAGUGCGAGAUCACAAAUAAAACAUACAUCCAAUCAACCAAUCAUACAUACGUGAGUGAGAGAGUAGUUUGAUACGCGCGCGAGGCAAAAGGUCCUAAAAUGGAAAAUGCAACCCUAAUAUCCAAAUGCUACGCAUAACAAGGGUAGAAAACGGAAAAGAAUGGCUAAAUCAAAUGCUUGGACCCACUUAGGAUGUCCCCAGUGGAGUCGCCAAUCUGUCGCGCCCCACUUUUUGAAAUGGUGUGAAAGUAGUGUGUAAGAUAUGUACGUGAAUGUGUGUGAAAGUGAAAAUAAAAGGCCGUGGGAUUGUGAAAUGCGACGGUUUGGCCAAACAAAGGGUUUUAUAUAAAAUGGAGUCGCCACUUGGUAUAGAGUUAGGGUGUACCAAGUCACCCAAAAAGUGAUUUUUGGAAAGAAAAGUAAACAAACCCUUUGUAAAGAAAUUUUAGGUAUACGUAACCAAAGAAAGGGAUCGGGGAUCACAUUUGAUAAGGGAGAAGGCAAAGGCAAAGUCUAAGGCACUCCCCUACCCUAACCAAAGCUAGUUGCGUGACUUAGCCCCACUUUUCCUAAUUCUUCUACCCAAAAUAUGCGUUGCAUGUUGGAUGUAACUAAUGGAUAUGAAAAAGAUGCAAUCCUAAAUCUAAAAUGUCUCUUAUGAGGCUUUUUAGUCCCAACCACAUGAAUUGUGAUGGCCAGUAAGGAAAGCCCUCACAGAGGUCAUGAAUAAUGCAAAUGAGAACUCAAGUAUGAGUGUAAGUGUGCAAAUGUAAGAAAAGUGCAUGUGUGCCAAUUGAGAAAAUAAAUGUGUUUGUGUGCAAGUGGAUGAAAAUAUGGUAUAAUGAUAGUAAAUACAUAUGUGUAAUGGGGUGCAAUUUGUGAGGCAUGGCAUGUGGAUUGAGAAAAAAUAUAAGUAGUGAGAAAAUGUGGAUAAAGAAAGUGAAGAAGUGAUAUGAUAAAAUGAGAGUGUAUGAACCUAGAGGAAUGCAUCAAGUCGAGUACGGGAAUGACUCCUAAUUUCACGACUUUAAUUUUCCCUUUGAUUAGAAGGAAGAACUAGCGUGCUGUGGCUAUUUUGUAGCCACACUCACUCGUUUCCCUUAUCAAAAGGGGACUCUCAAGCAAAUGUACCUUAUAACUAGCAUGAAGAUGCAAAAACCUAAAAUGAAGGGGAAAGGAUUGGAGGAGCAUGCCAAAUACUAGAAAACUAAGAAAAAUGCAUGAAAUGUAGUGAGACAUGCAAGUAUGUACUAGCGAGAGGGGGCCCUAUUGGGUUUAGCAUUGGACUAGCCCACAUCUACACUCUCUCACAAGCAUUGGACUUGUAAGAGCUCGAGAGGACAACCAUGACUAGCAUUGGACUAGCCACGGUUACGUGCAUUUGCAUCCAUCAUACACAUAUAUAAGUAAUGUACAUAAUUAAAGCAAGUAGACAUGUGAGCACGUAAUUCACUUAACACAUAAGCAUGCAUAUCUAGAGGCCAAAACCUAAGAAAGCGAUUAAACACAUAGCACCUAAGCAUGCAAAACACAUAAGGCGAUUAAGAAAGCGAAUAAAACCCUAGCUAUUACACUUGAGGGGGGGCCUACUACAAUCUAAAAGGGGGAAAAGCUUGGAAAAGAAAAUGCCAAAGACUAACUAUUACAAUUUGGGGCUCGAAUACCCUCAAAUGUCUUGCUUAAUUAAAGAAAGCGAAACCAGCAAUUAAACUAUAAAAUUGAAAAGCGAAUUAAAGCAUGCAUAUUCACACAAAACAUAUAGGAGCACGUAGGAAAAAUAAAAUCAAGGAGAUAGAGAUUACUCCUUUUUUGCAAUGGUAGUCGAGUGAAGCGAAAUUACUUUAAACCUCCAAAAACAAAGAAAUGUCAAGGCAUCUCAAAUAAUCACAUAAGUACGAAAUGGAAUCAUAAAAAACAUUUAAAUUUCUAGAACUGUCCAUAUUCACUAGAUAAGGGCCCAAUUGGAAGGAAAAAGAAAGUUUGAGGGAUCAAUCUUGAUUAGUCGUUCCAAUUAUUCGAGCCAUAGUGAGAUAAAGAAAUACUUAGGGGGUCAAAGUGCAAUUUUUAGAAAACCAUUUCAUGCAUGCAACGGAACUUUCUUUGUUUCUGCUGAUUUCUUCUUUCUGCAAUUUCGCAGCUCAUUGACAAUCAAAGAAACUCAACCAAGGCUUCAACAUCCCAGCUUUAAAGUAAGCAAUACAACCCAUAACUUCGACACCCCAACUGACAAGAAAACUUAGAGAGAAAUCAUGCAAAUUCAAUGCAAACAACUUUCGCAACUUCAAAACCAUUCUUAUGCAAUUUCUCUAUCCAUUUCAGAUGCACUCACGCGAACAGACCAAGAAGAGCUGACUGAGUUGCUAACUAAAACAGAAAAUACUGGAGCUUAGCCGAAAAGGAAAAAAAAAAAACAGAUAGAACAAGACUAUCGAACGCAGCAUGCAUCCUAACAAAGACUUUCGGCAGGCUGAUAUCCAUUUUCCAGCAACCAUUUCUGCUGCAACUUUCCAGGUUCAGUUCUUUACCAUGGCUAUGUCUAGUUCCAUGUAAAUUUCCAUCCCAACACAACUAACAUUCUACCAAACAUCAAACUUCGAUCAAGCAAAGAAACACAGCAUUCAACACUCCAACUUGCAAAUUUCAAUUCCAGAAACUCCAUUCCUUCUCGGCAGCUUUAUUGUCAAAACAGCCAUGAAAGAAUAGAAUACCAGACAAAAUGUGCAUGAUCAAAUAACACCCAAACAAAUCUAAUUUUUCCGAAAACCCACCUCUAAAAUUUCAGUUCAAACUUCCAAAAAGCAAAACCCAGGGCAUCAAAACAAGAUAAGCACAUCGUAUCAAAAACAUGUCAAACCUGCUGCAACUUUCUACUGUGGGCUUGCGGUUCAUCUCAUGCAUAUAUUUUCGUACAAAAACUCUGAUAAAACCUUCUUUUCAUUAGCCCCAAACCCAUAUAACCCUCAAGUCAUCAGUUUUAACAUAACCCAAACACAACGGCUUAUCUUUAGCAGAUACACUCGAGGAGAAUCCGGACAAAUGAUAACAACAAAGAACAAAUUAAAGAUCAUGCAAGUCUGAUGAAAAAAGAAGAAAUAUACAAUCUGCUGGGCUUGCUUGAAGAUAUGAGGCCAAAGGGAUUACCUUUAGUACCUUAUGGAGUCCAGUGAACAGAGAAGAAUCGAAGAGAUUGCGUCUAAACGCCGACUUCAAAGAUGCAAACUUUUUGGUGAAGAGAUUUCCAGAGCACCGUAUGAAGGCAGAAACAAAAGUUUCUUCUUGUUCAGCCGCUGCCCCUUUUCUUUUCUUCCCCUUGCCCCAGCUCUCUUUCCAUUGCUCUCUCCCUCGGUUUUCUGGUUCCUUCCUCUCACUCGAUCUCUCCCUCAGCCUUUUUUUCCUCAGCCGUCAACAGGUUCCUCCCAACUCUCCAUUUUUCCUCAGCUUUUACCUCUCUCAAAACCCUAGCCUUUUUCCCACAGCCGACCUUCCCUCUGUUUUCUCUUCCAGCCGUCAAAAACCUACCCCUUAUCUCAGCCCUCAAGACCUUUUUGCUCCUAGCCGUCAACUAUCCUCAGACUUCCGCUCUUAGCCCCCCCUUCUUGGCUGCGGCUGUUUUUGCUUUUAUAUAGCUACCCAGAUUCCUAAACCUAACAUCUAAUGGUGCCGCUGAAUUGAACCUCGAUGGUGAAUUGUAAACCAUCGGAUGAGCCUUUGUACUAUCCUCCUCUUGAGGACCCGAGGAAAAAAAAAGAAAACCACCCCAAAAAUGAGUUGAAAAGGGAGGUAAAAAAUGGCCUCUGCAAUUUUUCUGUGUUGUCCGAAACUUGUAAAAUGAAGAAAUAGCGCGCGUUCCUUAGUUAGUUUUUUUUUUCUUUUUUUUUCUUUUCACUUGAAACAAGCCCGAUUUGAUUUUUGUUGUUUUUCUUUUCCCUUUUUCUUUUUAUUUCCAGAUGAACCAGUUAAUUAAUAAACACAAUGACGAAAAAUAACAAAUUAAGUAAAAUUGAAUGAAAUAGACAAAUACUAAAAAAUAAAACAAAAUUGUUAAUUUUUGUUCGAUUGAUGAUCUUCUUUGUUUUUUUUUUUCAGUGGAUUAAUUAACAAAAAUAAUUUUCUUAACAAAAAUGAGAAUGAGAUAAAUUAAACAAAGAAAUAAUAGUAAAAUAAAUAAAUAAAUAAACAAAAAUCACCUAGAAUAAAUAAAUAAAUAAAUAAAAAGAAAGGCUAAAAAUUUGGUGUCUACACUCAAAGGUCGGAUUGCCCCUCCAAAGAGGCGUGGCCGGGAAACUCGGGUUGCGAGGGUUACCCCUCCUCUUAAGCCUUUGCUCAAUCUUGAUGCCUUGUCAAUCAACUCAAGCAUAUCCAAGUAGUUUUGCAAUUCCACUAACUCGGCGAUCUCAGGUCUCAAGCCGUUAAGAAAUCUCGCCAUGGUAGCCUCUCGAUCCUCCAUAAUAUCUGCUCGAAGCAUGGCGAUCUCCAUCUCCUUGUAGCAGUCCUCCACACUACGGCUUCCUUGAACUAAUAUCUAGAGUCUCUGAUAUAAAUCACAGUAAUAAUGGUUGGGUACCAACCGUUUUCUCAUAGUAGUUCAUAACUCCUCCCAAGUACUAAUUGGCCGUUCUCUAUUGCGGUGCCUGCUAGUGCGCUCUUGCUCCCACCAGACAAUAGCGUAAUCAGUGAAUUCGAGGAUUGCUAGUUUGACUUUUUGUUCAUCCGUGUAGUCCUGGCACUCGAAGACCAUCUCGAUUCGCUGUUCGCAUUCCAGGUAAGCCUCAGGACUAGAGUUGCCUUGGAAUGAGGGAAUUUUGAUCUUGACCCCCUUUAAUCCGUCAUCUGUUCUCCGGUAGUCCUGUUUUGGUCGACGGAUGAAGUCAUCUUCCUCGCUAUUAGAAGCCAACUCCUCGCGAGGCGGAGCGUCUCGAUGGCCGGUGUUGGAUCGAGCUUGAGAAAGCUACAACUGGUCCAUCCUUUGAUGUAGGGACUCCAUAGAUUCCCUAAGCAUUUGUUUAAACUCCGCCAUCAAUGCCAUGUUGUUCAAUUUGGGUCAAAUUUGGAAGGUUCGCUUCCAUCUGACAUGAUGUAGGAAACCUGAAAAAAAUCUGUAGCAAAGCAAAUAUAGAUAUGUAUGCCUCACUCACUCCCUCGCGUGUUUAUACUCAGCCCUCGUGUAUGUCACUCAAAGAGCACUCUAAUAAUCUCACUAAUGCUCUCAAAACUCUUUGAUAGCUUACCUUGAAGAAAUUAGAACUCCUCCCAGGCAAACAAUCAACUUCCAAUUUUGGAUCACGAGAAUGUGGCAAUCCUCAAUGGAAUAGGAAUGAUUGACUCAAAUGAGAGAAAUGGAAGACUAAAACACGGACAGAAAUGAAAAACAAGGACACGACCCAAAAAGAGAAAAAUUAUGCCCUUUUUUUUUAGACGCAAGUUUCCUUUGCUUGUUAAGAGGUCCAAAUGGUGGCUAAGAAAAGGAAGUGGGUGGCGGCUAUCAACCUACAAUGUAGGCAAGGUGGCUGAAAAGAAAAGGGUAAGGAAACGACUAAGGAAACUCCUAAAAUGUAGGAAUAAGUAGAGGCUAAAAUGUAGGAAAAGUUCUUUAAAAGUAGGGUAUGGGUGGCGGCUGGAAUGGAGGCUAAAAAGUAGGAGAAAUGUUGCUAAAGUGGUAGGAAGGUAACUCCUAAAAAGUAGGAAGAGAGAUGCCUACAAUGUAGGAAUUGUGUCUUGAUUGGAAAUCAAACACUCUUGGCAACCAAACAAGACUAGGAAACCAAUCAAAGAAGGUAAUCUAAUCAAGAACUUGGAAACCAAUUGUGCUUAGGAAACAUAAGUAAGACCACGGCUGACUUAGGUUAUUAAUACACCAUGCAAGUCACAACUUAGCCUCACAAGACCGCAAACAAGCUCACAAAUUCUGGUCAAAACAAUUUUACAAUUUUGGCUAGGAGCAAGGCAAGAACAACGAACUAUGGACAAUCAAGAUGGUGCAACUAACCCUUUUCAGGCUUCCCUCCAAUGGGUUACCCAAGAUGCUCCCAAGAAAUUUACUCCAAAACCAAGGAAACCCUUUAUCGACGCCAAAGAGUACAAGAAACUUUUCAAGAGACGAGUAAGACCAAUUCCCAAGACUCAAGCGGUUCAAGAAUUUCAAGAAGUAGUGGACCAAAACUUUUGAUUUUGUGUUUGUUUUGCUUUUGAUUAGUAGUUCGGACCACUAUGUAACCUUUCGAAUGGUUGGAAAUAAAAUUUCUGGAAUUUUAGCUUGACCGAAAUAAUUAUUUUGCUUGCUGUCUCUUUUCCGUUUUUUUUGAACGACAAAGCAAAACAAAGGACGGCUAGGUUUUCCUCUCUUUUUGGACUUGGUCAGCCACAAUUAAUUCGUGUAUGGCUAAAAGGAAAUCCAAAUCAAAUUCACUUGCUCCCAAACUCACGAAUUGCAAGGAGAAAAAUUUUUGGACAGCCCACAAUGGUCCUCCACCCGCGACAACAAACCCUAAAUUCGGACAGUCAAGGGUAAACAAGGUAUGGCAGCCGCUCCUUUUUUUUCUUUCUUUUUCUUUCUUUCUUUUUUUUUUUUUGACUCAAACCCUAGAUAAACCUAAUAACUCAUGACUUCACAACAAGGUGCGGCAGCCUUAACAACUCGACAAGCAAGACAAUGACGCAACAACAACACAAAAUAGAAUUUUAUUCCAUGAAAACAAGAGAAAACAAUUGCGGACUGACUUGGACAGAUUGUAUACGCUUGGACAGAUUGUAUACGCUUGGACAGACUUUUUGACUCCAAAAACAGACAAAAUAGAUUGGAACUUAUGUGGAAAAAUUGAAGACACAACGGACAGAAUUUGACACAAAACAAGGCAAAGAAAAUGAUACCAAAAGGAAGAGAAAACAGCGACACAAAAGAACACAAAAUAAGGAAUAUACGUGAUACCUUCAACUAGCUCUGAUGCCAGCUAAUACGAAUGGCACCAAUCUUGUGAUGCAACCCGUACAGACAGGAAAGGAUCUAGAAGGUAGGACUCACGUUGAUGAACACAAACGCAGCGGAAUCACCUAAAUCCGUUGAUCACGUGGUCAACGAACCUCGGUAUUGGUAGAAGACGCCACAAUCUAGCACGGUUCUAGAUUGAUAAGUUGAAUUGAAUACCUAAAAACGAUUAUAAGAUAUUCAAUGGUGCUUCAAUGAAACUUUGAGAGAACUCUCAAAAUGUAUUUUAUUAAUCAUUAAAAACUGUCUAAUACAACCAACAAUGCUUCCUUAAAUACUAAGCUAGUAAUAAAGACUAAUGGGCCAAGCUACUUACUACGGUAGCCCACAUGGCCUAGACCAUUGACCCAAGGACUGAACGACUACUAAGAUCCAAACCACAAGUUAGUUGGACCUCUAUAUUACACUAUACUAAAGCUAGUAAUGGGCCAUGGCCCUUGGUCGAAUUUGACACCUCUAAACCUCAUGGAUGGCUGAAAGUAGGAUAAUAUAUCUAGCUUCGUUGAGGCCCUCAAUGGCUUUUGACUCUCCACUUGACUCUCGGGCCGCAUGAACCAAUGUUUAUAAUGUUUCAUUCAACUUCUUUGCACGAGCUCGUGUCAUAGGCCUUAAUGGCACCUUCACUUGCUCCACUUGGAUAGUACUUUUGACCUCCUCAUCAAUUAGUGCUUGGGCUGCGACUGUGUGCCCAGAGGAAUUUUUUACAGCAGUUGGUUGUUGAGUCGGAUUCGCUAGUGCUAAUACAGAUUCUGAGAAUCGUUUACCAAUGUUCGUGGGCGAUUAGUUGGGAGAUCGAGUAGUGUCGCAGGUUCUCACAGGGGAGUAUACAGUUCAAGUAUUGCUAUCGCGAGGCCAAUAAGGUUGCGGAUGUGCUGGCCAAUGUGGGGUGUGCCUUGGCUGAGUCGGUGUGUAUUUAUGAAUAUUUCAGGGACCUACCAGGUGUAUCUAGAGGCGAAUAUCGGUUGGAUAAACUAUCAUACCCGUCUAUUCGGCGACGUCGAGUUAAGUAAGUAGGUGUCUUGUAGUUGGCUUGUAUCGUUGAGGUCAGGCUUAUGUCCCCCUCAAGAACUAUUCUGAGGGCAAUAAAUUCAACACUUACUAAAAAAAAAUUAAUUCAUUUAAUUAAUGUCCAAGAAUCUGUUGUAAGACAGAUCUUACUAGAAUUGUGCCUAAGCAGAUUUUUCAAUUUUGUUCUUUCAUCCAAAUAAAGUUGAUAACAAUCCCUAGAGAUAGUCCACCUAGAAGACAUUCUAAAUUGAGGACAAGCAACAUGCAUGACUUCUCUAAAUCUAAUGCCUUCAACAUGUUUAAAAGGCAAUUCAUCCACAAUCACCAUAUAAGCAAUUUUCUUUCUAAUUAACUCAGCAUCAAAUUUCCAUGAUAGAAGUACAACCCUGGUUUCCCCAUCCACUGUUUCAUUUUCCCAAGACACCAUGUCACUUGAUUAGUGUUUUUGUAGUUAGGAUUAUUAGGACAUUGGGUUAUAUGAUUUCUCAAGCUAGUUGUACCAUUAGUCCUACCAUCAGUAGCUAUACAUUUCUCACAAUAUUUACAUUCAUCGUGUUUGAUCUUACCCUCAAAAACUUCUUUGAAAUGUGGCCACACUGUAAAUCUUUUCUUGUAUGGACCUCGUUUCUUUGACCCUCCUCCUCCUAAAUCUGUCAAGCUAGGAGCUGGAGUUGGAGCUAGAGAAAAGUGCUAUUGAUCGAGUCGAGUAUUUGAUUGUUGAACUCAACUUGUGCUUCUAUUGAGUCAGGCUCAAUCUCGCUCGACUAAGUGGAUGAGCCUUGAAGUGUGCUUGAGAUCGACUUGCCAAGUGGGAUUUGUGAAUUGAGUACAAGCUCGAGCUCGACUUGUUUAGCACAUACGAGUCGAGCUCGCAUGAGUUCGAAAUAUCUGUCAAACAGCUUUAAUGUCUAUUUUGGUGAUAUUCAUACAAAUGCCACAAUUCAAUCAUGCAAGUUUUAGGAAACAAACGCUACACCCUAUCCAAAAGUCAACAAAACUUGCUAAGUUGCAAUUCACAAUCACAAAUUAAUAUGUCAGGAAUGAAUUCACAAGGGACAAGCUAGCCAGCCAUAACAGGAUUUGAUAAAAUUCUUUUCAAGUAAACAAAUACACAAACUCUAGCCAAAUUCCAUCCGAGGCAACAUCCAUAAGACCAUAACAGGAUUUGAUAAAAUUCUUUUCAACUUAACAAAUACACAAACUCCACCCAAAUAACUACAUAAAACAAUGCUAGAUAACUAAAACUUUGACAAAGUCCUACUUCACUAAUCACAAGAAAGGUCCAGCUUUACUUAAGGAAACAAAUUCAACAAGGUCCAACAUCAUAUAUUCAAGAAAACAACCUUCAGAUGUCAAGAAGAUCAAUUUCUUCAAUUGUAGAUGAUUUGACAACAUUGAGUGGUUCCUACAAACAAAAACAAGAAAGUUACAACUCCUAACAAAGUAAAAUGAGGUAACAAAAUAAACCAAUAGUAGAAGAUAUAUUUUACUUACAUGAGACUUGUUUUUUAAUCCAUGAAGAUUGCAAAUCCAAUCAUUGUCACAAAGUAGCAUUUGCACCGUUUCAAUAGACAUAGAAGCAUGCUGAUGAUUGAUUAUUCUACCACCGGCACUGAAAGUAGAUUCAGGGACGAUAGUUGUAACUGGAAUAGUGAGUACAUCACUUGCUAUCCUUGACAAUAUAGUAAACGUCCACCUUCUUCUUUCCAUCAACCCAAACAUCAAGAUUUGCAUUUGCAUCACAAAUAUACCUGCCCCUUUUCCAAAUAGAUAUCAAAAUCUAAUUUUUUGGGGAAGCCUUAUCAAUUUCACUAACAAUUACCUGAAAUUUUUCUUUCCCAGUUAGGACAUUAACUUCAAGCUUUUUAGCAGCUUCUCGGGUAGAUUUACUUAUAAUUUUUGCAUGUUUUCGUUCCACAGCUUCCCUUUGUGGUUUCUCAUCAUGAGAUAAGAUGUGAGCAUCCACAUAUUCAUUAUAGAGUUCAUAAAGAAUGCAUCUAAUCUCAUCAAUAUACCUAGGAGCCACAUUCUCGCCAUAAAUAACUGAAAAAGUAUGAUUAACAAGGACCAUUUUACACCUUGGAUCAAGAAUGACAUCGAAAGAUAUCAAAAUAUUGCUUUCCCCCUAAUACUUGUGAAAUUUUUGUACCAUACUUUCAGUCAUAGACCCAAUAUGAUUAGACAAGUUGAGAGUUUUUUCAUUUAAUAGCUCCUUAAUCCUAUACAGUUCUACAAGAAAAAGGUUAGUAGUUGGGUAAUCGGAUCCAAAAAUGAUAUUGGUGAUCUCAUAAAAAAAAUACCCAAAAAUUACAUAUUUCUUCGACUUUCAUCCACUCAUACUCACUUGGGACAUAGUGAAACCCAAGAUCAAUGUCCCCAUAUCUUGGAAAUACAUCCCUAAAUUCUAGAGUCAAAACCAACAUCGAAUUGGUGUUGUUCCACCUAGUUGUGCAGUCCAAAAUGAGCUUUUUAGAAGGCAAUUAAAUCUAUUUUUUUUAAUAUUUUGGCAAAGUCAUUGAGGCGAGACUCUGAAAUUUUCAAAUACUUGAUCCCCUCUCGAACAACAUCAAUCACAUCAACAAUUUUAUUAAACCCAUGUUGAACAAGCAAAUUAAGUAUAUGUGCACAACACCUAACAUGACAAAUUUUUCCUCCAAUGUUUAACCUUUGUCUCAGAGAAAAAUUCUCUUUAAGUCUCGUAAUGCAUACAUCAUUCUAAGACGCAUUGUCUACAAUUAUAGUAGAAACCUUAUGCUCAAUCCCCCACUCAAGAAAGCACUUACUUAAGUAUCGACAAUAUUUACUCCUAUAUGAGAAGGUGCGACAUUACAAAAAUUUAGGACCCGUUUUUGCAACACCUAAUCGCUAUCAACAAAAUGCCCUGUCACAACCAUGUAUGGAAUUUUAUGAGUAGAUUUCUACAAAUCUGUAGUUACCCAUUGGCACCUUUGAAUAUAUUUCUCAACCUUCUCUUUUCAAGCAUGUAAGCAGUCACACAAUCUUCCUUUACUAUUUGCCAGUUAAUCUUUUAUAAAACGGAGAUGCAACUUUCAUGAAUUUGUUAAAAACAACAUGGUCCAACAUAGAGAAAGGAUGCUUAUGUAUAAGAACCAUAUGAGCCACUAAUCUUGUACCUUAGCAUGAUGAUAGGAAAAAUUAGUAAUAGAAAUUAUACCAUUCGAGGGUCCUCCAGUGAAGGAUAAGACCUGCUGCCUCUUUCGGUUUCUAAGAGCCAACUUCUUCUGUAGACAAUUUUUCAGGUGACGCUUGUGCUAAGAAGUGGCUCCAGAUGCACUCUUGGCAAACAGCUUCUUGCAGUGAUUGCACUGCACUUUCAAUAUUUCAUCGGCCUGCUUUACUAUUGUCAUAUCCUCCCAUAUUGUUGACUUCUUUUUCCUUGCUUUUUCUUCAAAUAGUUUUGCACCUUCAUCGGAACAUUUUUGGUCUGUUUCUGCUUCUUCAUUCGACUAUUCUAAGAUAUCUAAAUCCAGCUCUUCUUCGCUCAUCUUAUCAGCAUUUUCCUCCGCCUCAAGUUUUUGAUCUACAACUUCAUUUCCUACCUCCAUAACGGGACUUGAUGAUGAUCCUUAGUGUGAAUGAAAUGAAGGACAGUGAACAUUUAUGAAAUUCCACAAAAUGAGUGGAAGGAGCAUAACGAACAGCAAAAUCCUAUACAAAAUACCAAAUGAGCUCAGCUUCUUGGUUCAUAGUUAGAGUGUUGAUCAAUUGUUGACUCAAACUUAUGCUUCAAGUGUCCGAAAUAGACAAACAAACAAGUAUAUGGAAAUAGACACCUUAAGGAUAUAACAUAUUUAUGUUGGAGCACUUUCUAAAUCCAAAAUGCCUGAAACAGUUGAAGGCCAGACUGACUCCAAUAGCUAGACAUUAGCAUUGAUAAACCGUUUGACACAAGUGGUACAAAAUUAUAGGCUUUAAACAAAACGGGACAAAUUUGAGUCCAAUCCAAUUUGAAAACUUUAGGUUAUUAAUAACUUAUUAUAUAAGCCAUCAGCAUAUAUAUGAAAAAACACUAGAUUUAGAUUAGUUAUGUCAUAUAAUUUAUUUAUACAAAUUGUUCAUUAACACUCAAUGAGAGAGUCCGAAAAUUUUAUGUCUUAUUUAAAAUUUAGUGUAUGCUACAUUUUUUCCCUUUGUUAUUGAUUGAUUUAUAUGUUCAAAUGUUCCAUUUAAUAAACAAAAUGAAUCGCUACACUUUAGGAUAAAUUGUAUCCUUUAUACCAUAAAAUAUUAGUAUUAGUUAGAAUUUGUUGUGGUGGCAGAAUGAUUAAAAAAAGAGAGAGAAACCAAACGAAAAUAAGCAUGAAUGACACUUGUCCUCACCACCUGCCCAAGUACAUGCAAAUUCAUUACUCAUCACUAAUGAAAGAAUCAGAAAUAGUACUUUAAGUUACAGUCGGUUGAGUGGAAACUAGAAAGAAACCAUUUGUUGUUUUCAUUUCCUUUGCUUACUAAGAACCGAUAGAGAGUUAGCGUAGGAAAACUAAAAGAAUCAGCCGCCACCACCUUGUUCUUCCUACUCAUCCAAAGUUGAGAGUAAAGCCAAAGGACCAGCAGCUUCCGUUCUUUCUCUGCAAAUUUUGAACUUUAAUUAGGCCACAAGGAACACUAGCCCAGUUAGUUAAAACAGCGGGUAGAAGCUGAGGAUUUGUUUCAGCCAAGAAACCGUGAGAAACUAGAGGUGAGCAUCACUAAGUUUCUACUGAUUUUUUUUUUCUAUUUCAGAUGAAUGAAGUUUUGGCUUGAAAUAAUAGUAAGAAAACAAGAAUUUAGUAGAGAAAAGGAUCUUUAAAGCUGGAAACAUAUGUUCAUGCAUAAAACCUGAGACGAAACUGCAAAUUUGCGACUGUUUCAUCCUCAAAUCAUGACGGAUUGUGUCUGCAUGCACUCCAUUUAGACUCUAACUCCUUUAUCUACACAUGCAUGUAGAGUUUUACUAGAAAAUGGGAGAAUCAAGUGUUGAUUUGAAGAAAGACUGCACUGAAAAUUCUGUUAAGAAUGUUGUUUACUGCUGAUAUCGUUGAGUUGCAAGUUUCAGUUGUUUUCCUUUUCAAACUUGUAAGAUGAUGCUCGCAUACACUAUAUAUGCUUCUCACUUCCCUAAUCUCGGUGUGCAUGUAGCCUUUGAUUUGAAUCAAGCAUGAAAGGGGCAAGUUGUAGGAUAACCAUUGCUGGAAAUAUGGUUUUAAAACUGCAUGCUAGCCGAUGGCAUAUAGCUGGAAAUUUUCAACUUUCCUUCCAAAUGUUUUGCUGAGUAUUAGUUAAAAUUUACUCUGUGUCCUUCCUUACCUUAACCUAAUCAUACAUGUAAUAUUUGAGAAGUUAAAAUUAGGAAAGAUCAACUUUUAAAGCAAUAACAAAACUAGAAUUUCUAGACAGCAAACAAAAGGGGAAAAGCUGCAGUUUUGGUUCUUUCUUCAAAAAUUUUGAUAGAUUAUAAGUGGAAUUCAUGCUUUAUGUCUUUAUAAUGUUUAUAGGGUGAUGCAGGUGAACUUCUGUGGUGAAAACUUGAGUUUUAUGGCUGGUUUCUUGCUGGGAUUUCCAGCAUUAACCAAGAGGAAAGAAAGCUUGGUUUUCCAACCUUUCCUACGAAAUUUCUAAGAGUUUAAGCUAGGAAACUCCUACUAUAUUUCAGUACCAUUUUUAUUUAGUGUUGCAUGCUAGUUUUACUUAGUGGAAAUUCGUUUAAUGGGGCUGGAGUGACUAUACAAGGAUUGUAUGCUGUGAGACUAUUGUUAGUUGCCCGAUUGGGAAUUUAGCUGCAAAUUUUUUUUAAAUAGAGAUUUUUGGAAAGUUUUGAUGGAUUUUCGAAGCUGCAUGUUUUAAUUUCAGUGUUUAGGUCAUUGCAUGUUGGAUUUGGAUAAUAACUUGGUAUAUUGAAUGAAAAUCUUGGAAGAUACAUGGCUGGAAUUUCAGUUUUAAAACCCGAAUGACUGGUUAUGCUCUCUCAAGCUUAACUUCCAUUUUGUGAAUUGAAGUUUAUGCGAAUAUUGGUUAAAAAUUAUCCUAUAGUACUCUGUUUUUGUUUGAGUAUUAUGACUACUUUGAUUUAGGAAGAAAUAUUGAGUCUUUGGGAAAGAAAACCGGAGCUUGUUGAGCUUACAAGACUAUUUUAGAUAGAUUGGAAUAGUUGAGGAGUUCAAACAGUUUUCUGAAAUUUUAGAGGAUUUCAAUCAAACCUUGAACUAAGAACCACCUAUUAAGUAUAACAGUAAAACACAUGUUGAAUUUUAGGAGAUUUGAACAAAGGAAAUAGUGAACUUUGGGCCAAAAACAUAAAGCAUGUCCUGCUAAAAUCCAUUUUGAACAAUCCUAACUUAGUACCUAGAUUCUAGGUUUUCACUGUGUUCCUAAGUUGGAAAUGAACCAAAACUGAUCAAAAUCUCUUUAAACUACCUUAUAAAAGUUUUACUUAUAAAAUUCAUCCAAAAUUUAGGAUAAAAUCCAGGAACUUCAUAAGAUCCCUAAAUUGCCAAAUUCUAGAAAACUUACUUUGAACCUUGAUUAUAAAUAAUCCUUAGAAUCUAAAUCCUAACUUUUAUUGCCAAAUAACCACCUUACCUGACUUUGUUAAAACAUGGAAUGUUAGGGUUUAAAAAAUUAAAAUUGCCUAGACUUUGAACCUAUGAUGUACUAGAAUUAGAUAAGUAUUAAGAUCAUCUUAAAACUCCCUAUAUAUAUAUAUAUAUAUAUGUAUAUAUACAUAUUUAAACAUCUUGGAUUAUAUAUACACAUAUAUACGCUUUAGUCAAAAUAAUCAUGUGAGCCUUAACUUCACCACUUGGAAAAAUAAUGAGUAGACUAAUAAGUUUAUAAAUAUCUCAAGACCCGAGGGAGAUCGGAGGAGGGUCCAAGCACUGAGGAGUAAACUCAAAAUACUUUGGAUGAGUGUUUCCACAUUUGUGUAUUUAAAUUGCUUAUGUGUUACUUAAACGAUGUUUAUAUGAUUAUACUAGUUCUUUAUUGUGAAGUGUUUUCAAUUAUCCCUCGCUUUCUAAGUCGAGAGUGUACUUUAUCGCACUCGACUUAACUUGAGUUUGAAGGUUGAUAAUUGACCUAAUUUGAGUUUGAAGAUUGAUAAUUGACCAAGUGUUAUUGUAAGUAUGCAUGACUAUAAGCCGUAUACAUACUUUAUUAAACUGGCUGAAUUGGGCCCCAAAACCCUUUGUUCAAUUGACUAUUCGAGCCAGCAAAAGGGAUUGGUUAAAUGGGACGAUAGCUUUGGGUAAGUGUUUCAAUAUGCUCGAGUAUUACCACAGAAUAGCAGAUUACUGAACUGAUAUGGUUAUCUAAGUGAGGGAAGCGUUUACUAUUUUGAAGGUUAUAAGGAGGAGUUCAGUGGAGUGUGUAGUGUAUUGAAAUGGCCUUAAUGCAAGCACUGUAUUCGUUUGAAAGUGAUUAUUCAAUGAAGUGUUCUUUAUUUUAUUCAAUGAAUUGUUUUUUUCUUGCUUAAUUUUGAUUAUGCGUUAAGUGUUUGAUGAUUAUUGCUUGCUUGGGAAACCUCACUGGGUUUUGCUCAAUUCAUUAGUUUGUUUUCCUUUUAGAAAGGGAAGAUAGAAGUACGAAGUAGCCAAGAGUUAAGCCGAGACCUAAAAUUUUACUUGGAAGAUUGCUUUUGUACUUAAUGAAUUGAUUGAAUAACUUGUAUUUUGAUCCAUUUAGUUGUACAUAUAAUUAUGGAUGAUUUGGAAUAUUGGAUGGUUUGUAAUAUUUAAUUGUAGCGUUUUAAUGCUUACCUUGGAUUUAAUGCUAUUGAUUGGAAGAUUUUGAGUGAGUCCUGAUGAAAGCAAGGCAGGCGGUCCACUUAAGCCCUAUGGUUCACCCUAAGGUCCAGCUGGGUCGUCACACUCAAAGCACCAUUGUAACAAAAAAUUCUACUUACUAGAAAUCACUGUGGUUUCGUGAAACUAACCAAAUUGGACUGGUCAAUGGUUGCUACAGUGGGUGGAAUGACAGCUAGUCCACUGGUCUUGGUCGUGAAAAUAGAGGAGCUUUCGUUGGUGGUGGUUGACCGUGAGAAAUUGAAAAGUUCCUUGUUCCUUGCAGUGGUUUUGGUGGAGACUAGAGAGCAGAGAUGGCUGGAGGUCCAAGGUUGUGGUAACUGGUCUUGGCCGUGAAAAAUGGAGUUUGCAGUAGUGGUGGUUGACUGUGACAAAUGGCUUGAAUCCUUGGUUCCUUGCAGUUGUUUUUCGUGGAGAGAAGAGAUGGCUGGAUGUCCAAGGUUGUGGUGAUGGCUAGAGGUAGCUGCGACUGGUGGUUCAGUGGUGGUACGAAUUGUAGGUGGCUGUGGCCUGUGGUGUAUAGCGGAGAUGCAGAGACGGAGUGAAAUAUCGAAGAAGAAAGAACAAUGAAAAAUAACCCUAAUUUCAUGUUUCUAUUCCUCUAAAUUAUAAAAUGACAUAUGUGCCUUUCCUUAUUGAACCCAAAUGAGCUACUCGAAUAAUAAACGAUUCAAGCUUGCUCGGCUCGUUAAUUAAAUAAGUAUAUUUCUAACUUGAACUUGACUCGUUUACUAAAAUUGACAAGUUAAGUUCGAGUAUUAUUGAGUCGAGCCUAUUCGAAUUUUCGACCUACUCGUUCCAUUUAACAGCACUAAGUAGGACUUUCAGCACACAAAUCUGGUUGUGUCUCGGCUUGAUUGGGAUUGUUACUGCUUCCAGUAGACAUGGCUGAAAUAAUUUGGAUAAUCAUGCAAAAAAUCAUGUCAAAUGUGUGGUCAAUCAUACAAAAAAUCUCAGCUUUGCAACUUUAUGUUCCUUCCCUUAUUAUGAAUAAUGCAAAAGCUCUUGUGGUCAACAAUGCAAAAUCUCAUCUUUGUGCCUAUAUGUGUACAAAAAAUUAUUACUCAAGUCAACAAUCAAUUCAUAUUUCAGCUUCACAAAAUAGGCAAGAUGAAGAUAUCAAAACUAUUGAGUUAAGUAGACAAGUAAAAUGAACUAUUUACAUUAUUAUUCCAACCCUUAAUAGCAAACAUUUAAAGCAAGAGUCAUAUAUUAAAGGGAUAGUUUAGGGAUAUAUGAACUUACCUAAGCGAACCAGCAAGGCAGUAAACCCAGAGAUGAGUAGCGAUUGGCACUUUGGCAGCGGUGAAGAGAUGGAGUAAGAAUGGAGGUCAGCAACGAUUCCGCUGCGGAGUGAGGUGGGCUAAGGUGAAGUGAGAACUGAGGUGGAGUGAGGUGGAGAGGAGAUUAGGAGAAGAAGAAGUGGCUGAAGGUAGAGAGGAGGAGAAGAAGAAGGCUUAGGCUGCGACUAGCGUAUUUUUUUCAGAUUGAUUUAGGAAUUGUGAUUUGGGAGUGGGACAAUCAGACCAAGUAUCGAACACUAUUUGACUACAUGAGUGAUUUUUUUAAUUUUUAAUUUGCGAUCUGAGGCUCUAAAUUGUUGUACAUUCAUUAUGCUCCUCAUAGUAAAAUUUUUAUUCCUGAUUUGAUAUCCAAAAUUAUUCAUAAUUUAACACAUUAGUCCUAUUCUAACCAUUUGGAAAAUUAGUUCGUAUUCAUUUGAUCACCUAUGACUAGUUAUAUCUUGAAUCCUUGAUCAAUGAUUUAAGGAACAAAUAAAAAGUGAUUAAUUUAAGCCAAAAUACAACUUAAACUGUACAAUGAUUAGCGAUAAUUUGCAAAAUUAUAAUUUAUAAUGAUUAGUGAUAAGUAAUAUUAUUUACAAACUUACAAAUUAGGAUGAUAAGUGAUAAGUGAUAUUAGUUACAAACUUAUCAUUUACAAUAAUUAGUGAUAAGUGACUAAUUUACAAAAUUAUAAUUUGUUUUAAAUCAAAAUGCAACUUACUUAUGUUAUUGUGGACUUGUAUGCACAAAAUCACUUGUUCACUUACAAAUUACAAAUUAUGUAAUGCAUUAAACUUACAUUUAUUCUUAUUUCUUAUAUAGCUUAUUUUUUUGAAAAUUCCCAAAUGACUUAAUUGCUUUCAAUGUUGAAAGCUAAUACACUAAUAUGUUGACAGGCAAUAAUGUACCAAAGUACCAAUAUCUAAAUUCUAAUUACUAAUUAUGAUUAAUAUUUAGUACUAUACUUAUGCUGAUUAAUUAUUAUCUAAUUCUAGUCAUGUAUAAAAGAAUAAGUAUUAUACUUAUGUUAUGUAUUAUUGUAUAUUUAUAUUAUUAUAGUCAUAUAACAAAUACUAAAAUAGUAUAUUGUACAUCAUUAUAUAUUAUUAUUAUCAUAAGUACUUGAUAAUACUAUAUACUAACUCUUAUUAAUAGCAUUUACCUGUAUAAUAUAAUAAUACAUUAAUAGUAUAUACCAAUACUGUAUAGAAUUUACCUAUAUAUUAUAUAAAUUUAUAAACUAAUUUGGUAUUCAAAUGCGGUAAUACAAUACUCUAUUUCAUUUUGCCGAAUUUGAAUUUGAAAUCGGUUAUUAUCAAAUCGAUAAUCUUAUUACCUAUUUCAUAUCAUAUUAGAAUUUGAUAAAUUUGAUAAUACCGUUUUUGUACCAAAUACCAAAUAUCCGAUUUCAAAUUGCCAAAUUAAAUUUGAAAUCGAAUACACAUUCGGUACGUACGAAAUUUGUUCACCCCUAUUCCCAACACACAUAGAGAUGGCUUAGACUUCUGAAAUUAUGGGCAAAAAUCAUGCCGUUGAUUCUAUUGGACAAUUUGUAUACGAAGGGCAUUGUUGUCCAAGUGCCGAAGUGGCUUUCUCUGAUUGGAACUCACGGUUAACUAACAACAGAGGUAGAUUAUUCUUCUCAGUCCAAGGUGUAGAUUCCUUUCAUUCGAGGUUGCAAAGUGCAAGUCAACUCCACUUCUAGGUGGCACAGUGCAAUUAACCCAUUUUAUAAUUCUGCACAUGCAAUUAAAAGUAUUUUGUUAUUGAGUCCAAAACAGCAUCUGAAACUUUAUAUUCAGGUUCAAUUGACCACGUCUCAUUGGAAUUCACCACGGCUCAGAAGUUGGGAAUAGAAUAUUACCGAUGUUUGAAAUUCGGACAGUUAAUUGAAUUAAUAAGGUAUUCGGUUCAAAAUUCAACCAGUUGGAUCGGUUAAACUCUAGUUUAAUGAAUUUGUUUAAAAAAUAAUUUAUAUAAAUAUAUAUGCACAAAAUAAGACAUGCAUUGGACUAAUUUAAAACUUUAUAUGAUAAAGAAUUUAAUAUUUUCAAAGAACUUGGAUUUUCACAAAUAAAUUUUUUAAAUUAUAAGUUGAAUUGUAUCUACCAAAAAAAUAAUCUUAAAUCUAACCCAAAAAUACCACAUAUUCUGAAGUUGUUCAAAAUUCAUGUUUAUGGGAAUUAGGCAUUGGGUGUGUUUGGAUUACAAGAUUUUCAAAAAAAAAUUUCAAAUUUUGUUUGGCAUGUAUCAUACAUACAAUUUUCAACCACUUUUUUAUUUCAUAUACAUCACAUUACAAAAAGUGCUACAAUAAAUAUUUCAAAUAACCUCUUAUCCAAACAAACCCAUUGUGAAUUUAAAUUUUAAUUCAAGUUUUUAGGAUUUAAAGAUUGCAACCUAAAAAAAAAGAAGUUUAGAGUUUGAAGGAAGUCAGGAAAAUAGAAAAUAGAAAUGCAAACCUAAUAAGAGGCAAAAAAUGAGAAGAAAGUAAGUGGAUGUAGCAUUUAAUAAUUAAUCUUUAGGGUUAAGGAAAAUUUAUUCUUUUUUUUUUCAAUUGAAUAGACCAAAAAAAAAAAAAAACUGCCUGUUCAAUCCAAUUCGCACGAUCCACCAGUUUUUAACUCCAAUCAACCCAAAAUAUGAAUCGGAUCGUAGGUAUGAUCAGUUCGCGGUCCAAUCGGUCAAACCGACCAAUUCGGUCCAGUUUUCAAAACAAUGAAUAUUACACGUACUUUUGUUUUCCUUUAUAGUAAUAUGGUAACGAGAUUUAUGAAACUUUUGACCUUUUUCUUGGUUUCUUUUGGGGGGAGUGGGAGAAUGUGGCUUUACAUGUAAUUAUUUGGUGUAAGAUCUUUUCUUUUGGGUGCAAAUCAGUAAUUGUACUGUUAAAGCUGUUAGUUGCUUCCUGGUCUUACAUCCCAAGGAUGGGUAACCAGUUGCUUUGCUUAAUUUUGCCUAGUUUUCUUCAACUUACAUACUAUCCUCUUUCAUAUACCAUUUUUUCUGAGCAAAUAAUAAAAACUUUUAUUGAUCAGCAACGAAAGUUUGUACACAUGGCAGUCUCCUCUCAUCCACCAACUAACUACUACACCAUUCUCUUUCUAUAUUGGCAAACAUUUCCAGUCCACUCCCUGCUCCAGUACAAUCUCCCAAUUUUGACGUGUUUUAGGAAAGCCUGACCAAUUACUAACUACAAAACAAACUGCUUCAAUAAUAGACUUCAGAUGUUUGUCAUGUGUCAUAGGUUUCAACUGAAAAAUCACUUCUUACCUCUGUUGUUUCUUUCCUUCGUUUAGGCCAUCUCCACUUUCCAUUCACUAUAAUUAAUGAUACAGAGGCAACUGGUUUGCAUCCAAAGCUACAAAGCAGGUUGCCUGUGAAGCUUUUAUACAAUGACCCAAGGGGAUGCCAUGUAUCAAACCAGAAAUUGGUUUUGGUUCCAUCCCCCACGAUGUGUCUGAUGAUGGGUUGAGCCAACUGUCUAAUCUAUAAUAUUUUCCUCUAAACCUAGGAUGCAUUUAUUGGUAUCUUAAUAGCCCAUAGUGACUGAUUCUUUAAGAGGAUGCUAUGUACCCAUAUUACCGAUCAUGUGUCCUUCUUACUACUAAUAUUCCAUAUUAACUUCACAAUCAGAUAUUUGUUCUAUAUCUCAGUACUAUAUAAUCCAAAGCCACCUUCCUGUUUUGGUGCACAUGCCUCCUUCCAUCUAACUUUAGCACCAUACAUUUGCUUAAUCUCUCCUGCCCAAAGGAAUGAAGCCAGUAAAAUAUUCACUUUUUUUUUUAUCGCUGCUUUAGGCAAAAUAAAUACACCGCACCAGUGUAGAUAACACUGCUUGAAUCAAUUGCAACCGACCUCCAAAACUCAAUUUUUUGUUUGCCCACCCCUUGAUGUUUUGCUCCAGUUUAUUAAAAAUAGGCCGACAGUCUUUGUAUGAUAGCUUAGAACUGAUUACUGGUAGAUCCAGGCAUUUUACAGGUAGCACACCCCUUGACAUCUUCAUCAUAUCACAUAGACCAGUGGCAUCCUGUACAUUCAAACCAGCUGUAUACACCUGACACUUCUGCAGAUUUGGCCCUUUCCUGUAUUUAUGUUGCGUGGUACUAGUUAAAGCAAAUUAUCCGGUUAUCCAGCAAGCAUUUGAAACGGCAUAAUUUUGACCAUUCAGCUUUUAAGAGUAUGAAUUAAUGUUGGCAUAUUAAAUCAAAACUCAAAAUUAAAAAUUUUCAUAUUAUGAUUUAGUAGUGUUUUAGUUAAGUUAGGGUUUUAGUAAUUCUAUUAGAGUCAAGUUAUGCUAGUUUUAUUGUUUAGAAAUUAGUAUCUUAUUAGGAAAUUUCUUAUGGUGUAAGAUUUGUUUAUCAAGUCCUCUAGUUUAUAAAGAGGGGGUCAUAUUAUUGUGUUUAGUUGAGAAAAAUGAAGGAUUGAGAGUUUUGUUCUUAUGAUGUGAUUAAUAAAUUAUUAUUGGUAUUAUUCCUCUUCUCCCACACAUAUUCUUAUAUGUGUAAAUUGCCUCCCCAUAUAUUUUAAUUUUAUCAAAUAUAUCUCCCGUAGUUUUCUAUUUGAAUUUUUUAGUUUUACAUCUGGUAUCAGAGCCUGAGGUUCUACAUGCUGGGGUUCCUGUACACAUUGAAAAAUUGACCCGAUUAUGACGGUUAAUUGUGGGUGUUUUUUUCGCUGUCAGAGUUAGAGUAUAAAAAUUGCUGCGAGGAAAUUAAUUGAUCGAGUUAGACCAUAAGGUUGAUUAUGGAAUGUCUAAUUUGUGAGGAUUGGACCAUAGUACUGGUUCGGAAAAAUUGUCAAAUUGGUUGUGGUUGUGAAAACAGAGAUCGGAGAAGAAACAUGUUAGUUGAAUUAUGAUUAUUAAAAUCAUAAAAUGAAUUGUCAAUAAGUUGACAUCAAAUUGGGCAACGAAAACAGUCUAUCUAGAAGCAUGGAUUAUUUUCACAAGUGAAAAAUAAGUUGAGCAAUGAGAUAAAUUUGUCCAGGUACAUGGAAUAUUGCAGCAGCAAAAAUCAAAGGAGAUUAUUGAUUGUGAUGGUGGUGAACCAGAUCUAAGAGAGAGUUUGAUUUGAGGGAGGCAAUGUUGGCAUAUUAAAUCAAGACUCAAAAUUAAAAAUUUUCAUAUUAUUAUUUAGUAGUGUUUUAGUUAAAUUAGGAUUUUAGUAAUUCUAUUGGAGUCAAGUUAUGUUAGUUUUAUUGUUUAGGAAUUAGUAUCUUAUUAGGGAAUUUCUUGUGGUGAAAGACUUGUUUAUCAAGUCAUCUAGUUUAUAAAUAAAGAGUCAUAUUAUUGUGUUUAGUUGAGAAGAGUGAAGGAUUGAGAGUUUUGUUCUUAUGAUGUGAUUAAUAACUUAUUAUUGGUGUUUUUCCUCUUCUCCCACACAUAUUCUUAUGUGUGUAAAUUGCCUCCCCACCUAUAAAAACUGUUUGUCAUAAACCCAAUAUUUACUCAAGUAAAAACAAAAAAGAUAAAAAGAGCACUAAAGAAUAGUCUCUAGACUCUUACCAGCAAAGGCUGAUGCGGUAGCAGAAGUGUAUAAUAAGGAUUUGUUUCACCAACGAAAUCUAUAGAAAGAACAAAGGAAAAGAAUUACAUUCUAACCCCUAAAUAUGAAUCAAAUAUUCGAGAAUAAAGAGAGAAAAUUCUCAACAAUUGGAAUAACCAAUUAGGAAUUUCAGAAACGGUUGAUGGAGGAAGAAUAAUUACAAAGAUUCUAGAUAUGCCUAUUUAUAGAGCUACUUAUAGUAAAGACAUAAUAGGAAUAGGAAACUUAUAAAAUAAGGUAACUUCUGAACUAGGAAAGCUCCAAAAUACCUAAUUAGAGCAUGAAACGAACUAAUACUAAACUCUAGGAAAAUACAUCGAAAAAUAGGAAACAAUAAAACCAUGAAAAUAACAUAAAUUUGAAUUUUAAAUAAUUUAUUUUGAUGGGGACAAACAGUCCCUGAGUUCAGGGGGCAACUCGUUCUACAUCAAACUCCCUCGCUUGAAAAGAACUCACCCUCGAGUUCCACGAGGGAGCUUGACACACAAUCUAUGAGAAACUACAGCAAUCACUCUCCUACAAAUCUUGUAAGGAUGAUACUUGUGAUGGAAUCUAAGCACCCAUUCAUGCUUAUAAGAAACUCCAUGCGAUCCUAGGAACCGUAUGGAAAGAUCAACUCCUAUAAUUUCACCAGCUUUCAUUGUUCAUACAAAUUUUAUGAUAUUUUCCCGAUUGAUAAGGAACUCAAAUAUCUAGGUCUUCACAGGAAAAUAUUCUUCAAUUGGAGAAAAUUUGUCAAAAAUAAUUUCCUUACCAAAAGUAAAAUUCUCAAGAUCCAGGACAGCAACUGGCUAAGCAAAUUUAGCUAAUAGCUCUUUUAAGUCAUUGGCCUUCAUGGUUGAAGAAUCAUGAACGCUUGCAUCUGUUGUCGAAGAGCUAAAUUAUUUUCGGCUUCCAAAAUCUCAGUGUCUUUACUUGGGGUUCUUCAAUCAGGAACCUUUGCCAAGACGCGGCACUAUCAACUCCCUUUAUACCUGUAGUUACUUCACAAUUUUCAUGCACAUUAUUGAGCAAUUUAUUUUGAACUGAAGUAGGGGACUUAGGCUGCAAACUCAGCAUCAACGGCAUAAAAAUAACGCCAUGGUCACAUUCACUAUGUGUUGUUGCAUUCACUAUAUAUAUAUAUAUUGUCACAUUCACUGUGUGUUGCAUCGACAUCAUACUGCCAUGGUCUACCAGCAAUAUGUGACAAGUGUCUAUAUCCACAACAUCACGUAGAAUUUCAUCAAUAUAUUUAUUAAUUGAAAAUGAAACACGACAUCUUAAAUUUACCUCAACAAAUUCAACCCCUUUUAUCCAACCAACCGAUAAGGUUUUGGAUGCUCUUUGAUAGACAAUUUUAAUUUAUCAACCAAUUCCUUAGAAACCAUAUUUGAAAAACUACCGACAUCAAUUAUCAAAUAGAAUUCCUACAUCUGGUUCAGAAUAAUUGAUUUCUCUGGGUCUCUUCUUCCUUUGGUGAAAGAUUGGGAGCCAUAUACAUGGACUGCUGGAUGAUUGGUUUAGAUUUUCCUACAAUUAUUGGUGUUAUAGUUUCACAGAUCAAAUGCUGACAAUGAGUGAUCCCGCAAACGCGAUCUUCAUAGAUUUGAUAACUAUGAGAACUCAAUCAGAUUGCACGAAUACUAGGCUCAUCAAGAGCAAUUCUCCCAACCGGACGACAGUGAUGUACAGGUCUCUUGGAGUAAUUGUUUGCUUCAAACUCUACGUAUAGCUCAUGAAGAAGACGUUCCAUUCGGUCUAUUCGUGCUUCACCAUGAUUUAAGGUAGUCUCGAAACGAUCCAAACUACUAUGGAAUGAAUCAGGAUUCAUCACAAGCGAAUCUUGCUCUGAUACCACAUGAUGCGGAACCAUGUUUAAGGAAUUGUUUCACAAAUGAAAUCCAUAAAUAGAAAGAACAAAGGGAAUGAAUCAUGUUCUAAUCCCAAAACACGAAACAAAGAUUCAACAAUAAUGAGAAAAAACUAUCAAAAAUUGGAAAGACCAAUUAGGAAUUCAUUAAUUAAUAGUUGAUGAAGGAAGAAUAAUUACAAACAUCCUAGAUAUGCCUAUUUAUAGAGCUACUUCUAGUAAAGUCAUAAUAGGGAUAGGAAACCUAGAUAAGGUAGCUUUUGAACUAAGAAAGCUCCUAAAUACCUAAUUAGAAUGGGAAACCAACUAAUACUAAUUCGUAAGAAAAUACAACGAAAAAUAGGAAACAACAAUAGAACCAUGAAAAUAACCUAAAUUUGAAUUCUAAAUAACUUAUUUCAAUAGGGAUGAGGGAUCCCUGAACUCAGGGGCAACUCGUUCCACAACAGAGGCAUACUAAACCGUCAAACAAAUUUGUUGUAAAUAUAACAAAAGGAUUGUGUGGACUAGUAAGCACAAAGAAUCCUCAAGAACAAAAAUGGUUAGAUGAAAUUUUUUUUAAAAAAAAAACUCUGAACCAUAGAGAAUGAUUUUUCCAAAUCAAAAUUCACGUGAGGCGUAAUUUUUUAGUUUGGAUUUGAGCAAUGGACACAAUAAAGAAAAACUCUCAAAGGAAAAUCCUAGAGGAGAAAACUUUGACUAUAAAAUUUAGGAGAGAAGAAACUUUUAUUAGAAAAUCUCAAAAGAAAAAAUAUUUAUUAUCAAAACUUACAAGAGAAAUUUAUUCAAACAAACAAGUAAAAAAAUACUAUUAUACUUCCCAAGAAGGAAGAAGAAGUUGUUUUGCAAGCAAAAAGAACUCAAGCAAUACAUUCUUAAUUUCAAUUAGUCAUGAUUACAUAAACAACCGAAACAUGGACUCUUAAUAAUUUAGUGGCCUAAAACUGCCCGAUGAAUAAAAAUUAAUUAACUUUGGAUUAAGUUUUCUUUUAUUGUAUAUAAUAAAAAGGAGCAUCUUGAGUACAUAGUGUUUAAAGCUAUGCAAAUGAUAGUUGAUAAAAGAAACCUGGAAGCCUUAUAAAGUAUUUUUAGAAGGUUAAAAUAUGAGACUUUUCUAGGUAUUAGUUUUGAAGUUGAUUACUAUAUUAGGCUUUUCCAAAUGUAACCAAGCAUUCCUACACAUUUUUUCUUCAUUUAGUUUAGUUUAACAAGUUAAUACACUAAAAACUGGUAGGAACAUUAAUCGGUAAAUUUAUGGGUUCCUAAAUACAACUCUCAAAUCCUUUCCUUUCUCCCUUUGUCUUGUAAUAAGGUUGGGAGUCUUCCUUAGACCAAAAAAUUUUUUAAAAAAUCUUUUUUUAAAAAAAGGAUAUUAAUACCUUAAGAAAUGUGCAUGUGGGUAUUAGGUGAUGGAACCUUUAAAAUUUUUUCACAAAUAAACAAGAAAUUAGAAGCAAUUAGACAUGAAAAGACCAUAUGUAAAAAGUUUCAUAAGGUUGUUCAAUUUAGGGUAGAGUUAAAUCCACACCCUCUCAAUUUAAAUCCACACACUUAGCAUUAAGGUUAUAAUAUACCCCAUACCAUUUGUGAGGGUAUGAUAGAAACUUUUUUUCUAUACAAAAACUUGCAUUUCAUAAAAGAGUACUUGUUUGGAAAGAUAAUAACAAAAUUUAAUUAAUUGAAGCUCUUUGAUACUGUCAUCCUAAUUAUCAGCAGCCAGUGCUUUUUAAGUAUAUACUUUAAUCAACUUUUAAGUGCAAUAUACGACAAAAGUAAAACAAUUUUCCCAACACAAUUUAGAUAAGAGAAAGAAAAAAAAAUCUCAUCUUCCCUUACAUAAUAAGAAGAGGUAAAAAUAUUCUCCCUAUCAAACAAGAGGAAAAAAUAAAUGCCAUCAAAGUGAAUGAAUUUGAAAAAAUUCAUAAUGAUGUAAAAUAUAAAUCCAAAUUAGCACCAUCAAUUUUCACAGCAGAAAAACUGAUUUUUGGCAUUGAGAAAGUUUCUACAAAAUACCAUAAAUGCUAUAAGCUUUUCUGUCGUUUUGGUUCUAGGGGUGAGGAUUUCAAUUGUAGAUGUGUGGAUUUAACCCGAUCAAAAUUAAAGAAUUUUAUCAUAAUUAAAUCGUAGGCAAACGUCAUUCUGCAUGUUGAUGGUGCUAAUGUUAUUAACAAGGUGGCUGGCGCCGAAGGUUUAUUUCGAAGUCCCUCUUUGUGCUGAGCUAUGUGCUUUGAGACUUGGUUUAUCGAUUGCUAUUGCCAAUAAAAUCUCCUGUUCACUAAUUUACUCUGAUGCUAAAUGUGCUGUGGGCAGCUUAGCCAAGCAUCAACAAGCAAGGCUGCUGAACAUGGAUCCCCUGAUAGAGGAUUGCCAAAAGCUAAUGGAACAGAUCUGGAAUUCUGCCCCCGAGAGUUCAAUCAAGCAGCUGAUAGUCUGUCUAAAAUUCUCUUUUGAUGAACAUAAAUGAUGGCUGGCUGUAGAUAUUAUCCAAUUCCCUCUCCACCCCCCUUAUCUUAUGUCGAUUUGGAUCUCUGAUCAGCUGCAACCAUUGGCCUCUCCUGGCUCUUUUGUGUAUCCUUGUCUUUUCUUCAAACCAAAAAUAUUAAAUCGUAGGCCAACUUUGCAAUUCUGACUUCUCUAAUAAAAUACAUUUUCUUCCCUCUAUAAUAUGAUCUAAUCAGUAAAAAGUGCAGCAUGCGGAUUGGUUUAUGGGAAAGCAUGAAGAAUCUGGCUGUUUCUCACUUCGGGCAUAUAAAUUUACAUACAUCAAAGGCGCAAAUUUGGCUGGCUAUCAAUUUUUUUUGGUUAAAAAAAAUAAAUCUUCAGACAUGCUACUUACUAUUACUAUAUUAAUUCAAUAAACAAUCUGUUAAUUUUACUCAAAUUUACUGUUUUCGUUAUUCCUUUAUUAUGAUUGUUGCUAUCUAUCUAUACCAUAUAUGCAUGUAGCGCCUAAAAAUAUUUUUUUAAUAACUUCCAUCUUUUUUUUUCCUUACAAAGUUUUCUUUUUAUCAAUAUGAUAAGACCUCCAUUAACUUUGAAUGACUUCCAUAAUUUUUUGCUGUAAUGUUCUUUUAUUUACACACACUUAGGGUGUGUUUAAACCACAAGUUAUUGUUGUUGUUGAUUUUUUUUUUUGUUAAUAUCAUUAUUUUCUAUUUUCUAGUCCUCCGUCUCUCGCAUUCGAUUACAUAUUUCGCUUCUUAGAAGUAUGGGAAAUCACUCUGCAAUCUUCACAAUCUUCAAAACCUCCUUUCCCAGCACAUUUUCUUCUGCCUAAGUCAGAAAUAUCUUCCAUUUUCUUCCCAAGUCUCCUAUGUUCUUUUCAACUUGAAACUCCCACAGCAAGUUUUGUCUACGUUGUCUAGCUCUAGCGGUUAAGUUGGCUUUUCUUUUGUUGGGGUACAAGGGUGUAAAUAUAAGUUUAUAUCAUUAUUAUAUAAAAAGUAUGAAUCUUGGCAUUAAAAAGUGUAAGCACUUUUUUAUUUUAGUUUUUAUUAUUUCUAAAUUAUGCUCAUGUAUUUUAAUUAGAAUUAUAGCAUUUCAAUGUGCCACCAAUUAAAAGAAAUAAAGCACUCCAAUUGAUUACAUCUCAAUAAUAUUAGUAAUUACAAUUAAAAAUUGCCCAUUAAAAACUAUUUACCUAUUCUUGGACUCUGUCUCCAAUUAUUAUAUGUAUCAAAAUUUCUUAAUCGAAGUAUGAAAAUUUUCUCAUCAGCCAUUAUUAUCAAUAUCAAAAUAUAGAUAUUCUCUAGAAAAAAAAAGAGAACACACAAGGAGAAAAGAUCCCUUAUUUAUUUGCAUAUCUUCAUAAAAAUAGUAAGAGCAAAUUUCACAAUUAUGUACUUUUACCAAUAUGAAAAAAUAAAAAAAAACCAAAAGCAAAAUAGAAAACCCCAACUAUUUCAAACAAAUGAAUAUUAACUGACAACUAAAUAACCUAUCUAAAAUGGUUGAGCAUUGUGAAUCAUUACAUUCUUUAUUAACAACAAAAGCACUUAGAUAAAAUGCAAAUAGUCCAAAUUCAAUAAAUGAUGUUACACUUCACUUUAUCUCAUUCAAAUUCAUAUAAAAAUUGAAAAGUAAAAUGACUAACAAGACAUAAAAGAGAGCAGUUAAACAUUCAUGCAACUAACAAACAUGCAAACAAUUUAGUUUUAACUGAAAUGACAGUUCAUGUCACCCAAAUCCAAGCAAACAACAAAAGAUUUUCUUAUAUUUUACCUAUGAUCAACUAAACUGAUUUUGAUAUUGUAAUUAGAGCUUUUUGUCUUAGACAAAAGGGAGAAAAAUCCAUGGAUUAAUUUAAAUGCAUCCAUAUGAAACAUGACAUUUAUCAAAUUAGUAGGAAAAAGGAAUAAUUGUUGUUUGUGCUUUAUGUUGCAUUGUCUCCAAACAAAAUUAUAAAAAUAGUAGAAGAAAAAUGAAAAAGAGAAUAUCCAACUACAUCUGUCAAUGAAAUCUUAAUUGAUGACAACGAACAUUCAAACAAAAAUAAUUAAAUAUGAUGGAUUAAAAAUUCCCUUGUGAAUUAAAUAAUUACAAAGAGUUCACAUACAAAAACUAUGUAUGUAAACAAUUUUCAAAAUGGUGUCAAAAUAUUAAAAAAAUAGCUCAACUCACUUCUUACAAAAGAACUUCGUAAAAAAGCUAAUUCAUUGAAUUCAUAUAAUAUGAUAAAUAAUAAUUGUCUUCCCUACAAAGAAUUAGGUUUUAUGUGAGACGAAAAUUGUAGAAAACUUGAAUCUAAAUAAAAAAGAAAUACCAUUCAAGCACUUUAUUCUUGAAUAAUCAACCGAUUCUAAUUCUACAAUUAAAUAAUCAGUAUUCAUAAACAUUGAUGUUGCAAAUAAUAUUUAGGAAGUGUUUAAUAAUUUAACAAAAUCUUAGUUUUUUAAUUAUUAAAUUCUGAUAAUUUUACUAGAAAGUCCAUCAUAGAUUUUAUUUUCAAUUGGAAAAAGACAUAUUGAACACCAACUGAUAAAUGAGCUUGCGAACACAUGGGGGAGGAAAGUAGAUGCAUAAUUCAAUAAUUAGAAUGAUCAAGAUCAAACAAAUCAAUUUAUGUUGUAUUCUAAUGCCCAUUUUAAAAUUUUAGUAGCACUUGCAAAUUAGAUUUGCUUCUCAUAUGCAUACUUGGUAUAUGCAUGUAUAUAUAUAUGUAUAUAUAUUUCCUUCUCAACAACAUUAUUUUGAACUGUACAAAAGGUACAAUUUUAUAAUUUAAGGGGAAUCACAACACCUUUGGUAAAACAUGAUAAUAUUAACAAUUGUUAUAAAGUUCAACCCAAAUUUAAUCAAUAAAAGCUCAAAAAAGGUUCUAAUAGCUUUAGGUCAAAGAGUUCAAAUUUGAAUAAUAUUUACAACCAAAACUGGUUAAAGAAAUUGAAAAGCAUGCAUAAUUAUACUAUGAGGUAGAUAGUCAAAACUUUACAACAAAUUUAAAUAGCUACAAAAGUAUUAUAUUUGGAUUAUUAUAUUCACAUGAUUAUAUUAUAAGGUAGGUACUCAAAACUUCACAAAAAAUUUUAGUAGCUAUCAAAAUAUAUUUGAAUUAUUAUAGUCACGUGCAGUAUUUGCUAGUUGGAUUAAAUGUGCUAAAGGAUUUGGUAAACAAGUUAAUUUUGUUGAAGAUAGACUUCUGAUUACAACGGGGAAGACACGUACUGGAGGACUUGGGAGUAGGGGUGGCAAUCCGGGUCCAAAUCAGGUUGGCGGGUUGGGUUCGGGUCAACCCGUCAGAAAAUCUGUUGACCCGAAUCCGACCCACCAACCCGUGAUAGGUCAGGUAUGCUGACCCGAAUCCGAAAAUUUCAGGUUGACGGGUCAACCCAAAAUGACCCGAAACUAAAAAAAUCAAUUUCUCACAAAACUAAUUACAUAAUCAAGUAAUAAAAAUUUAAAUAAAUAAUUCCAAACCAAAUCUAAAAUAAAUUAAACACCAUAAAAGUGUUUUAUCCCAAACAAAAUAUAAAAUAAAUUAAAACAGUAUAAAAGUAAAAAAUAAUAUAAUAUAUUAUUUGUCCAAAUAUAAUAAUUUCAACUUCACACAAAUUAAAUAAAUUCAUUUAGGAUUAAGUAAUUAAUGCCUUUGAAAAAAAGAAUAACUUAGUUUAGUUAGAUAGAAUUAUUUUUAUGUUUAUUAAAUUAUUUUUUAAUUCGUAAACGGGUCAUAUCGGAUCAUAUCAGGUCAUCACGGGUUAACCCGAAAUCGACCUGUUUUCUUUUCGAAUUCAUCGGGUCCAACCCGAUUCUAACCCGAAUUCCCGAAACCUCAACCCAAACCCAUUAAUUUCGUGUUAGAUUCGUGUCGUGUUUUCAGGUCGUGUCAAAAAUUGCCACCCCUACUUGGGAGUGUAGUAUGCUACUGCACUCUUGAUUUUUGCUUGCUUUCCUACUGACGGAUUAUAGAUUCAUUUAUAACUUCAACUAUUCACCCUAGCAUCCGCUAGUAAUCUAGGCGAGUUAUUACUGGCUUUUUACAAUGUUUAUCUUAGAUAUUUUGAAACAACAACCUUAUCUUUUCUAGAUAAUUCUACGAUCACAAAUAAUGUCACGUCUUUCUCUGUUGUGCCCUCUAUCUCAAUCUAUAACUCAUUCAACCAUCCCAUUUCUUCUCAAUUCUCCUCCCUCUUUCUUGCCAGUACUAGUUUUUGGCAGCUGGCUCUUAGAGCUCGUUUCAGCAACUUCCCAUGGAAUCUUUUGGAAAACUUAUUAAGAGCGAGAAUCCAACUUGCACUGGUGUUGUUGAUUCUCUCUUGGCCGAGCUGGAUAUCCGGAAAAGGCUGUUAUUGUCAGGUCAGCCGGAUGAUAAUCAUCAAAUUGGGAUCCUCAUAGCGGAAGUGAGACUCUGGAGAAUGCUUCUGAUCUACGUCGCAUAUUUGAGUGACGCUGACAUGAAGUUUGGUGUUGGUCGGGAGUUGGGGUCGAUGGACCGGGACCUUGAUGCUGCUUUGAAAGAGGCAACUAAUGAUUUUCGAGUUGCUUCCAAGAAAGAAGGUGUCGGUAAAAUAAGCAGCGAUUUUGGAGCUGAUCCUAAGAAAUACGAGUCCAUGGUUCACAAAGGUCUUACAAGGGGUGAUUAUGGAGUUGCAAUGUCUAAGUUGCAACAAAAGCUUAUGCUUUUCAGGCCUCAGAUGAAGGCAGCUUAUGAACGCAUUGCAUCCAACCAUUCAUUUCAAUCGCACCAUCCCCUAAGCCGUUCUGGUGUCUGCAGUCUCUUCUGCCAAAAUCUACAGCAGGUUGUCCGGGUGCUUUAUUGUGGGAAAUGCAAGAUGUUAGAAUAUAUGCACCUAAAAGUCGAAACCAUGUCCAAGAUGCUUAAACGUCUCCAAACCUUCAUCAGCACUAUGGUAAGAUUUUCUCUUGAUCUAGACAGAGAUUUCUUGACUCAUUUUGGAGCUUUACUGGUCCGCACUGCACAUUUUUGUUGCUUGUGCUGGAUUGACCAAAUGGAAGAAGACAAGACCGAGGAGCUGUCGAUUAUGCUUCAUGAUCUGCUGAAGGCAUUCAAGCUGGAUACUACAGAAGUUGUACAGCUGUUUCUGAAAUUAUUCAGGCCUUAUUCCUUGGUGAAAACCUGGACAUCAAUCCCUACUCCAGUUGAAACAUUUGUCGAUUUUCUCUUUCCUGAGAAGGAUCCUCAACUUGAAACCUUCUUCAAAGGGCUUGAACACCUGAUAAUGUUCGUCCUUGAAGUUGGAGAACCAGAGAAAUCUGAUCUAAAGCUGCUUAUAAUGGACAUUACAGCAGCUAUUUCCAGGCUUGGAUAUUUUGGUGACUUGUUUAAUGAGAUAGGAGAGUCAACAGGAUACAUAUUUAGCACAAAUGUAUCUGCAUUUUUUAGGUUGCUUGAAAAGAUUGAGCUUCUCAGAGUGGAAGUAUUCCUGGAUGAGCUACUAAAGAAAAGGAUCAGUUUGGAGCUCCUUGAGAAUCGUAUUGAUUCUUUCCAUGAGGGACUCUUCUAUUUGGAAAGUUAUCAAAGAUAUGCAUCCAAAUGGAAAAGCAAAGCUCCUAAGCUGGUCUGGUUGCAUAUCAAACCUGUGGCUGGGAAGGCUGUCUCUGUUUAUAAAUCGUUCCAUGCCAAGUCAGUCACUGAAGACAAGUUCAAACAUGAGCUAACUAUGUUGCACUGCAAGAUUCAACUUUUGAAGACUGAGAUACUUUUGGAAGAGCUUCUCGAUGGAAACCCAGAUCUCAUAAUCAAUGGCCGGCUACGUUUGGAAGAGCUUCUUGAUGGACAUCCAAAUCUCACCGUCAAUGUGAAGAACCAAAUGGAAAGCCUCGAUCUGGGGCUGAUAGUCCUUAGAACUUAUUUGAUGGGUCCGCUGGAGGAUGAUGAGAAACUAAUCUUAACAGAUGCAGAGUCAGUAGCAAGGGUUGCUUCUCUUUUUUAUUACUCUCUUCUCAAAAAUGAUAUUGCAGAACAUGCGGUGGGGAAUUUCAGUCAUGUGCUUCCUAAGUUAGUAAGAAAGAUGGACCUUGUUAAUGCAAAGAUCAAAGAGAUUUAUAUGCCUGUUCGAAGGUCAUCAAAAUCCCAUUUCCCUAAGACAGAAGGAUUUGGCUUCAUUGAUUGUCUUUUAGGAGAUCUCAGCGAGCUGCUAAACUCUGAAGCGGGAUUUCUUGUUUCCUUGAGGCAUCAAGUUCAUGCUGUUCACAGAGACUUAGAGUUCUUGAGAUCCUUCCUCAGUGAUAUUAAAGAGCAGUAUAAUGACCGUCCGGAUUUGAAAAGUUUUGUUUCGUCCAUUAUCCAAGUAUCACUUGAGGCAGAAUAUCUCAUUGAAACGUUUGUGGUUGGCAAUUGUUUGCGAUGGUAUCAUCCAUUAUGGCUUUCUGAUCUCCUGGAAGAUCUCAACCUUUUUAAGGUUCAGGCCACAGAAAUCUGUACGAAUGAACAUACCAUCAGCAUCCAUGAUGUUCCCACCUCUUCAAUGAAUAUGGUAUCACCAGCGAAGAUUCCCAUGAUUGAUGAAGUUGUGAUUGAUCUCACCGAUGAAAAAAAAUUGAUCAUUGAUAGGCUUACAGCUGGAUUACCACAGCUAGAUGUUGUUUCAAUUGUUGGCAUGCCUGGACUCGGCAAGACAACUUUAGCCUUGAAGGCGUAUAAUGAUCCUUCAGUUACCUAUCAGUUCCACGCUCGUGCAUGGUGUUAUGUCUCCCACACAUAUCGAAGAAGAGAAUUGCUUCUUCAGAUUUUAGGUGAAAUUGUGGAACUUAAGGAUGAUAUCCUUGAAAUGAGUGAUGAAGAUUUAGAGAUGAAGUUGUACCAAUGCCUAAAGGGGAAAAGGUACCUCAUUGUUAUGGACGAUAUUUGGAGCACUGAGGCAUGGUACGAUUUCCAACGAUCAUUUCCAAAUGACAACAAUGGAAGCAGAAUACUGAUCACGAGUCGGCACUUUGAUGUGGCGGUAAAAUUGAAAGCGGAUAGUACUCCUCACCCCCUUCGGCUACUGUCUGAUGAUGAAAGCUGGACGCUGUUGCAAAAGAAGUUGUUUUACACGAAAAAGUGCCCCAAUGAAUUAGUGAUAGUCGGAAAGAAAAUUGCAGAAAGCUGUAGAGGACUUCCUCUUGCAGUUGUUGCAAUAUCUGGUCUCCUUGAAAGGACAGACAUGAUACCAGACUGGUGGAAACAAGUUUCAGAAAGCAUUUGCUCACACAUUGUGGAUGAUCCUGUGACGGGGUGCAUGGACAUACUAGAGCUAAGCUACAGAUAUUUGCCUAACCAUUUGAAGCCUUGCUUUCUAUAUACUGGAGUAUUUUUGGAGGAUAAAAACAUUCCAGUUAGGAAGUUGACAUGGUUGUGGAUAGCUGAAGGAUUUAUACCCAAUAAUGGGCUGGACAGCAAGGAAGAUGUUGCAGAGGGAUACUUGAGGGAUCUAAUUGGAAGAAGCCUAGUAACAGCUUCCAAAAGGCGAUCGCUUGGAGGUGUCAAAACAUGUCAUGUUCAUGACAUGUUGCGAACCUUAUGCCUGCAAAAAUGUGAAGAAGAAAACUUCUUGCAAUGGAAAAAUGGGUAUGAUGAGCUUUUUCCUUCUUCUCAUAUGGAUUUAGACUACGGUGUUGACCCCAAUUAUUUUUGUCCACCAAUUUCCCAAAAAUAUGAGAAACGUAGGGUGUCUAUUUGUUCCAAGAGGAAUCAUUUUGUCAUGUCAAGGCCUUCUGGGCCACAUGUCCAGUCUCUACUGUACUUUGCCACCAGUGAUUUGUAUCCUAGAUGUCCCUACGACAUCACCUUCAUUUUUGACAAUUUUAAACUCCUUAAAGUGCUAGAUUUGGAAUCCAUCAAUAUGGGGAGUUCUUUCCCCACUGAAGUACAAUUGUUGGUCCGUUUGAGAUUUUUAGCUCUUUGUGGUGAUAUAGACACUAUUCCAGCAUCAAUAUCCAAUCUCCGGGUUCUUGAAAGCUUGCUCGUGAAGGGAUUGAAAGGUAAAGUUCUACUACCUUAUACUCUUUGGAGCAUGGAAAAGUUGAGACACGUCCAUGUAAAUAAUUAUGCUGCCAUCGCCUUGCAAGACAGCGAAAGCACAUCUUCUUCUCAAGCACUUAAUCUGGUCAGUCUUUCCUGCCCAUACCUCCUUUGUGGAAAAGGUACAGAGGAUAUCAUGAGGAAAUUACUUAAACUUCAGAAACUAAGCUGUGUAUUUUCUGAAUUACGGGAUGAUAGUGGGAAGUGCAAUCAUUUUCCAGUGCUGAACUUUCUGACAGAGCUCGAGUCCCUCAAUGUACUCUAUUCUGGUAGGAUUGCUCUUCCUUGUAAGUUUGAGUUCCCAUUGAAUCUCAAGAAGUUGACACUGUCAAAAUUCCGCCUACCGUGGGAUUCAAUUUCGGAGAUUGGGAGAUUGCCUAACCUUGAGGUUCUCAAAUUACUUUCAAGAGCCUUUGAGGGGAAAGUGUGGGAAAUGAAAGGAGGAGAGUUCCUUAAACUGAAAUUUUUGAAGCUCGACAGCCUAAACGUUGCUCAAUGGAAUGCCUCUAGUGAUCACCUGCCACAGCUUCAACACCUAAUUCUGCGAAGUUGCAGGCAGCUUAAGGAGGUUCCUUCUGGUUUUGCGGAGAGCUGUACUCUGGAAAUGAUUGAGGUGCAACUGUGUACACACACUGUUGAAGAGUCAGUGAAAUCACUUCAAGAUGAACAACUUGGAAUGGGAUAUGAAUUGAAGGUCCUCAUUGACCAUUCAGACAUGGAUUUCUGAUCACUGCAUAAUUUCUGGUUAGAAUUUGGGCCUACUAUUCUAUUUGCAUUUGAGUAAAUUAUGAUUUUGUCUGUGUUCACCUAACAUGACGUUUUAUGUACUUUUAUCUAUUAUCAAUUUAUAAAAUCCUCUGCUCGGUGUUGCUUCUUGUCACCACUCAAAUAAUGAUCAUUUUACUGAUGAGUUGUUACUUCAUAGAUUUGAAUAUUGGAGCUAUGUAUUUAAAGGUCUGGUUCUGCUUUCCUAAACGUACGCUACUCUGAUAGAUAUAUAAUGUGCAAUUCACAUUUCCUCUUUUCUAAAGGAAAGCGUUCUUUAGUUGAAUGUGAAUGGAUUUAGUUACUUAUAAUUAGUUAAGGACAGCAUGUAGGAUUUGUUGAUCAUAUUUUUUGUUGUUAUACAGGCUGUCUAGUUGAAGAAAAGAAUUGCACUAAAUGCUAUAUAAGCAGACAAAGGCACAAGUUUUCUAGUAUAUGCUAAUUAGUAUGAAUACUUACAAUAUCAACUGCAUCAGGAUCUGUUUUUUUAGUUUCGCUAGCAAAUGCAAAAGCCUAAUUUCAAUCCCUGUGGUUGGUUGAAGUAACAUGCUGUUCUUUGUUUCAGUUUACCCUCUGGAAAGGGCAAGUGGACCUCUCUUCAAGGUGAAGAAAAUGAAAGUCGCGGCAGUCAAUAGAUGUUGGUUUGGAAUCUGGAUAAUCUUAUUCCUAGGAGAUCUGAGUUCUGACAAUGGUGGCUUCAAAUGUCUGUGAAGUAAAAAUCAUUGGAUAAUUUAAUCUAAGUGAAUGGAACUUGGACAUUUUGUCUAUUAUUGCUUCCACCAAAGUUGAAACCCCAUGUUUGUAAGACUUUCAAGUUUCCCUUCUUUCAUUAGUAUGACUUGAUUUAUGUUAACUUUCUGUUUCUCUAGCGAUCUGAGAAUGGAUAUUGCAAUUAUUUUGAUCUUGUUAUCAUUUUUAUGAGUGAGAAUUGAAUGACAGAAUUUUACGGAGGGAGGAAGUCCCCCUUGGUCAUGCUACAUGCUGCGUACAAUCUGGUUCUAUGUUGGCCAACUGGACCAUGUUGUCCGAGGCAAACUAGUCCUUCGCUGAAAUACAAUUUCUUGUAUUUUCCAUUGCUAAUUGUUUCUGUUUUGCUUUUUAUCAUCUGAUGAUAUAUAAGGACCUUUUUAUUGAUACAACAUUGCGUCAACUAAGACAAGUAGGAAAAAGGUACGGAAGCCAUGUCCGUUUGCUCUUAUAGUCUUAUGGUUCUAAACUACUGAGAUGAUUGUCAUAGGAUGAUUGUAGGAUGCCUGUAUAACUUGAUUCCAAGAGAAGCUGAUAGAGAUAUAUCUUUAGUUCCCUGUGUUGAAUUUUUAAUCCAACAUUGGACUUAUAUGUGAAUAAUUUUGCAUUGUAGACUGUUAUAUAAAAUUAAAUCCAAUUAAAGUGAUGAAUUAUAGUUUGAACUUUUACCUAUAAGUAGAGUUAUGGUUCUCGGGUGACACGUAUUAUUUUGUUGUUUAGUAUCACAAAAUAGUUCUUUCUUGAUAUUCCAUCAGCAAGAAAGAUACUAAAGAAAAACUAAAAGACUCUCUCAGGCCCCUUUGGUUCAUGGACCGGAUGAAAUGAGAUGACUCAUUUUCGGAUUAUUAAUCCUAGGCUGAGUCAUUCCAGGAUAAAUUAUCCAAAUUAUCUAGUGUUUGGUUGAUUCUGAGAUGGAUAAGAUAUGUUGAAAAAUAAUUCUAUCAUGUGUUUGGUUGGAGAUUGGAUGAGGUAAGAUUACUAUUUUAAUGACCAAAAUACCCCUUAAUUUGUAGAUUUUUUAAAUAAAAUAAUUUAAUAUUUUAUUAAAUAUUAAUAAACUAACUUAAUUUUUUAACAAAAUAAUUUAAUAUUUAUAGCUUUUAUUAAAACAGAGUAGUUUGAAACUUUAGAAUUAUAAAGUAAAUCAAGGGUUUUGAGACCUUAAAAAUAGAUUUUGACCAAGUUUUUGAACAUAACUUUGAAAUUCAAUUAAAUAAUAGGUGCCGAACUCAAGCUACUAUAGUAGAUUUGUGAGGACGUGCAAAUUCUUUAUAUUUUUCUUAAAAAUGCCCUUUUAUUUGAGAAAUAUUACUGUAUAAUAGUCUUACUACUCAAUCACCCCACAAUAAGUGUAAAUGAACAUAGAAUUAAGGGUUUUUCUUUUGUUUUCAAGAUAGUGCGAAUUAGGGUUUUUUUACACCUAUCCGUAGUGUGAUUAUCCGAUACGGAGUGUGGAUCAAAUUUGGUGAUUGAGAGUGAGUUUUAGAUGAUAUUAAGUGUGUGAUUAGAAGUGAUAAUAAUAAGUUAGUAAAUUAUAAGUUAAAACCCUCGUAUAUGCGAUUUAAGAAAAAUCGGCCAAACCGACGGGUAUCGCUCACUACUGAUUGAACACUCCACUUGACUACCACUUCCCUACCAUUACAUAUCCUUGAUAUUGUUGCAAAAUAUCUCUCUCAUCCUCAGCUCCCUUGGCCGAAAAUGUUGACCCAAAAAUACAAGGAAAAGAAAAUAAAUUGAAAUGGAUUUUGGUGGCGACAAGUGGCGGCCAUCCAUGGAUUCUUGCCUAACUAAUUUUCCUCCAUAUUUAUCAUCACAAAACACACAAUUUCUCCUCAUUUUCCUCCUACCAGCCGUGAGCAAGAGAGAGAGAGAGAGCAAGAGAAAACAACUUCAAUUCAUCUUGAGUUUGAGCCAUUUGAGUGGAAAAAACAAGAUUAAAUCUUUCUUUGAGUACUUGGAAAGCUUGGUGUGCAAGAGGUUUACAAGAGGAGGUGGUGGAUAACUCUUAUAAGCAUCUUUGAGAGGUAUAUGGGCUGACCAUUACAUUUAUUUCUCUUAGUCUUGUCUAAGUUGAGUAGUAACUUGUAAUCUUGCUUGUGAUGCUUAAUUCAUGUGAUUUUGGAUGAUUGUAGUGAUGAAUUUUGAGUUAGGCUUUGAAUGGUUCACUUGAAAUUUCUAUUAUUUGGAUGGUAUAUGGUAUAUGCAAGCUUGUACAAGAGGUUGUGGUAGUGAUUUAAGCAAGAAAUGAAGAGAUUUCCCUUUGAAACCCUAAAUUCCAGAUUUCAGUUUUUCACUUCCCCUGUUCUGAUUGGUUUUGUUUGACUAGGUUGGAGGCCGAAUUAGGCUUAGCAUAAAACAUAAAAGUUGUAGAUAAUGAUGUUUUAUAGCUGCCUAUAAAAUUUCAGUUCAAUCCGAGCACUGUACCAUGUGAAAAGACAAAAAUACCCCUGACUGCCAUAGGUAGCACUUUAGGGACAGUUUUGACAUUUCACCAAUCUGACCUCGUCUGUUCACCCUGAUGCGUACUGACUUAGCGUUUGGUCAAAACAUAUAAGUUGUAGUGCUACGUCUUAGCUUUCCAACGCCCUUAAAAACGCCUCAAUCGGACUUCGGUAUCCUGAAUUAUUAUCGUUUAACCAUAGUGCGGUUCGCUAACCUGUUUGUGAGAUUCUGGUUUUGUACAUGAAAAUUUUGACCUAGCUACACUACGAACUGGACUGAGUAGUCUUCAUCAAAAUUGUAGGCCUUUGUCUUAGCUUCGAAACGGUAUGAAUUUCAUACCAAUCCGAUAAGCGUAGCUUAGGUUGUGUCUGUUCCGUAAAACAACGUCAAAUCUGUCUUUUGUUUCUUAAAUCAAACUUCAUUUCCGCACAUGUUCCUAACUUGGUUUGGUACUUGUAUGACGUUGAGUCUAUUGAACGGCUAUUGAAAUGAGAUUAUUUUGUGUGUGACUUUGGGACUAAUUGAGGAAAUGAAUGAAGUCAUAAAUGGCUGGAAAAUAAGUAAAUAUAAAGGGCGUGCUGCCCAAAUUUACGCUUGAAGACUAGGUAGAAACACUUGCGACUUGAGUAAGGCUUGAGAACGAAUACCACUUGAACCAUCUAAGAUAUUCGCGUCUUCUUUUAUCGAGGUAUAUAAGUUAGAACUUGACCGAACUUGUACCCUUGGGAAAAUGAAAUAACGACUACUAGAAAUACGUUUUCCUCAUUCUUUCAACUCAAAUGGUAUUUCCAAGUAUAAUUGCUACAAAAUGUCCCAGUUUGAAAAGCGAGUAAGUAUUUCACGAAUAUUCUCCAAACUAAUUUCAAUUACUUGAUUCUUAUUGAAUGAAACGUUGAAGUUUCGAACCUUAGUUGCUUUUCAAAGUUCUUAAACAAGGUUUUAUCGCAGAUUUGGACUCCAAACCCGAAGUACAACCCAAACGGGAUCACUGAGGCACUACAUUUUGGUGAGUGCUUCCAAAUAUCUAAUUGGACUUGACAUUUGUGUCCUAUAUUUGACCAAUAUGAUUAUAUGAUAUAGAUAUAAGUGAAUUGAUGGGGCAAUGGUGUACUUUAUCACAUUUGCCCUAAUGUUAUUUGUUCUCGUUCAUCAAUUGCAAUUGAAUUGCUAUACAUGCUUAUGAAUUGUAUCUUGCCUGGAAUUCCAGAAACCCUGUGACUAAUUUGUCGAGUCGAGCCGGCAAGGGUCUGGUCGAUUAGCUAACGAACCCUGGGUAGUUAGUGAUAUCGAGUGGAGUGUUAUCUUCUCGACUAAUCGGUAUACUCGAGUAUUACCACCAGUGUUUAUUGUGGAGUUCGGGCCCAGUAAGCGGUUUGAUCAGUGGACGGAUAAUGGAGUUAAGUGGUGUUCUACGGGACUAGUUUCUGACUUGAAAGUUGACAGAGUGUCAACUACCAAUCGAUCAAGCUAUGGUGGCGUCGAUAUAUGAGCAACUGUAUCCUUAUAUGUGAAAUGUGAAAAAUUUAGUGUUUGGCUAUAUGAAGUGUUGUUAUUCAUUUCUUGACUUAUUUUGCUUGCUAUUGCACUAUUAUGCUACUUUUGUUUAUUUGAUGGACAAUUUGAUAUUUGGAACUGUCGCGCCCCAUUUUUCGCGAUAAAAAAAUAAAAAUGAAAGGUAUUUAUAAAAGAUAUGAUUUUCAUUUAAAAAUAAGUGAAAAGGACCUAAAAUGGGACUUUAAAAAAUGCGACAAUUUGGGUCCAAAAUUUAGUCUAAAAGGGUUUUUAAGAAAGAAAAAAAAAAAAGGAGUUGCCACUUGGUAUUGAGUUUGGGUGUACCAAGUCACCUCAAAGAAAAUAUUUUUUGACAAAAAUAAAAAUAAAAUAAAACAAAACCCAUUUUAACAACUCCAGGUCUUUGAAAAACAAGAGAAAAUGGAUUCGAGAGUCACGAUUGAACAAAGGGAAGGCAAAAGUUCGAUCAACUCAAACCUAAGGCACCCUUUCAAUCUAGUCUAAGCUAGUUGCGAGGUUUAGUCAAAAUUUUCCUAAUCUAACCCUUAAUUUUAUCAUGUUUGGAUGUUUCCUACAUGGAUGCAAAUCUAAAUUUAUAAAAAUAUCGCAAGGGACAAAAUGCCCAUUCAAGGGUUUAACUGAACCAAUCGCAUUAAUUGCAAAGAUCAAAAUAAUUCCUUGAAUGUGUCACGAGUAUGCGAAUGAUGAAAUUAAAAGAAAAGAAAUUAUAUUAUAUUAUAUACAUAGAUAUAAGUGAUCAAAGAAAAAGGGAAUGCAACAUAAAGGGUACGGGAGGCAAAAACUCGUGACAAUAAUUUUCUUAUACAGGGAUUAAUGGGAUAUUUAAACUAAAAAGUUAUAAUCACUCAUUUCCCAUGUUUGAAAAAUAAUUCUCCUAAUAUGCACAAGCAAAUGAGCUAACUUAUUAUACAAUGUUCUAAAUGAAAUCAAUUCUAAAUGACAUGAUUAACACAUAUAGAGGAUAGGGGAUAAUAUAAUAGGAAAUAUCAUACAAAUGGAAAAAGAUCCGAAAAAUGAAAAUAUGCGUGAAAAUAUAAUGAAUAUCACACAAAAAUGAGUCUAAUGCACGAACGAUCUAAGGGUCUAGCGUUGGACUAACCCAUUUCAAAAAAUCUUUCCUAGCGUUGGACUAGCAAGUAAGCGGAGGGAGAAGCCACAACUAGUGUUGGACUAGUGUGGUGACGUUAUGCAUUAACAAUUCAUAGUAAAACAAAUAAGGUAUAAAUUAAAACAAAUAAAUAUGUAAGAGCACGUAGCACAUAAUACAUAAGCAUAAUAUCUAAAUACAAAAAUUCUAAGGAAAGCGGGUAAAAUAUAUAACACAUAAGCCACAUAAACACACAACCUACCUAUUACAUCGGGGAGCCUAACUACAAUCUAAAACGGGAAAAUAAGAAAAUCCUAUCUACCCUAUCUAUUACAACAGGGGACCUAACUACAAUCUAAAAAGGAAAAAUAUAAUAAAAACAAAUCUAAUUAUCCUAUCUAUUACAUUUAUAAAGUAAUUAAAUGCCUCUCGAAUAAUUAUAAGAAUUAACUAAACAAAUAUAAGAAAAUUCGAAUGAACAUUUAAAUCAAAAAAACAAAACAUAUGAAAAUAUAUAAACACAUAGGAACACGUAGGAGCACAUAAGAGCAUAUAAUUGACAUUGAAAUAAUAAUAAUAGGGUACCUCCCUUUUGAAGUGGUGACUAAACGGAGUCAAAUUGCCCUAUUUAUAUUCAAAAUGAACAAAAGAAUCAUGACACCAAUUUAAUUGAAAAGUAAUAAUAAUAAUGAAAAUUCACCUUAAUAUAUCAAACGUAAAUAAAUUUAAGAAUAUCUAAAAAUUACAAGUUAAACAUACUCAAAAGUAACAUAAUUAGCUAUUAAAGAAAAGAAGCAAUCAUAAUAAAGAGAGUCAAAAUUCACCAGGGAUUGAGUUGCAAAAAUUGAAAAACUUUUGGGGACAAAAAUUAUAUUUUUCCAAAGUUCAGAGGUCAAAAUUAAUUGAAAGAUAAAGUUCAAGAACCAAAGUGCAAUUAAUUUAAGGACCUAGGUGAAAGAAAUUUAAAAUGUUCUGGGCCACAAUAAAAUUACUCCAAAGAUUAGGGGCCAAAGUGCAAAUCAUAAUCAGAUCUUCUUAAGAAAACAGGCCACUGGGCCAUUAUUUAUUUCUUUGGGUCGAAAACUACCUAAGCCCAGCCGAAAGUCCAGGCCAAAACACACAGGCCAGCCCGUCUUCUAUCACUCAAACCCAACCAAAAAUAAAGCAUGGGUCUAACCUUCUAGCCCAACCCAAAAUGAGAAACAAGCCCACUCAAAAUAAAAUAAAAUUAGCUCAAACCACUUUCCUUUUUCUUUUCUUUUUCUUCUUCUCUUUUCUUUCUUUCCUCUUCCUCCACUUCCAGCCGUUUCCUUCCCUUCUUCUUCGGCCAGCUGAAGCUUCUUCGGCCGGCCCGCGCGCGCCACCGCCAAAUAAGGGUGGGCAAAAAAAUCUGAAAACUCGAAAAUCCGAAAAAUUCGACCCGAUCCGCACCGUAAAAUAGGAUAUCCGAUCCGAUUUCUAUCAGCGGAUCAGAUAGGGUGGGGUACCCUAACUAUUCGAAUUUGGAUACGGAUAGUAAAAGUAAAAACCCGCGGGUACCCAACCCGGGGGGUAUAAUAUAUAAAUAUUAAAAAUAUAGGGGUAAUUGUAUAAUAUUUUAAAUUACUAUUAACCCUAACCUAAAUCAAUCCAUUGGUCUUCAGAUUACAGCCGACACUUCCUCUCCCUCAGUUCAUUUUCUCCUUCUCCUUCUCUUCAACCUUCAGCCGACAAUCGACAUCUCCUUUCUCUAUCUCUUCAAUUUUGUCAAGUUGAACUCAAGCCUGCAAGCCUCAAGCCUCAAGCAGAUGAUUCAACAGGGACUUUCGAUUUCGAUUUCUCAAGCCAACGCCGACCUUCAGGCUUCAUCUGCAGGUUUUUUUUUUUUUUUGGAGAAUGCCGAUUGAGCAAAUAUUGGAGCAACUAAUAAUUAGACAUCCCUUUAGGGAAAAAAAAUAAGAAAAUUCAACCUAAAACAAGGUUGUAGGCAGAAUGGCAGAUUACCGAAUAUCUAAACUAAGAAAACCAAAGAUGUGCCCACCACCCAAACAUUAUCGACCUUAUCUAUUUUUAGCAUCGCAUUUUGAUGCUUUGUAUUUAGGCAUAUUGUAUAAUAUUGAUUUAGAUUUGGGCAAUGUGAGAUUGUGAGGUAUCAAGUUUUCUCCUAAUUUCAUAUUGCUAAGGGUUGAUUCCGUGAGGUAUUUAGACUUUGGAUUGUGAUUGUAUUAUCUGUGGGCAUUGUGAUUCCGUGGGCACUGUGAAUUUUUUUCUCCUUUUUAGUGUAAAUUAAUUUGUGUGCUCUUCAUUUGCUCUUGUUGUCUUGCUCAAUUCCUUUUAUUGCUUUUGUUGUGCUUUUCUUACUCUGAUUGGUUGCUGAUGCAAAGGAAUGUUGAAUACAUUUGUAACUGAUGAUUUAGUAAUGAAUUUAAGUUGGAGUCUAAAAAAAAAAAAAGAUGUCCAAGUGAGCUUUUUUUUUGGGUAGGGGCGGGUACCCUAUGACCCACCCCUAUUUUUCGGGUAUCCGAUUUUCGGAUACCCGAGGAUAAUCGGAGCGGAUUAGGAUCAAAAAAUUAGUGACCCGACAUGUUAGGGUCGGGUCAGCCAAUUGUCGUUCGGGGCGGGUACCCGACCCGUGCCCACCCCUACCGCCAGACCGCCGGUCGCCGGCAACCUCUCCGAUUGCCAAAAUUUCUUAAAAUACACCUCCCCACUCCAUUUUUCGCGUAGAUUCCAUUUCCGGAUUUAGUUUUAACAAAAAUUGACCCUAAAGUGGCCAAAAAGCCAAGAAAUCAGUCCAGUUUUUAUUUUCUUAAAACCUUUAAACCUCCAUCAUCAUAAAAAUUAUGCCAAAACCCUCCUUAUAACUUCUACAUUACAACUAUAAUCUUAGUUUGACAGGUAAACAACAACAAAAUGAUGCAUUAAGUCAAAACAGCCCCAAAAAUGAAGAAAAUAUUUCAAUGCCUUUAAAGCUCAAAACUCCAAAAAAUUUAGAUAAGCAAACAUUUCCAGGCCUGGUGCUAGCAAACGGUCAUCAGUUUUGACAACAACAUGCACAAUAUUCAGCUUUUAAAUCCAUUUUUCCAUUUCGGCAUUUUAUCAAGCAUUUGGCAUGCAUUCACAGCACCGUUUCUUUUUUCUUAAUUUUUAUACAGGCUUGUCCCAAAAAACUUCAACAACAUCACAAUAGCAACAAAAAUCAGUGAAAGGAAGAGACAAAUAGGUAGCCAAACAUGCAUUUAAUCUAAUUAAUUAAAAAAGGAAAAGCUGGAAAAAAAUACCUCAAUGAGGUUGUGAUCCCUUGACUAAAAUUUUGAGGAAGUUCCAAGCUCUUUGUCCAACCGGCGGCUGCCUCCUUGUGUCUGAAUAGUGUGUGGGUGUGUUGUGUGAAGUGAGCAAAGAGAGGGAUAUGGCCGAGAGAGUGAGGGAGCUUUCUUUCUUUUUUUGUUCUGUUUUCUUUCUUCUGCCCAGUCCGAGAGAGGGAGAGAGUUGGGAAGUGCUUUUUUCUUUCUUCCGUCUGUUUCCGUUUUUUCUUGUCCUCUCUGCUGUGUGAGGGAGAGAGCCGAGAGAUGUAUUUUUUGAGCCAAAAGUGGAGUUUGAGUGUUAGGUUCACCAAAAUGAUUUUCUCCAUCUAAUGAAAAGAAAGGUGCAUGGAGAUUUUGAGUGCAAAAAUGGAUCAAUAGUGCAUUUGGUGAAAGAGCAAUAAUUAGGAGAAGAUUUUUGAUUUCUUGAUUUUCUCUCUUUUUUUUGUUUUGUUUUUUUUUUUCUAAAACAAACUUGCAAAAAAUGAGAAAAAUACACAUUAAAAUGUAAGAAAGUAAAUAACUCAUCAAAUAGAAAAAAUUCACUAAAAUAUUAAAAAUUGACAAAAAUUUGGUAUCUACAGGAACUUCACUAAACUUUAGCUCAUUCCUUUAGUUUUGUUUUCCUUACAGGGGUACGAGUAAGGCGUGAGACGUGUACAGACUAACAUAGACUAGUUGUUUGACUUUUGAUUUGUGCUCGCGCUAUCAUUCCCUUAGGAUAUUUUGUACUUGGAUUGUAUACACUUUGAAGUACUUUGGAUGUAUAGAGGCUUUGUAUCUGGAUUUGUGCAUCGAUGUAUAUUAUAAGUUUGAAUUGCGAUGUUAAUUCUUGUCUAUGGAUGUAUGCGUGAGAUACGAGUGAGUGAGUCCUGGCGAGAGUUGGGCAGGCGGUCCGCCGAACCCUCUGGUAUGCCUUAGGGGGAGGUGGGGUUGUCACAAGAUUUUUCUUUGGAUAGGGUUUGAGCUUAUUGAAAUCCUUAUUCACAAAGUCCAAUUGAUAAGAUUAUGUAUUUAUAUAGAAUUUGGUUUAGAAAAUAAGUUUAGUAAGGGUAAUUUAGUCCAAGGGCAAUAUAGUCCUUCUAUUAUGAUGUUACUAUGGCAAAUUACAUAAAUUAAUUAAAAGCGGUAAAUCAAAAUUUUUAAAAUAAUAAAUAGGAGCAAAUUAGUAAAAAAUUUUAAUAUAAUUAGUGGGGGCUAAUUAGUCCAUUUCUUAUCAUGUUAUUAUGUGAGAAUAUGAUUAUAUAAUAGUCAAUAUGAAUUUGAAUCAUUCAUAAGGGUAAAUUAGUCCAAAUAUUAUUACGUUGGUAGUAGAGGCAAAUUAGUCCAUUCAUAUUAUAUUAUCAUGUGGGAAUAGGGUUAUAUAAUUAUAAGAGUAUAAAUUUGUAUUUUUUAUAAAGAUAAAUUAACCUAAAAUUUUAUCAUCCUAUCUAUUAGUCAUUCCAGAAUGACUAAUACCACU